AGAUGAGGAGUUGGAGACUAUAGGUGAAGAGUAUUUUGGCAUCUUAGCUUCUCGCUCUUUCUUUCAAGAGUUUGAGAAAAGUUAUGAUAAUCGUAUUAUAGAGUGCAAGAUGCAUGAUAUGGUACAUGAUUUUGCCCAAUUUGUAAGUGAAAAUGAAUGUUUUUCGUUGGAAGUUAAUGGUAUUGAGGAACUAAACGUCACAACCUCUACAAACUCUCUUGAUGAGAAGGUUCGUCAUUUAAUGUUAAUCAUUGGUAGAGAGGGUAAAAUUCCUAUCUCCACUUGUAGAGUUAAAAGAAUUCGUAGCCUCUUAAUUGACAGUAUUAGAUAUGAUCGUCCACCAUCAAAUGGUGAUAUCCAAGAAGAAUUUUUUAGGGAAUUGACAAGUUUAAGGGCAUUAGAUUUUGGCAAAUCGUAUAUCUCAAGUUCGUGUCGGACUCUGGAGAUUCCGAGAAACAUAGAAAAGCUGGUACAUUUAAGAUACCUUAAUUUGUCUUAUCAGGGAAUAAAGAAACUACCGGAGACAUUAUGCGAGUUGUAUAAUCUAGAAAAGUUAGAUAUUAGUUGUUGUUGGGAUCUUAGAGAAUUACCUGAAGGGAUUGGGAAGUUAAUAAACAUGAGGCAUUUACUAAAUGGAUAUACUGAUUCUUUAAGGUACAUGCCAGUAGGGAUUGGGAGAUUAACGGGUCUUAGGACCUUGGGUGAGUUCCACGUGAGUGCAGGAGGAGGUGUUGAUGGUAGGAAAGCAUGUAGGCUUGAAUCUCUUAAAAACUUGGAACACCUUCAAGUAUGUGGUAUACGUAGACUGGGUGAUGUAUCAGAUGUGGGCGAGGCUAAGCGAUUAGAACUUGACAAAAAGAAAUACCUCUCUUCAGUUUGACCCUUGAGUUUGAUAAGAAGGAGGAAGAAGAUGAGGAGGAAGAAGAAGGAGAAAGAAGAAAGAACGAGGACGAUCAACUUCUUCUUGAAGCCCUGCGACCACCUCUGGAUUUAAAGGAAUUAGAGAUGCAGUGCUACCGAGGCAACACUGUUUUCCCCAGCUGGAUGACGUCAUUAACCAACUUAAAGAGUUUAGAUCUCUCUUCCUGCGAUAAUUGCGAGCAGCUGCCUCCUUUGGGAAAAUUGCCAUCCCUUGAAAAACUCAGCAUAAUGUUCAUGUGGAGUGUGAAAAGAGUGGGUGAUGAAUUUUUGGGGAUAGAAAGUGAUCAUCAUGGCUCAUCUUCAUCUUCAUCGGUUAUUAUUGCCUUCCCCAAAUUGAAAUCACUCACAAUUUCUUCGAUGCUGGAAUUGGAGGAGUGGGAUUAUGGGAUUACAAGAACGGGAAACACCGUCAUCAACAUCAUGCCACGUCUUUCUUCCUUGACAAUUAAUCACUGCACCAAAUUAAAGGCACUGCCCGACCACAUUCAUCAAACGACAACAUUGAAGGAAUUGCACAUUUGGCAGUGCAGGCUUCUGCAAGAACGGUACCGCAAGGGGAAAGGAGAAGACUGGCCUAAAAUAUCACACAUUCCCAACCUCCAUAUUGGGUUUUGACAAGUAAUUUCUUCUCUCACUCUGAUUUGCUUUGUUGUUGUUUUUAAUCUAAUUAAGAAGCGUAAAUAGCAUUUUGAAUCAAAUUCUAUAUCAGAAAUCUGCAAUACUUACUUUCUAAUAUUCUGAUUUUCAUAUCCUAUGAAUAUACGAUUUUUAAUUUGUGAGAUGGGUAACGUUACUGUAAAAGAUUAUUAAUGCAAUAUGAGUAAUUCUUUUACAGGACAAGUGACCUACAUUUAGUUUGGCUUUGGAGUUGAAUAAUAACGUUUUGAGGUCCCGACAUCCAAAAAACGAAGCUUAAUUUGCCACAGAUUGCACGUAUUGCCAUUAUUGACAAUUUUCUGCACAAGCGUGAUUGAACUUAGGUUGAUGUCAAAAGAGGUAAAUUAUUGGCGUGUGAUGAGCAUAAUUUAUAUACAUAUUUUACCUUUAAUUAUUUAAUUGUUAGUUAUUUUUAUUUAUUAUUUUUAAUUAAUUAAAUUAUUUUAUUGAAUAGGGAAUUAAUUGGAGAUUAUGGAUAAAAAGAGUAUAAAGGAGUUCAAUUUGUAAGCAUUAAAGAUUAAUUGAUUUUUGGAAGCAAUUAGACAUACAUGCAUGCGGAAAUCAAGCCAAGGAACUGAAUUCAACAAGUUAAUUCAUUAUGUACAUGCGGAGAAAGGAGAGAACUUGAUUUAGCUUUAAGAAGGGACCCACACUUGGCUUUUAUAAUUGGAAAAAGGAGUCCUUUAGCAAUUCUAAGUGCCCAGGACGUGUGUGAGAGCAAAUCAAGUAAAAGGCCAAGCCUUUUGGCUUUAGGAUUUAAGAGGUGAGGUCCAUUUUAAAGAUUAUAAAAGGGAGUUUUGGCUUUUGGAGAGGGAAGCCGCCAGAGGAGGAAAACGCGAGACAGAGAAGAAAAUCUGCAGUAGUUCGACUUCCAUGGUUGAAUUUAUUUCUUUUGUUGCUCACAAUUCAAGUAUGUUUAGCUAAUUUUCUUAUACUGAGGUUAAGGAUGAAACCCUAUUCAAUGAAAUAAUUAUCUUUUUAUUUAUUUAAUUUCCUAUUAUGUUCUUUGAUGGUUAUGGUUUUUAUUUCAUAUGAUUAAUUGAAUGUUAUUAAAAUCUUUUCAUCAAUUCUGUCAUGCAUUAUUGAUUGUUAGGAUUAAUAUUCGAUUAAAUCUAUGCUUGGAUCUAUAAAGUUUAUACAUUAUUAUCUUUGAUUCUAUGUCUUUCAUUAAAUUGUUUACACAGAGUACUUAGGAAAACUUUGACUCUUUGUUAUUCAAUAUGUUUACAUGGGACACUUAGAUGUCAUACCAUUAAGCAGAAAAAGAAUCUACAUUAGAUUUAAUUACUUGAGCUUAAUUGUUAUAUCCAUGAGAUGACAUAGAUUGAUUUCGAGUUGUCACUCUAAAAUUGGGGAUUAAUGAAUAUUUAGAUAAUUACUAGUUGAAUAGUGGUGGAUUCUGAAACCUUGGUAAUUUCUAUCCUAUUGAAUUCUCUUUUACUUUAAUUGUUUUCUUAGUUUAAUUUCUUUUAAAACUCAAUUUGUUCAACUAGGUUAGGAUUAAUAUUAAUUUUAGAUUUAAAUUAGACUUUUCAAUUUAUAACAAUCCCUAUGGGAUCGACCUCGUUACCACUACUCUAUUUCUAGAUUCGUGCGCUUGCGAGUAUAUUAAAAUUUUCACAACAGCGUGCCUAACUAUUUUGACCAUUACAUGAUUCAUAAGUUUACAUUAAUUUUGAUUUUGAGUUGAGUGAUUAAUUUUCUAGGUUUGCAUACUUUAAUUGGGUGACCAAUUUCUUGUAACUAAAUGUAUAAUGUGAUGCAGGAAGCAGGGCAGGAUAUGAAAAGAGAAGCUUAUUAGAGGAAGGAUUGCCAGUAACAGAAUCCAAAGAAAAAGAAACCAUUUCGAGGCAGCAGUUGGUAGUUGGCAGCGAAUGGAGCCCCUUGAAAAAAUUCCCAAGCCGUUGCACUGCAAUUACGAUCAUCCUCGGCCUCAGGUAAUUUCUUCUCCUGCAUUUUUGUUAUUUGCUAUCAAGUGACUAUUUUAAGUAUGAUUGCAUUAAGCUGCUGCUGGGAAAUUUGAGGUUUUGAUGGCUGCCCAUGCUAUUGUCAGAAGCUGCGGUUCUUUUCAUCAGCCUGAACCUGGACCUGCCGCUAUGGAUAACUCAGGUUUUUUUUUUUUUAAUCAACUACGUCAUCUUUUCCACUGUUUUGAAACUCUUAAGAUUAAACUUUAGUAAAGUUGUUUUAGUUAUCCAUGUAAUCAAGCUGAGGAUACUUAGCUGCCUAUUUAGGCAAAUGUCAGAAUUUAGUUUCUUCGCUGGGAACUGGUGUGCACUGGCAAAGGAUGAUGAGAUAGUUUUUUGAGUGAGUAAAUUUUGGGAGCUUGAGUGUAUUGGGAUUUGCAAUUACAAUCAUCGUCUGCCUCAGGUGAUUUCUUCUCCUGCUCUGUCAUUGUUUGUUCUCUAAUUCAAAAGCAUAAAAUAUUUCAAUCAAUUUUUAUACCAGGAAUAUGCAAAAGUUUCUAAUAUUUUAUUUCCAUCAGUUACAAGAUCAAACUGAAGCAGAACUCAAACAAAAGUAUGCUACUUCUUGCGGAAAUCUUGCCUUUGUUCAGAUUAUGAAACCAUUUCCAUGCAGCAAAUUCAUCCAAAAGUUUGAAUAAGUUUCAUGGUUGGACACUGUUGGCUUCUUUUUCUUCUGGGGUGCAUUUAGGUGCUAUCAAGUGACAGCUGUAAGUAUGAUUGCACUAAGCUGCCGCUGGGAAAUUUGAGGUUUUGAUGGCUGCCCCUGUUAUUUUCAAGAAACUAUUGAUGUAAGAAGCUGUGGUUCUUUUCAUCAGCUUGAACCUGAAACUGUGGCUAUGGAUAACUCAGGUUUUUGUUAUCAACUAUAUCAUCUUUUUCACUAUUUUGAAACUCUUAAGAUUAAACUUUAGUAAAGUUGUUUCAGCUAUUCAAAUGAAAAACUCAUUGAUUUGAGACUUCCUUCUUUAUUGUUUCUAAUUACAAUGCUAACGAUCCAGAUAAAAUAAUAUUUAAUCGGCGAAGGUGUCCCUUGGAAGUACAUCCUUCUUUUUCUUUUAUUAUAUAAAUUCUUGCAAUGAGCUUAGUGAAGCUGUUGUGCUAAUCAUGCCACUGCAUAAUUUGGCCCCUAAUGUGUAAGAAUGGUGCUAGAUUGGGGAAUAAAGCAAAAGGAGGUAAAUUAUUGGCAGCUUCUUCAACCUUAUUUUCUUUGGACCAGUGCCUAAUUCACAAGUCUCCAUAAUUCGGCUUUUGACCAGUUGAUAGAUAAAAUUUUAAUUUCAUUGGUGCUAAUGUACCCGUGAGGCAGGCAGAGAAGGACUGUGGAAAAGAGAAGGUUUUUAGUGAAAGCUUAAACUCAGGUAAUUCUAAAAAUUAUAUGUUUUGGCUGAUUUAUCUAAAUCAGGAAAUUUUAUUUCCAUCUGUUACAAUAAAACAGAAACAGAACACAGAGAAAAAUAUUCUACUUCUUGUGGCAAUCUUGCCUUCAUUCAGACUAUGAAACCAUUUCCUUUCACCAAUUUCUUCCAAAAGUUUGAACACGUUUCAUGGUUGGACAUAGUUAGCUUCUUUUUCUUUUGGUGCAUUUAGGUGCUAUCAAGUGACAGCCAUAAGUAUGAUUGCAUUAUUAGGAAAUUUUAGGUUUUGAUGGCUCCCCAUGUUAUUGCCAAGAAAUUUUAAGUCCUCAUGUCAGAAGCUGCGUUUCUUUUCAUCAGCCUGAACCCGAACCUGUCACUAUGGAUAACUGAGGUUUUUGUCAUCAACUAUAUCAUCUUUUUCACUGUUUUGAAACUCUUAAGAUUAAACUUCAGUAAAGUUGUUUCAGUUAUCCAUGUAAUCAGGCUAAGGAUAUUUAGCAGCUUAUUUAGGCAACUGCCAGAAUUCAGUUUGUUCGCUCGAAACUUGUAUGGUGACAAGGAUACUGGCAAGGAUAGUGAGAUAAUUUUUUGUGUGAGUGAAUUUUGAAAGCUUGGGUGUUCUGGGAUUUGCAAUUGCAAUCAUCCUCUGCUUUAGGUGAUUUCUUCUCCUGUUCUGUCUUUAUUUUCUCUCUAAUUGAAAGCAUUUCAAUCAAAUUCUGUACCAGGAAUACGAAAAAUUUACUAAUAUUUUAUUUCCAUCUGUUUGCAUUGAUAACUUGGCCGCAUAUGUACUAGUUAAAGAACAAACAGAAGCAGAGUUCAGGAAAAAGUUUCUUCGGCCACCAUAUUUGAAAAUGAAACCAUUUCCAGGAAGCAGUUGGCAGCAAAUUCAUACAAAGUAUAGACGAUGAUGAGCAAAAAGGUGAUUCGCAAUUACAUUUUUUUUAAAAUGAAAUUAUUUGUUAAGUUGGAGCUGAUAUUGUUAGAAGGCCAUUGAGCUAACCUAUGACACUGCUUGCCUAGAUUGCAGGAGGUCAAGACUCAAAAGAUGCACUGAAUUUUAAAAGGCAUGCAAUAAUUCUUAUGGCCAUUUGUCAAUGGUGGAAUGCUUUUAGCUUCUUUUCCUUUCGUGCAUUUUGGGGUUCUAUCAAGCGACAGCCGUAUGUAUGGAUGGAUAUAGCUGCUGCGUUGAUUUCUAAUGCGUUGUAUGAUGUUAUAGCAACUAUCUAUCUGGUGAAUUUUUCAAAAGAAUAAGACACAGGGAAAAAGAGAAAGCAAGUGGCCAAUCAAGUAUUCAUGUCCCAAAGAAAAGAAUGAUUCGACAAUAGCAUUAAGGGUUAAUUGGACACAAGAGAAGUGUUUUAACCACUUCAAGGAAUGUAAAUGUAAUUUUCUAUUCUAAAGAAAAAGUAAAUAAAUGCACUGUCAAUUAAUCUUUGGUCAACCAGCAACAUUCAUAAUUUCGUGUAAGUUUCAUUUCUGUUUGUUGGAAAUAGCAGUGUAUUUCUUAGAGUUUGUAAAAAAUGGAAAGAUUUUAAAAUAUAAAUUUCACAUCUGUUUAUUACUGUUGUUUGAUCUAUUUUCUUAUGUAGAAUUUUCGGAAUCUGUAGGACAUUAAUUUAAAAACUGCUCGUUCCGCUGGUUUCAUACAAUGUCAACUAGAAACAUCAUACUUUCGUGUAAGUUCAUUAUUGUUUCUUGAAAAUAUCAGAAUAUUUCUUAGAGUUUGUAUAAAAUGAAAAGAUUUUAAAAUAUAAAUUUAAUAUUUGUUUAUUACCGUUGUUUGGUCUAAUUUCCUCGGGACAAUUUUCAGAAUUUAUAGGACAUUAGUUUAUAAUUUUGAAAUUUUGUAACCUAAAUGUUUUUUUUUUUCGGUUACCAUUUUGUUUUCCUGCUUUAUCUACGUGUAUGUUGACUAAAACUAAUCUAUUUUGUUAAACCUUUACCACUCUUGACAUUGCACUAAAUAUGAGUUCCUGAUGCUUGCAUUUUAUUGAUGCUGAUGAUUCGUUGAAUAUUUUAUGUUUUUGAUUUUUAAGUAUUCCGGAUCGAAGUUUGUGUCUACGCGGAAAUUGUAAAGGCAGCAUAUAAAGUACUCGUCGUUCUUUAGAUUUUAUUGAGUACACUUUUGUCACAUUUAGCGUAUGCUAUACACUACUGAUUUGCGCAUUGACAUAUAUCUUAUUUUAUCAUUUUGAAUGAAUUGCACGGCGAGGCUUAUCAACUUUGGAUGAAUCCUCCAAUUGUCACAGUCCAAGACUGGCUGCAGUGAGUGAAAAUUUACCCAUAUAUAUGCUGGCUAUUUUUAUUGGCGACGAAUUCGUUGUAGUUGGUCCAUCUUGCUAUUCUCGGACAAUAUUAGAGAAAAUAAUCAUAUUAUUUCGCGUGAUGUGACCUUCCAUAACUUAUCAAUUGAAUUACUGUAAAAUUAUUGUGUAAGUUUAGGCCCAAUGGCACUUUAGUUCAUCACAUGAUAGCCUGGAUUUAAAAGGAAAACUAUAUUGCAUUGCUUCAAAAAAAAAAUUUAAUGUUUUUAAUAUGAAUAUUUUUAACUAUAUUCAGUUAAAAUAAUAUAUUCUUAAUAUUAAUAUUCAUAGAUGAAAUUCUUUUGCGGAUUUAAGAAUAAAAUAUCAAAUAGUUUUAUUUUUCUUUUGUUGUGUAACUUGGACCGAAAAAGAAAAUGAGCUUAACAUGACCCUCCUUCCGGCACUAUGCAUGUUUUUCUUAUAUUGAUGACAGUGCUCUUGGUGCUUCUCAUCUGCUUCUUGCUUUGGUUUCAAACAAGUCUUUCUCCGUCGAGACAUUUAUUGUAAUUUGAUUUGGAGACAUCUGUCGUUCAAAUAUAUUUCAUAUGCAAGCUGUUGAUAAUUCUGCUUGAGAAAGCCUACAAAGCAGCUGUGUGAUGUAAUAGAAGACUAUAUAUGCAAACGGUCAUCAGUUUCUCUUGAAUUCUUUCUUGAGUUUCUUUGAAUUAUUUGUGAAUGAGUUCUUAAUCGGCUGCUGCUCUUCAGGAAAAGGAAAGUGUUGCAAACUGGUGAAGCUGAUCGAUAAAAGCAAUGUACCAUCUUUGCUGCCAUGGAUCGAUGCCAGUGAGUUUUUUUAUUUGUCAAACUACUAAUGAGUUCUCCAUGCAUAUGUGUUUCUUCAACUUGAAGCGGCAUAUAAGACGAAAGAAGUGAUCUUUAAAGCAUUCUAUCGCAUUAUCCUUUCCUAUUAUAUAUAUCCAAUUGCUCCAAAUUAUUUGUAAAUUACUGAACACGAAUGCUGAUGAAUAAACUGAUGGCUCUAUGUAUGUAUGCACAUGCAUGGAGAAAUUUUAAGUCAGACAUUCUCAUAUAUAACUCGUGGUACCGAAUCAUUAAAUAAUCUUGAAAUCAAAGUAAUAAUUAAAUACAAAUAAAUUGCUCGAAUUGUACAUAUAUCUGAAUCAUGUAGUGAAGAAAAUACAACAACAACAACCAAUGGCUCAAAUUCCCCAUCAACUUCUAGUCUCAACACUUUUGAGUGUCAGAAGCAUUACUCUGCUACCAGUUAACAAACAUAUAAUUAGUAAUUAGCUAUUCACUUCCCUUUUAGGCCUACCACAUUUUCUACAAAGGAGCCAUAGAGUGAACUCAGCAGGAAACACUCAAUUUCAACCAAAAAAAAAAGAAGUGUGCAAUAGCUUAUCCUAUCCUAUUGCUACUAGAAAGAAAGUGAACAAUUAAUUUCAGUGAAUAAAUUAAAAAAAAAAUCACUUCUGCAGAUACUCAAGCUAAGAACACAUUAACCCAUUGAAGACUCCAAAUUGCAUCAAACAAAUUGUUGUUAAACAAGUAAAACAAAGAAAGAGAGUUAAGGAAGCUGAACUAGUAGUAGGGGAGCUGAAGAAAGACUGCCAGUGAAUGUAAGAGAAAAUAAAAUGCAAGAAAUGGUGAAGUGCAGCUUUUCAUGUCAACUUGAAAUUGAUUUUUCUGUUUUUUUUUUUUUUUUGGUAAUCUUUUGGAUUUUUCAAACAAAGAAAAUGAGGAGCAACCAGGGAGAUAAAAAGGGCGCCAAGGCAACUGUCCACUACUGAUGAUAUAACAACGAACCUUUGUUUUUUUCUUUUUUCUUUUUUAAAAAAAAAAGAGUAACAAAAUAUCAUUAGAGAAAUGAAAAUAUUAUCUAACAUCACCCUACUGAUGAUAUGAAAAUAUGUAUGUAUGUAUGUAUGUAUAUACGUAUGUAUGUAUGUACAUAUAUACAUACACCUAUGUAACAUUUACUUAUACAUUCUUUUGAGUUUAAAUCUUAAUACACAUUUUCAUGAAAUUUUUAUUUUAUUAAGUAUACAACUACAUACAACUACAUUAAUGUAUAUAUUUUUUUACAUAAGACAUGCCGUCCUAUUAUUAAUAAGUCAACAAUGUGUUGUAAAUAGUGUUCGUGUCUCAAAGUUGACUUUUCGUCUUUUAUUUUCAGACGCAGACGCUGUGUCAUUUUGUAAUCUUCCAAACAUAUACAGAGCAGAAUUGGUGUUAUCUGAUUUUGUGAUGCAAUAAGAUUUGCACUUCCUGUGCAUUCAAUGGAAUCAUUUCUUUGUAACUAAUUGGGUGGUGGAAUGGUGGUCAAAUCUCGAACGAAGACAGAUCUAUCAAACUCCAGAAACAGGGAAACCAUGCCACGCUAGUAGACAAUAUGCUAGUUUGAACAAACUUGUUUGAAUGGCAAAAACGACAUGACCUGCUGUAGUAUUAAUUCUUUCCCGAACCAACGGGUGAUUUGCUACGUUGGAUCAUGAAAAUUGAAAAAAACAAUUAACGAAAAUAAAAAUUCUUAAGGAAUUAGUUAGUUAAUUGAUUGAUCGAAUUUAAUCUAAAUUUGAAAAUGAUAAGAUAAAUUUAAAUUUAUUAUUAUUAUUAUUAUUAUUUUAAAGUGGGUGGGUUUAUACAAUUUGAGCGGUGGAAAUAUCACUGCUGAAUUAUUAAAUAUACAGUGUAAAAUUUUGACCUUUAAAAUAUUCCCUUUUUUUUUUAUUUAGCACUAUAAGUUUAAAAAUUUAACAUUUUACCUCAAUAAUUAAAUACUUUUAACUUUAAUCUUCAAAUAUUUACCCUACAACAUUUGGACCUAAAUUUUUAAUCCGACUCGGCCCCUGACCCAAGUGGGAAGAAGAUCAAGCUUAUAACUAUCACCAACGUAACAUCUUCUGGAAAAUAAUAAGAUUACUCACCUACAAUUAUGUGAUCAAACUAAUGGUAAGCAAAAUAGAACAGCGUUAUUUCAGUCCCCUUUCAGUUUCUUUAUCAUUUUUCUUUUCCUAUUUAUAAGCUUAAUUCGGUCCAAUAUCGGCUAAUUCACUUUGAUUUCACUUUUCUUUCUUUCGGUUCAAAAAAAUUGAAUCCAUUGGCUGUCAAUUCAAUUUUGUUGAAAACCAACUUUGCCUGAAUUUGAGUAAUAAUAGAGGGAAAAAAAAUGAGUACUUAGCAGAAGAGAUUUCUCAUUUUUUUCUCAUUCAAACUUCUAAAAUAAAGGGAAAAAAAAAACAAGAGUAAUUGUUAAUUAUCAAAAAUUUGUUUAUACUAUUCCACCAAGAAAAUUAUAAAAUUUUUUUUAAAAAAAUUGGAGAAGAAAUAUGAGGUGAAAUACGUGGAUGGCUUAGACUAAUAAUGUGAACAAAUUCCUCUCGGAAACAUGUCAUUGUUCAUCCGGACAACACGCGGUGAUGAGAUUCAAGAAUUAAAUGAUAGGAAUCAACUGUAACCUCAUAAACAAAUGGCCUUGGAGUUGUAAACACCAAGCUCGGCAGAUUAAUUAAACAAGAAUAUCCGAAUUUUUUUAUGAUAAUCUCUAGGAAACGAUCAGCUAUAAUGUACGAAAUUAAAAUAUUGCAUAUAUUUUUGAACUCAUGCAUUAAUUUCAAAAAUUAUAUCGUAUUAUAAUUUAUUCACAAAAGAAAGAAAAAUUCACUAAUCAAUUGAAAUCGUACUCUUAUUGAAAUGAAUUCCAGUAAUUGGAUAAAUAUAAGUAUUUCUUCCAGUGUAAUUUUUGUUUAAUAGAAAAUCUAUUUGAGAUUUUGUGAGAAGAAACUCAACAAUAAAGUGUGAUAGACUUUGUGGGUAUUAAGAGUUUGACAAGUAUUUGAAAUCUGAAGUUUACGAGCAAACAAACUGAAAUCCGAAGUUUACUGAAGUUUACUAUCAAGAGUUUCAAAACAGUGAAAAAGAUGAUAUAGUUGAUGACAAAAACCUGAGUUAUCCAUAGCGACAAGUAACAUACUGAAGUAAGCCGUUGGGAGCUGGCCUGUUCAUGGGCUAUUUUUCUCUGAUGAUCUGCAUUUUUCUUCCUUUUAAAGUGAACCUUGACUCGUAUCAAACCUGUCAAAAGAACAGUUCAUCAACUGAGCUGAGAUUUGCUUUCCUUUUUCAAAACCCACCUGAGAUAUUGUAAUUCCCAAAUUUCCCUCUCUCAGCUACACGAGCAAGCAGCCGCUUUUUCACUUCAUCGAAGAAGGUAAGCGAUAUAUCUAUUUCGUCCGAUUGAUUUCUUGUUUCCUUUUCAGUGUUCGGGUAAAUUAUUGGCAUGCCUGACUUUUUGACCAUUACAUGAUUCAUAAAUUUCUAUUAAUUUUGAUUUUGAGUUGACUGGUUACUUUUAUAGGUUUGCUUAUUUUGACUAGGUGACCAAUUUCUUGUAACUUAAUUUAUGACGUGAUGCAGGAAGCUGGGCAGAAUAUGAAAUGAGAAUCUUAUUAGUGGAAGGAUUGCCAGUAACAGAACCCAAAGAAAAUGAAACCAUUUCAAGGCAGCAGUUGGCAGUUGGGAGUGAAUGGAGGCCCCUGACAAAACUUCAGUAAACUUCAGAUUUCAGUUUGUUUGCUCGAAACUUGCAUGGUGACAAGGAUACUGGCAAGGAUAAUGAGAUAGUUUUUGUGUGAAUGAAAUUACGACCAUCCUCAGCCUCAGGUAAUUUCUUCUCCUGCUUAGUUGUUAUUUGUUACCUAAUUAAGAAGCAUAAAGUAUCUUGAAUCAUUUUCGUUGUCUGGAAUAUAUGGAACAGUUUUUAAAAUUUUGAUAUUAGUGUAAUGAUUGUAAUUUCUGUUUUCUGUCUGUCAUCGAAUGUAAGACAACUUUAUUAAGACUCUUGAACCGAGUCAUUUUUGACAAUUGAAGGACAAGUGCUGAAGAGUGGGAAUGCAAAAAGUUUUGUUGUUUUUAGCCUUGUUUUCUUUGAACCAGCGCCUGAUUCACAAGACUCCAUUAAUUUGGCUUUUGAUCAGCUGAUAGAUAAAUGUUCAAUUUCUUUGGUGAUAAAUGUAUAUGUGAAGCAGGCAGCAGGGCAUGACUGUGGAAAAGAGAAGAUUUUAGUGAAAGCCGAGACUCAGAUAAUUCUACGCGUUUUGGCUGAUUUAUAUAAUUCGUGAAAUUUUAUUUCCAUCUGUUACAAGAUCAAACUGCAAUUAGCAAUUUAACAUUCCCUUAAAACCACUAGCUACAUUUCAUCUUUGCACAAUUACACUUAAAAUUCCACUAAAAGAAACUCUUGAGUUGCUCGCAAGCUAUAUAUCAUUAUCCAUUGAAUUCUUACCACAUAUAUCUCACCUUUCAAUCAAUUGUUGAAAAAUUCAAAUUUGGAAUUCAAAUACAUGCAUUCAAAUUUGGCUAAUACAUCAUUUGACCAACUUGCAUACACAUGCAUGCAUUCAACUUUGGAGAGGCAAAUUUGAAGACAAAUUCCUAUGGUAGGUGCCUAAUUUUUGUUGACAAUUUUGUUGGGUAGGUGCCUAAUUUAUGUUGACAAUUUUGUUGGGGUUGGUGCAAUAGUGCACCCCAUUUUUCCUUAUAAAUAGAAGGCAAUUCCUCAUUUGUUAAUCAUCCCAAUUUUGAGAGAAGUAGAGAGCAAUUGCAAGUGAGUUCUUUAAGAGAAUUUGAGAGAGCUUCCACUUGAGUGUUCUAGUGAAUUGGGGUUGUGGGUUUUGUGAGUUUUUUCCACUUUUGUAAAUUUCCAUUAUUAGUAAAAUUAUCUUUCAGUCUUUACCCGUGGAUAUAGGCAUUACGCCGAACCACAUGAAUCAUUGUGUUAUAUUUUCUUUGUAUUUGUUUAACACCACAUUUAUAUUUCUUCAGAAGUUGCAGUAUUAGUAAUUGCUCAACCCACGUUUCCGCAACAUCAAUCACAUAAUAAUCAAUAUACCUAUUGUAAGAAUUCAACAAAUGGAGAACAUAAUAUACUAUAAAAGCAUCCAAAAUUUUUCCAUCUCAAAUUAUUACUAAGCUUCUUGAACAAGUUGAAGAUUGGGGGGAAAAAGUGCAAGAAGGAAAAGCAUUAUUCUACUAGCUUCUGGGUUUCUCAUUUGAACAGAAAGAUUAAAUAAAAUAUUUGUGUAUGGCUGUAGUACUACACGGUAUCUGCUAGAAAGCAAAACACCUUCUGCUGAUUGCACAUUGGAAUGGGAAUAAGUUGGUAAACAUAUAAGUUACAUAAAUUAUUUUGGAUAAUUCUGCUGGUGAAUUAAUUAUCUUAAAAUCACCCUUUUAUUUUUUAAAAAAUCUUAAGUUAUUUUUCAUAUAUGUUAAGAAGACAAACAAACUUUCAUCAACUCUCCUUUUUUAGCUUUUCCCUUCAAUUUGUUAGAAGGCCAAUGAGCUAACCUAUGACACUGCUUGCCUAGAUUGCAGGAGGUCAAGGCUCAAAAGAAGCACUGAAUUUUAGAAGGCAUGCAAUAGUUCUUGUGCCAUAUGUCAAUUCAUGCAAGUUUGAAUAAGUUUAUUGGUUUGAACGCUGUUAGCUUCUUUUCCUUUCGUGCAUUUUGGUAUGCUAUCAAGUGACAGCCGUAUGUAUGGUUUGCAUAUAGCUGCUGCUGGGAAAUGUGAGGAUUUCAUGGCUGGCCGUGUUAUUGUCUUAAAUUAGAUGUGAUAAGCUGUUGCUUGGAGAUUCUGUUGCCAAGACUUUGCUCACAUCAGAAGCUGUGGAACCUCAACCCGUCUCUAGAUAUCAAAUUUUUCAUUGUUUUAAAAUUCUCAGGAUUGAACUUGAGUAACUUUGUUCGGUUGUCUAUAUAAUCAUGUAUUGAGUAAACUCUCAGGAUACUGAGCAGGGAAAUGCCAUAACUCGGUUUGUUCUUCAAAAAAUUGUUUAAGAUUCUUGACAAAGCUGCAUGAAGUGAAUCUUGGGAGCUUUGAGGGUGAGAGAAAUUAGAGGGUGUAUAGGGAUUUGGGUUUAUUAGGAAGUUAUAUAUGUAUUUCGUCACUUAUCAUUAUCAUUUUUAUUUUCACAGAAAACCUUCUGAUGGUGCUAAAUUUUCAAACACCGGUCCGAUUCAAAACUUCAUAUUCCAAUUAUAUUCAUAAGACAAAUGGAACACUUUGAACGGCUUGUGUCCGAGCAUUGUAGUUUGAUUUACUUUGAUGAAAGUACCUUUUGACAUUGAGAUUCUUUCAUGAUUUAAAUUUUUUUUUUUAAACCAAAUUAUUAAACAAAAGUAACUAACAUAUAUUAUUUUAUUAGUGCUUUUUAAAUCAAAUAUACAUAGGAGAACUGUAAUUCUUAGCAAUCAAUUUUCCACUAAAUACACCUGCAACAAACUAUUAAUAACAAAGUGAUAGAAAAUACCUGAUUUUUCAUACUUUCUAAUUUCUUUUGGUCCUAAAAUAUGGGCAUUUGUGUAAUAAUAAGCCCAUGUGGAUCUCUAUGCCAUGAGUUUGAUAAAUAGCUAUCAAGGAUCACUUAUUAAGCAAAAAAUAUUUGGAGGACAAAAUUGUAAAACUAAAAGGGUGGAGCAAAUAUGGCUAUCUAGGAUUAAAUAGUAAGUCAACUAUAUUUAAAGGAUAAAAUAUUAAAACUUGAACUGUGAUAUUAAAAAUAUCUCAACUAUUAUAUUAUUAAACCAUAUGUUUUAAUAGUUUUUUUUUUUUAAGCUUCAAAAUGUUCAGGAUUUUAGAUUGAAACAUUUUCAUUUGAAAUUAUUUGGUGCAGUCACAAGUUAAGAAAGAAAAAGUUGUCCCAUUGGUCAUUUCACAAAAAUGAAAGCCCUGUAUAACAUGGACUUGAAUGGAAGCCCAAUUGUUUGUGUUUGAUUAAUUGAUUUCAAGCUUUAUCUGACCUUUGGACCUGGAUACUUUACCGCGGCCUCUAAGCGCUAUAAAUUUUUUUUUGGGAUAAACGGCGCUUCAAUGAGGCCAUUUCCAAUGCUUAACACCAUUUUGGUGUAACGCCAACAUUAAAAAUGUACAUUUUUCACACUAAAUUACUAUUUAAUCUCCAACCCAUUUGAUCUACCAUAAUUGUGCUGGGGCCACGUUAUGUUGAUCUCCCUCUCGUCACCAAUAGCUCCUCCGCUUGCUGCGAACUUGCUUGUUUGUUUUCCUUAUUUUUCUGCCUACUCUCCUCAUUUAAUACGGAGGCUACAACAUCAUCGAAAACUAAACUGUCCACUGGAUUGUUGUUUGUUAGGUUGAUGAUGAGUUGAUCAUACGAAUCUGGUAGACUUUGAAGUAGAAGCUCUGCACGUACAUUAUCCUCUAUAUUAUGACCCAACGUUGUGAGUUGUGAAAAUAGAGUCUUCAAGGUGUUGAUGUGGUCGGUCAUCAUUGUAGAUUCCGCCAUUCGAAGAGUAUAAAGUCUCCUCUUCAAGAAGAUUUUGUUGUGUAGUGACUUGGCCUUGUACAAUUUUGUAAGAGUAUCCUAUAUUUCCUUCGCUGUAUUUUUCUCUGCCACACUGGAUAAUACUCCAUCCGCAAGUGCCAAGUGUAGAUCAGAAAUAGCAUUGCCAUCUAUCUCAUUCCACUUGCCAUCAGUUAUCUCCACAAGUCUUUCUCCAAUUGCUGCCAAGCAAUUAUUUUUCCUCAAUACAACUUUCAUCUUCAUUUUCCACAACGAAAAAUUAUUUUCGUUAAACUUCUCAAUUCCAUACUUUGCCGUCAUUUUGUUGAUAAAUAUCGCACACAAGUUAGUGUACCACCUUGAAUAGUUGUGAGUAUGUGUGAGAAUGCACACCAGGAAAGUUCCCAGGAAAGACUGGAGGGGUUACACUAGUCCCACUUAAAACCCAGACUCCUUAAGCUCUUAUCGCCUUUGUGACAGAAUUUUCCUAGACAUGUACAAAACCACACAGUUACUUUUACUCACACCACUCUUUCCUGCUUUGCACCGUAAAAGUUCUUGGAUCGCUCCCACCGUUUCUCGUGAACAGUACCGUAUACGUGAACAAUGUCGUACACGUGAAUAGUAUCGUAUACGUGAAUAAUACCGUAUACGUGAAAUUGAAACCUCACAUCAUUUAUUCUUAUUAAUAAAUCUCAAGAUAAAUAAUCAUUAUUCAUACUCCAACUGAAUCCUUACAUAAAACAUAUGAAAUAAGGUCUCCAAAGAAAAGUCUCUAAUGCAAAAUAAGAAGUCUAGCCAAAUUUAAUCUUUAAAGCAACUCCAAAGAUCCACUAAGAAAAAUUCUCCGUCUAAGAACCCAAGCCAUAUCUCUAAUCAAUCUGCAAAAUAUUAGAGACGAGGGGUGAGCCGUCAACUCGGUAAGCAAAUCCAUGCACAAUAUUUGAAAACCUUUGUCAUAUACCUUUAAACACAUCUUCAUUGAGCAUAAGGGGUGGAUUCAUAUAAAAGCAUUAAAAACAUUAAAACAUUCAUAAAAACAUUAAAACAUAAAUAUUGGUAGCUCAUGCCUCGUAGUCAUCAUCAUUCAUCAUUCAUCAUUUAGGGUGUUAUACCCCGCAUAGUUCCUCAUUCAGGGUACUAUACCCCACAUUGUUCAUCACAUCCUUGUGCACAAGAUCAUCAUCAUACCAGCAAGCUGGUUAUAGCAUUUCAUAACAUCAUAACAUUAAUAUCAUAUACAUUACUACGGACUAUGAGCCAAAACAUUUUUGAAUCCACCAUACAUCCUUUCAUAAAUAGCAUUUAAAGUCUUCUAAAACAUUUAAGAACCUUUCUUUGAUCAUUUAACUCUUUUUGAAAAUUCUUUAAGAAAACAUUUUGUUUAAGAAAACUAAUUUCUUAAGAAAAAUUCAUUUUAAAAUACAUUUAUAUAAAUUCAUUUAAAAGUGUUUUUAUUUUACAAAAUUCAUUUAAAUAUUUUAGAAAUCAUUUUGUAAAAAUUUCCAUUUAAACAUAAUUUUUGUAACAUAAAUUGCAUUUAUUAUAAAGCACAUCAUGCAUGAAUCUACUUACCUCGAUCCGUAGCAAUCAAUACUUCAAGAACAACCAACGAGCUCACCCACAUCCUAUAAUCAUCAUAAAAAUAUUCUUAUCAAUAUCAUCUCUAACCUUAAAUAUAAUCCCGAUCAUCCUUAAAUCAUAGACACUAAUACUAGCUUAAUACUAAUACAUAUUCUAAACAUAUCCUAUACUUAUGAGUAUCCUACACAUGCUGAUUUUUAAUAACCUAUACACAUGUCGGAAAACCAUGAAAAUUUACAGAGGCACUGUGAACAUGAAUAGCAUUGCAUACAAUAUUUCACAAAAAUCAGCACAAGUCAAAAUCGAGUCAGAAUAUUGACCUUUCACCAAAGUAACAAAACUGUCCAGCACCGACCAAAACAGACCUUUUCCACUUAGAAAAUUCAUAAAAUAUUCUUUGGUACUUGAAAUAAUAUGCUUCUUUUUUUUUCUAAUUACAUAAGACACAUUCAAAAAGAAUAUAAUUAAAAUUCAUAAUUUUUGGACUUCUGAGACUAUUUUAAAACGUUUUAUUUCCGAGAACAUCUAACCCGUCCAGAAAAUUCCAGUUUUGAAAACAAAAUUUCAAAAAUUCGUAUCUUUUAUUUUACAUGCCCAAAAAUCGCGAUUCCAGUUUUUAAAGACAGAGGAAAGAUUGAAAUUUCAUUACAAAAUCCUACCAUGGCAUGUAAUAUUCAUAAACUAGCCCAACUGUUACACGUUUCAGCUUCUGAAAUUCUGGAAAACAGUUUCCAGAUUUGCAGCAGCCAUAUGUUACGAUUUUUAAUAAUUCAACCAUAAAGAAUAAAAUUACGAAAUUAAACAUGAAAGCAUAGGAGACAUAGAUCUGUUGGCACAAAAAUCAGCAUAAUUUUUAAGGACGUGUAACCUUAUAGAAAAAUUUCCAGAGUUGAGAACCGCUACUGAAAAUCGGAAUUUUCCAGCACCAGUAACCCAACUUCGAAAACCCAUAACAAUUUGCAUACUCAGACGAUUUCAACACAAAACCUAUCAAUGGAAAGCCUAGGAUGUCUAGUUCCAUGAUAUGUAAGAUAUUCACGUGAUUCUAAAUAAAGAAAACAAUUUCAAGCAAGGAAUAGAGACUGUUCAUAUCAUCACAACAUUACAAACACACAUAUAUUACCCAAAUCAUACUACAAGUAAUUAAAGGCAAACAAUUUCAUAAAAAUAAAUCAUAUAAGUCCAAGAAAUACUUAAUACCUUAAGGCAAACACUAAGAAAAGAAGUGAUGAUGCUUUCUUUUCCUUCUCCAACGACUUAUAUUUCUUUCUUUUCUUUCUAGGGUUUGUCCAAGCAAUCACUUUCAUCAAACGACAGCGUUGAAGGAAUUGUGCAAUUUUUAACGUUCUUUUCUAGACAGAAGUCACAGAGAGGGGAAAGGAGAGGAUUGGCCUUAGAUAUCUCACAAUUAUUAUUGAGAUAAAACGUUAUUGUAAAAGACGAUUAACAGAAUAAUAUUGAUUCUUUUGCAUUGUUAUAAUAAUAAUUUUUUCUUUUGACAGUUCUGCAGGACAAGUGAUCAGAGCUCAAUGAAUAUAGCCGUGGAGGCUGAACUUAGGUUGAUGUCAAAAGAGGUAAUUGACUUGGCCUGUUAAUAUAUAUAUAUAUAUAUAUAUCAUAUGAUGCAGGCCACAGCAGAGCAGGAUUAUGAAAAAGAGAAGCUUAUUACAGGUCAUUCAAGUUUACUUGCUUUUAUAUAAUAAGUGUUUUGGCCGAUUUAUCUAAUUCACAAAAUAUCAUUUCCGGUACAUAUCUCCAUCGGUAUCAAGAAGAGGCAGAACCCAAAGAAACGUUUCAUGCAUCUUCAUAUUUGUGCGAAUCCAUCCUUUCAUUGAGAAUAACCAUUUCCAGGCAGCAGUUGGCAAUCAAUUCGCACGUCGAUGCUAUUCAUAGAUAUUAAAGACAAUGAUGAACCAAAGGUGAUAAGUCAUAAAUGCAUAAUUACCAAACCUCCAUCCUUCUCUCAUUAUGAUGUGAUUUUAAAUGAAUUAUUGCUUGGUAAGUGGUAACAUUAUUUCCAAACCAUUGCAAGUCCUUUUUUUUUUUUUGGGGAGAAAUUUCAAUUGAAAGUGAUUCCUUGUCUAAUGUCACCAUCAAACAACAAAUUUAAAAGCCUACCUAUCAAAUACAUGAGGCAAUAAACGGAGAAAAAGUUGAAUUACAAGAACAAGUUGACGAUUCUUGUCAAUGGUUAAUGAUUCGUGAACUGAGAUAGCAUUCAAGAAUCCAAUUUCAAUACAACAACGUAAAAGAUAAACAGAUGAUGAAUUUUAUGAGAUAAAGAAGGAGAUCGUGUUUUAUCGUAUCUCUAUUUUCUUUCUUUUUAAAUUUAAAAUAAGCUUUUCAAUCGGUUUGUUAACCGGUUAUAAUAUUUUUUAAAAUAAUUAAAUAUUUUCAUUAUUAAAAAUAAUGUGUACCGUUGAUUACAUCUAACGGUACAUAUUUCUUACACUAUUAAUACCGUAAAAAAAAUCAUAGAAGGAACCUUAAAACAUUUUCAUUUAAAAUUAUUUGGUGUAGUCAAAAAGUAAUUAAGAAAGAAAUAAUUGUCCCUUUGGUCAUUUCACAAAAAUGAAAGCCCCAUAUAACAUGGACUUGAAUAAUGGAAGCCCAAUUGUUUGUGUUUGAUUUCAAGCUUUAUCGGACCUUUGGACCUGGAUACUUUACUGCGGCCUCUAAGCCCUAUAAAUUUUUUUUGGGAUAAAAGGCGCUUCAAUGAAAAAGCACUUUAAAACUUUGGAUUUUGCCAAAACUUCAAAGCGGUUGCGGUGUUAUGCUAACGGGUUUAAAGGUUCCGAUCCAAUGAGUUAGGGUGGAAUAUGAAUAUAUAAAUUCCAUAGCAUGUAAGGACUAGGAUUUGUUUGUUCAUAUCAAGAAAAAAAAUCUGAAAAUUUGAUGAUCAGAAGAUAAGAACACUUAAAACACGUUUAUUACAGAGAAACAAACGACAACAUGAUACUAGUAGUAGUUAUUCUUUUCAUCCGAUAUAUUACAUGGUAAUAUCACUACUCGUUCCACUGGUUUCAUAUACACCAUCGACCAGCAACAUGAUAAUUUUGUGUCUGUUCAUUUUGUUUGUAGGAAAGAGCAGUGUAUUUCUUAGAGCUUGAAAAUAAUAAAAAGAUUUUAAAAUAUAAAUUGCAUAUUUGUUUAUUGCUGUUGUUUGGUCUAAUUUCUAAUUUCUUAUAUAUUCACAUACGUUUUAUUUUGUCAUUUUGUAGAACAUUUUUACACGCCAUAUUAUCACGUCUCUUCUCUGUCUGAAUAAGAAGAAGGCAUAAUGCGACCCUCCAACAGCUUAAUCUAUGGAAUUAUCGUGUUUUGUAAGUUGAGGUCCAAUGGCGUUUUGGCACAUCAUAUGAUAGACCACUAUAUUGCGUUGCUUUACAAAAGAUUAAUAUUUUUAUUUAUCUAAUUCACCAAAUGUUUUUUUCCGGUACAUAUCUCCAUUGGUAUCAAGAAGAAGCAGAACCCAAAGAAACGUUUCUUGCAUCUUCAUAUUUGUGCGAAUUCAUCCUUUCAUUGAGAAUAACCAUUUCCAGGCGGCAGUUGGCAAUCAAUUCAUUCGCACGUCGAUGCUAUUCAUAGAUAUUAAAGACAAUGUUGAGCCAAAGGUGAUAAAUCAUAAAUGCAUAAUUACCAAACCUCCAUCCUUCUCUCAUUAUGAUUUGAUUUUAAAUGAAUUAUUGCUUGGUAACAUUAUUUCGGGAAACCUUUAGACAUUUACCUAAUGAAGUUAGUUAAUCGGGUGGGUUGGAAAAAAAAAAAAGUUGACGCAAGUCAAUGCACAAUGAUUAAUUAAAUCCGGAGUGACUAAAACAGAGCCACUACUUUUUCAAAAAUAUCUGCAUUCAUCACUUUCUCCAGCAACUAGUCAGCUACACACGAAUCAAUUUCUCUCCUCGUUUGUUGUCAUCCAAAAUUAUUCACCAAUACCAUGGCUGAUGCAAUCGUUUCCACUAUCUUGGAGCAGCUGAUUUCCUUCGCUGCUGAAGAGAUAAAACAACAGGUGAUCAAAGUUACACCCCUCAUAUUACAAAUGCUUCCAAUGAUUUUAAUUGGUUUUGUUUUUAUUGAAAACAUUAUCUAUUGUUGCUUUAUUUUAUUUAUCUGGUAAUUUUGUAUUUUGAAAUUUGAAUUGAAUUUAAUUAAAAGGUGAUGUAGUGACCACUCAUUUUUAUUUUAUUUCAUUUAUAUUCUCAAUAACUACCCAUAUUUUGGUAACUUAAUAUAACUCUCGUACAUAAGCAAUGAUCAAAACCCACAAUUUUAACUCUGUAUAAAUAUUCAACGUUGAGUCAUUAAUUCUCAACUCAGCACUGAAUCCCAUAGCUAUUACUUAGACUCUAUGAAAAAUUUCAUAGUUUUCUUACAUUCUUUGAGUUUGGUAAGUGAUUUCAUAUAAUUUCUUUUCAAGUUAAAUUUUAAUUUGGUUUCUGAUAUAGUCUCUUUGCCGAAUUGUCUCUUUUAUGAUUCUUGGAUUUUGGGCUUCAACUUUUUAGGAUUUGAUAGUCACAUUUUAUGCCGUGCUCAGAUUGAUUUUCAUGAUUUUUAGUAGCCGUUAAGUGACUUACAAUUUGACGAAAGUUUGAAAGGAAAUAUGUUUCAGGAUUAUGUUUUAAUUGACCUUUUAGUGGAAAUAGGAUGCUUAUAACUUAAUGUGGAUGGUUCGUAAAAUCAUGAAAUUUGGAUAGGAUUCACUAGAAAUAUGUACAAGACUCUCCAUAAAGUUUCAUAAUUUUUCAUUCGGUCUGGGGUGGUACAGGUGAAGCUUGUGGUUGGUGUUGACAAAGAAGUGAAAAGCCUUACCAGCCACCUUCAAGCCAUUCAAGCUGUUAGCGAUGAUGCAGAGGAAAAGCAAGUGAAGGACAAAGCUAUUAGACUUUGGCUGGGUAGGCUCAAGUACGCAUCCUACGACAUUGAAGAUGUGUUGGAUGAAUGGAUCACGGCAAGACAAAUUGCAAAUUAAGGGUGGCGCUGAUAAGAAAAAGAAGGUAUGUUUCUGCUUUCCCGCCUCUUGUUUUGGAUUCAAACAAGUCUUUCUACGUCAUGACAUUGCCAACAAGAUCAAAGAAGUCAGUGAAGAGCUACAUGAUAUUGCCACCCAAAAAGACAUGUUUAAAUUUGAGAGUAGCAGUAAAAGUAGUGAAAGACCAAGGCGUGUGCAGAGUACCUCCUUGAUUGAUGAGGAAGAGAUUUGUGGUAGAGUUGGUGAGAGGAAUGCACUCUUAAGCAUGCUAUUGUGUGAGAGCAGUGAGCAACAAAAAGGCCUUCAUAUCAUCUCAAUUGUUGGUAUGGGAGGCAUCGGGAAAACAACUCUUGCACAACUAGCAUGUAAUCAUGUUGAGGUAAAGAGAGAGUUUGACAAAAUUUUAUGGGUGUGUGUAUCAGAAACUUUUGACGAGUUUAGGAUUGCCAAAGCGAUGCUUGAAGCUUUGACUGGUUCAACUUCUAAUUUAGAUGCAUUGCAAUCUCUUCUUAUAAGUAUUGAUGAAUCUAUUGCGGGAAAGAGAUUUCUUCUUGUCUUAGAUGACGUGUGGGACGGAGAUUACAUUAAAUGGGAACCAUUCUACCGUUGCCUAAAGAAAGGUCUCCAUGGAAGUAAAAUUUUAAUUACGACACGUAAGGAGUCAAUUGUGAGCAUGAUGAGAUCCACAGAUAUUAUCUCUAUCAAGGAAUUGGCUGAAGAAGAAUGUUGGGCAUUGUUUAAGCGGUUAGCAUUUUUCGGUCGUUCCACUGAGGAGUGUGAAAAAUUGGAACAAAUUGGUCAAAGAAUUGCAAGAAAGUGUAAAGGUUUACCUCUUGCUGCAAAGACAAUGGGAAGUCUCAUGAGCUCUAAAAAAACUGAAGAAGAGUGGAAAAGAAUUUUAAAUAGUGAUUUAUGGAAGGUAGAAGAGAUCGAGAAAGGUGUUCUAACCCCUUUGUGGUUGAGUUAUAACGAUUUGCCAUCUAGAGUAAAAAGAUGUUUCUCGUAUUGUGCUGUCUUUCCAAAAGACUUCAAUAUAGAAAAAGACAAACUAAUUACUUUGUGGAUGGCUCAAGGUUAUCUUAGUGCAGAAGAAGAUGAGGAGAUGGAGACUAUAGGUGAAGAGUAUUUUAGCAUCUUAGCUUCUCGCUCUUUCUUUCAAGAGUUUAAGAAAAGUUAUGAUAAUCGGAUUAUAGAGUGUAAGAUGCAUGAUAUGGUACAUGAUUUUGCCCGAUUUGUAAGUCAAAAUGAAUGUUUUUCGAUGGCAAUUAAUGGUAGUGAAGAACCAAACGCCACAAACUCUCUUGAUGAGAAGGUCCGUCAUUUAAUGUUAAUCUUUAGUAAAGGGGCUUCAUUACCUGUUUCCACUCGUAGAGUUAAAAGAAUGCGUACCCUCUUAGUUAACGAUAGUGGAGCUGAAUCAUCUGAUCAUUCAUCAUUAAAUGCUGAGAUCGUAGAAGAAUUAUUUAGGGAAUCGACAAGUUUAAGGGCAUUAGAUUUUGGCGGAUCGUACGACACAAAAUUUUCUUUGACUCUGGAGAUUCCGAGAAACAUAGAAAAGCUGGUACAUUUAAGAUACCUUAAUUUGUCUUAUCAGGGAAUAAAGAAACUACCCGAGACAUUAUGCGAGUUGUAUAAUCUAGAAAAGUUAGAUAUUAGUUAUUGUUAUAAGCUAGAAGAAUUACCUGAAGGGAUUGGGAAGUUAAUAAACAUGAAGCAUUUACGAAAUAGAGGUACUAGUUCUUUAAGGUACAUGCCAGUAGGGAUUGGGAGAUUAACGGGUCUUAGGACCUUGGGUGAGUUCCACGUGAGUGCAGGAGGAGGUGUUGAUGGUAGGAAAGCAUGUAGGCUUGAAUCUCUUAAAAACUUGGAAUGCCUUCAAGUAUGUGGUAUACGUAGACUGGGUGAUGUAUCAGAUGUGGGCGAGGCUAAGCGAUUAGAACUUGACAAAAAGAAAUACCUCUCUUGUUUGAAACUUCGGUUUGAUAAGAAGGAGGAAGAAGAUGAGGAGGAAGAAGAAGGAGAAAGGAGGAAGAACGAGGACGAUCAACUUCUUCUUGAAGCCCUGCGACCACCUCUGGAUUUAAAGGAAUUAGAGAUACAGUACUACCGAGGCAACACUGUUUUCCCUAAUUGGAUGAUGUCAUUAACCAACUUAAAGAGUUUAGAUCUCUCUUUCUGCGAAAAUUGCGAGCAGCUGCCUCCUUUGGGAAAAUUGCCGUCCCUUGAAAAACUCAGCCUAUUGCACAUGCGGAGUGUGAAAAGAGUGGGUGAUGAAUGUUUGGGGAUAGAAAGUGAUCAUCAUGACUCAUCGCCAUCUUCAUCAGUUAUUAUUGAAUUCCCCAAAUUGAAAUCACUUUCAAUUCAGUUUCUGGGCGAAUUGGAGGAGUGGGAUUAUGGGAUUACAAGAACGGGAAACACCGUCAUCAACAUCAUGCCACGUCUUUCUUCCUUGGAAAUUGGUAGCACCAAAUUAAAGGCACUGCCCGACCACAUUCAUCAAACGACAACAUUGAAGGAAUUGCGCAUUUGGGGGUGUAGGCUUCUGGGAAAACGUUACCGCAAGGGGGAAGGAGAAGACUGGCCUAAGGUAUCUCACAUUCCCAACACAGAUAUUCGAUAAGAAGGAUUCGCGCAUUCGAGAUUUGGCGUUGACAAGUAAUUUCUUCUCUUACUCUGAUUUGCUUUUGUUGUUGUUUUUAAUCUAGUUAAGAAGCAUAAAUAGCAUUUUGAAUCAAGCUGUAUAUCAGAAAUCUGUAAUACAUAUUUUCUAUUAUUCCGAUUUUAAUUUGUGAUUUGGGUAACGUUACUGUAAAACAUUAUUAAUGCAAUAUGAAGGCUGUAAAACAUUAUUAACCUAUUACUGUAAAACAUUAUUACUGUAAAACAUUAUUAACCUAUGUUUAGCUGGCUUUGGAGUUGAGUAAUAACCUUUCGAGGUCGCGCCUAUAAAAUGGCUAAGCUCAAUUUGCCACAGAUUACAUGUAUUGCCAUCAUUGACAAUUUUCUGGAUAAGUGAUGAAGGGUGAGAAUGGUGCUAGAAUAUUGAAUAAAGCUGUCGUGACUGAACUUUGGUUGAUCUCAAAAGAGGUAUAUUAUUGGCAUGCCUAGCUAAUUUGACCACUUCCUGAUUCAUAAGCCUAUAUCAAUUUUGAUUUUGAGUUGAGUGAUUAAUUUUCAAGGUUUGCUUACUUAACCGGUGACCAAUUUCUUGUAACUAAAUGUAUCAUAUGAUGCAGGCAGCAGGGCAGGAUAUGAAAUGAGUAGUUUAUUAGUGGAUGGAUUGCCAGAAACAGAACCCAAAGAAAAUGAAAACAUUUCGAGGCAGCAGUUGGCAGCUGGCAAUGAAUGGAGGCCCUUGAAAAAAUUCCCAAGCCGUUGCACAGCAAUUACGAUCAUCCUCGGCCUCAGGUAAUUUCUUCUCCUGCAUUUUUGUUAUUUGCUAUCAAGUGACUAUUUUAAGUAUGAUUGCAUUAAGCUGCUGCUGGGAAAUUUGAGGUUUUGAUGGCUGCCCAUGCUAUUGUCAGAAGCUGCGGUUCUUUUCAUCAGCCUGAACCUGGACCUGCCGCUAUGGAUAACUCAGAUUUUUUUUUUUUUUUUAAUCAACUGUGUCAUCUUUUCCACUGUUUUGAAACUCUUAAGAUUAAACUUUAGUAAAGUUGUUUUAGUUAUCCAUGUAAUCAGGCUGAGGAUACUUAGCUGCCUAUUUAGGCAAAUGUCAGACUUUAGUUUGUUCGCUGGGAACUGGUGUGGUGACAGCGUCCUGGCAAAGGAUGAUGAGAUAGUUUUUUGAUUGAGUAAAUUUUGGGAGCUUGAGUGUAUUGGGAUUUGCAAUUACAAUCAUCCUCUGCCUCAGGUGAUUUCUUCUCCUGCCCUGUCGUUGUUUGUUCUCUAAUUCAAAAUUAUAAAAUAUUUCAUCAAAUUUUAUGCCAGGAAUAUGCAAAAGUUUCUAAUAUUUUAUUUCCAUCUGUUUGCCUUGAUAACUUUGCAGCAAAUGUACUAGUUAAAGAACAAAUCGAAACAGAGUUCAGUUAAAAGUUUCUUCUGCCGUCAUAUUUGAAAAAUGAACCCAUUUCCAGGAAGCAAUGGGCAGCAAAUUCAUAUAAAGCGUAGACAAUGAUGAGCAAACAGGUGAUUCACAAUUUCACUUUUUUUAAUGAAAUUAAUUGUUUGGUUGGAGCGGACAUUGUUAGAAGGCUAUUGAGCUAACCUAUGUCACUACUUGCCUAGAUUACAGGGGGUCAAAACUCAAAAGCGGCAUUGAAUUUUAAAAGGCAUCCAAUAAUUCUGGCUUUUGUUAUCAACUAUAUCAUCUUUUUCACUAUUUUGAAACUCUUAAGAUUAAACUUUAGUAAAGUUGUUUCAGCUAUUCAAAUGAAAAACUCAUUGAUUUGAGACUUCCUUCAUUAUUGUUUCUAAUUACAAUGCUAACGAUCCAGAUAAGAUAAUAUUUAAUCGGCGAAGGUGUCCCUUGGAAGUACAUCCUUCUUUUUCUUUUGUUAUAUAAAUUCUUGCAAUGAGCUUAGUGAAGCUGUUGUGCUAAUCAUGCCACUGCAUAAUUUGUUCUGCAAAUUCUCCAGAGGUUAAAAUCAAUAAAUUUUCUAUUAGCUCUAGUGCUUUGACUUAAAUGCUAUUCUAUAUUCUGAUUACAAUGUUUUAACCUUUAAAUUAACUACCCCUAGAUGUUGGAUUUUCUAGAACUUCAAAAUGAUUAAUGGAGAAAGAUCCCAUUAUCGUUAUUGCUAUAUGAAAUUGAUUUAUGCAUCCAAAGAUACAUUAUAUAUUUCUGUGUCUCUAUUUAUAGAUGACAUUUAAGCAUCCAUAAACCGUCAGACAGAGGAAGGGGGUUCAGUGCAAAGAUUCUGUUGACCUAGGGUUGACUGCAUAAUGUCACUUGUUCGCAAUCUAUUAUUUAUUUUAUAUUUUGAAGAAUUUAAUGGGUAAUCCUAACUGUUUGUUUUGGCAGGUAUGUGUUGUUAUCUCCUUCUAUCUUACAGUCGUACCUAAAUAGCAUAGUUUCAUCUGUGUUACCAUGUGAUGUACAUAAUUUCACAUUUGCCUCAGAUUAAGCUUAAUUUCCCACAGAAUAGAGCUGUCGCGACUGGACUUAGGUUGAUGUCCAAAGAGGUAAAUUAUUGGCAUGCCUAGAUAAUUUGGCCAUUUCCUAAUUCAUAAGUCUACAUUAAUUUUGAUUUUGAGUUGACUGAUUUCUUUUCAAGGUCUGCUUCCUUAACGGAGUGACCAAUGUUUUUCAACUAAAUUUAUCAUAUGAUGCAGGAAGCAGGGCAGGAUAUGAAAUGAGAAGCUCAUUGGUGGAAGUAUUGCCAGUAACAGAACCCAAAGAAAAUGAAACUAUUUCAAGGCAGCAGUUGGCAGUUGCAAGUGAAUGGAAGCCCUUGACAAAAUUCUCAAGCGGUUGCAAUGCAAUUACGAUCAUCCUCAGCCUCAGGUAAUUUCUUCUCCUGCUUUGUAUUUAUUUGUUAUCUAAUUAGGAAGCGUAAAGUAUCUUGAAUCAUUUUCUGUAUCUGGAAUAUAUGCAAGAGUUUCUAAAAUUUUGAUAUGAGUGUAAUGAUGGUAAUUUCUGAUUUCUGUCUGUCAUCAAAUGUUAGAAAACUUUCAUUGAGACCCUUGAACCGAGUCAUUUUUGACAAGUGAAGUGCUGAAGAGUGAAGAGUAAGAAUGGUGCUAGAUUGGGGAAUAAAGCAAAAGGAGGUAAAUUAUUGGCAGCUUCUUCAACCUUAUUUUCUUUGGACCAGUGCCUAAUUCACAAGUCUCCAUAAUUCGGCUUUUGACCAGUUGAUAGAUAAAAUUUUAAUUUCAUUGGUGCUAAUGUACCCGUGAGGCAGGCAGAGAAGGACUGUGGAAAAGAGAAGGUUUUUAGUGAAAGCUUAAACUCAGGUAAUUCUAAAAAUUAUAUGUUUUGGCUGAUUUAUCUAAAUCAGGAAAUUUUAUUUCCAUCUGUUACAAUAAAACAGAAACAGAACACAAAGAAAAAUAUUCUACUUCUUGUGGCAAUCUUGCCUUCAUUCAGACUAUGAAACCAUUUCCUUUCACCAAUUUCUUCCAAAAGUUUGAACACGUUUCAUGGUUGGACAUAGUUAGCUUCUUUUUCUUUUGGUGCAUUUAGGUGCUAUCAAGUGACAGCCAUAAGUAUGAUUGCAUUAUUAGGAAAUUUUAGGUUUUGAUGGCUCCCCAUGUUAUUGCCAAGAAAUUUUAAGUCCUCAUGUCAGAAGCUGCGUUUCUUUUCAUCAGCCUGAACCCGAACCUGUCACUAUGGAUAACUGAGGUUUUUGUCAUCAACUAUAUCAUCUUUUUCACUGUUUUGAAACUCUUAAGAUUAAACUUCAGUAAAGUUGUUUCAGUUAUCCAUGUAAUCAGGCUAAGGAUAUUUAGCAGCUUAUUUAGGCAACUGCCAGAAUUCAGUUUGUUCGCUCGAAACUUGUAUGGUGACAAGGAUACUGGCAAGGAUAGUGAGAUAAUUUUUUGUGUGAGUGAAUUUUGAAAGCUUGGGUGUUCUGGGAUUUGCAAUUGCAAUCAUCCUCUGCUUUAGGUGAUUUCUUCUCCUGUUCUGUCUUUAUUUUCUCUCUAAUUGAAAGCAUUUCAAUCAAAUUCUGUACCAGGAAUACGAAAAAUUUACUAAUAUUUUAUUUCCAUCUGUUUGCAUUGAUAACUUGGCCGCAUAUGUACUAGUUAAAGAACAAACAGAAGCAGAGUUCAGGAAAAAGUUUCUUCGGCCACCAUAUUUGAAAAUGAAACCAUUUCCAGGAAGCAGUUGGCAGCAAAUUCAUACAAAGUAUAGACAAUGAUGAGCAAAAAGGUGAUUUGCAAUUUCAUUUUUUUAAAAUGAAAUUAUUUGUUAAGUUGGAGCGGAUAUUGUUAGAAGGCCAGAAGGCCACUGAGCCAACCUAUGACACUGCUUGCCUAGAUUGCAGGAGGUCAAGACUCAAAAGAUGCACUGAAUUUUAAAAGGCAUGCAAUAAUUCUUAUGGCCAUUUGUCAAUGGUGGAAUGCUUUUAGCUUCUUUUCCUUUCGUGCAUUUUGGGGUUCUAUCAAGCGACAGCCGUAUGUAUGGAUGGAUAUAGCUGAAGGACAACAUUUGUCCAUGAGGUUCCUAAAAUCGCAACUUUUGUGCAGUAAAAUUAAAACGGACGGCGGAAGCUCUAGAAACCUCGGAUCGGCUUCAUUCAAAAACGAAAAUCAAGAGGAAAGAUUGAAGUUUAAUUACCUCACUUGCAGUUUCGAAAAAGACUUCGUGAGGUAGGAGAAAACGACUGAAAACAGCAAGCUACGAACAUUGUCCAGAAAAUACAGCUCUGCACGAACAGCUUCUGUUUUGCCACGAUCUGAGAUCCUUAAGCACCCCAAUUGUGAUGCCUCUAAUUAUUCCACACUUAGAAAUGUUCUAGGAGUUCAGAGGAUUUGGAAUCACGAAAUUUCGUUUAGAAAUGAGAGAGAUAAUGAUGAAACAUGAAUGCUAGUUCAUGAUGAUUCCCCUUCCACCAAAUAAAGCACCAUUAUGUCUAAUAAUGGCACCAAACAUUAUCAUGUGCUAGACCCACCCACUUAGCUAUAAUUUAUUGAAAGUGAUCUUAUCACUUAAAUAAAUUAUUUAAUCAAAUUAAUAAAUAGCUAAAUUAAUUAAUUUCGUAAUUAAUUAAUUAACCCCAUUUUGAUCAAAUCAAAUGGUUAAAUGUGGGCUCAUUUUGUGACAUGUUCUAAUGCUUUCUCUUAAUCCAUAUUAGAUCCAAUAAAAGCCCAAAAUUCUAAACCUAAAAAUGGUCUAGAAGUCCAUAAUCAUAUAUGAACCCGAACAUGUUCAAAAUGGUCAUUUUACGUGCUCGAUAUUACAUAAUGUUUAAUGGAGGAUUUACGAAAUUUAUUUUGUUCCUUAAACUAUUUAUGGAACAUCUAAAUUUCUAUCUUAAAUCAUAUUUAAGAUAUAUUUAUAUAUAUAUAUUCAUUCUCAAUGAAUUAUAAUAUAAAUAUUGAUUUUCCUAAAAAUAGAAAAUUUAACUUCUCAUUUUUUAGUAACUCCUUUUUCAUUUCUAUUUAGUGUGUGACUUUUUAGGUUCUUAGUUAUAAGGUAGUAGAACUAUUUUAAUGAUAACUCUUUAUUCAUUAAAUGAUGCUAAACUCUUUAGUCAUCAAUUAGAACUCUUCUAAUGACCUUAAGAUGCAUUGAUAAUACGCUUUACCAAUAUUGAUCUUAAGGUUUCUACAAAUCAUGAGUGACACCUAGCAGUAUAUCACAACCAUCCAAAUAACAAGAAUUGUUGGAUCUAUAGAACCUAUUCCAUUGUAUCUCUAUGUCUUGGUCUCUUCAUCAUCCAUGUCUAGAGAAAAGCACGGCUUAUGGUUUAUUAUGUUAAGCACUUAUGCUUUAUCUCAAAAAAAAUCUAAAUGAACUUGACAUGAAAAUAUAAUUUGAACUCCUUCAAAUAUAUUUCACCUUGGCCAAGGAUUUCUCAUGCCAAUUCAUAUUAUCUCAUAGGGACAUCCUUUUUGUAUAUUACAAAGUGAUGAAUUCCAUAUUGGCCAUGCACUAGUCUUCAUACAUAUCCAACCAUGACAGUUAUUGCUAGAUAUCUUCCGUGAUUAGGAAUCAAUCAUUAUGCAUUCACAUAUUAGAGAUGUCUAUGUAUAAGACAUCUGUUAUGCCUCAGGUCUAAAGACCAUUACUAAACAUAGUGUCUAAUACAAUGUAUAAUAAGCCAUUAACACUCAAGACCAUAUGGCUUACUAUAUUUGGUCAAGUUCAGUAAACUUGUUCUCUCAACAAGUACCUAUGUGUUUGACUUGACAUCUCAUGUCAAUGAUAUGAAACUCACCAUCCAUUUUAGUAUCACAUACCAUAAGGAGUCAUAACACAUACUAGUGUUUAUAGGAAUUUAUAAUGUCCAAUCAUAAAUCCACCACUAGGAACUAUUUUAGAAGUAUAGUACAAAGGAUACACGUUUCAUAUUCUCGACAAACUCGAGAAUGUGUUCCUUAACUAUUUUACAUCUUGGACUAUAUUCAUUAAAUUAAUUAAUGAAUAUUGAUAACUUUGCCAUUUUAUAAAUAUCAAAAUGCUAUUCAAAUACGAUAAUUCCCUAAACAAACAAACACCUGAUUGGCCUUUAGGGCAAAUUACUAACAAUAGCUGCUGCGUUGAUUUCUAAUGCGGUGGAGUAAUCGUCGUUAGAAUCUGAAUGAUAUGUCUAAGACGUUGCAUGCAUCAAGAAAAUUGCAGAUGAUUAAACCUUGCCAUCUAUGCGUUGUAUGAGGUUAUAGCAACUAUCUAUCUGGUCACCGUUUUAAAAGAAUAAGACAAAGGGAAAAAGAGAAAGAAAAGAAUGAUUCGACAAUGGCAUUAAAGUUCAACAUACCCCAAGAUCUUGUAAUAAUGCCAUUAAUCAUUCUCUAGCUAGGCUAGCCUUAGAGAAAAGUGAAACUGUUGCACAGGUAGAAUCAAACCCCUCAGAGAUAUGAUGAGUUCGUGAUGCUUGCAUUUUAUUGAUGCUGAUGAUUCGUUGAAUGUUUUAUGUUUUUGAUUUUUAAGUAUUCCGGAUCGAAGUUUGUGUCUACGCGGAAAUUGUAAAGGCAGCAUAUAAAGUACUCGUCGUUCUUUAGAUUUUAUUGAGUACACUUUUGUCACAUUUAGCGUAUGCUAUACACUACUGAUUUGCGCAUUGACAUAUAUCUUAUUUUAUCAUUUUGAAUGAAUUGCACGGCGAGGCUUAUCAACUUUGGAUGAAUCCUCCAAUUGUCACAGUCCAAGACUGGCUGCAGUGAGUGAAAAUUUACCCAUAUAUGUGCUGGCUAUUUUUAUUGGCGACGAAUUCGUUGUAGUUGGUCCAUCUUGCUAUUCUCGGACAAUAUUAGAGAAAAUAAUCAUAUUAUUUCGCGUGAUGUGACCUUCCAUAACUUAUCAAUUGAAUUACUGUAAAAUUAUUGUGUAAGUUUAGGCCCAAUGGCACUUUAGUUCAUCACAUGAUAGCCUGGAUUUAAAAGGAAAACUAUAUUGCAUUGCUUCAAAAAAAAAAUUUAAUGUUUUUAAUAUGAAUAUUUUUAACUAUAUUCAGUUAAAAUAAUAUAUUCUUAAUAUUAAUAUUCAUAGAUGAAAUUCUUUUGCGGAUUUAAGAAUAAAAUAUCAAAUAGUUUUAUUUUUCUUUUGUUGUGUAACUUGGACCGAAAAAGAAAAUGAGCUUAACAUGACCCUCCUUCCGGCACUAUGCAUGUUUUUCUUAUAUUGAUGACAGUGCUCUUGGUGCUUCUCAUCUGCUUCUUGCUUUGGUUUCAAACAAGUCUUUCUCCGUCGAGACAUUUAUUGUAAUUUGAUUUGGAGACAUCUGUCGUUCAAAUAUAUUUCAUAUGCAAGCUGUUGAUAAUUCUGCUUGAGAAAGCCUACAAAGCAGCUGUGUGAUGUAAUAGAAGACUAUAUAUGCAAACGGUCAUCAGUUUCUCUUGAAUUCUUUCUUGAGUUUCUUUGAAUUAUUUGUGAAUGAGUUCUUAAUCGGCUGCUGCUCUUCAGGAAAAGGAAAGUGUUGCAAACUGGUGAAGCUGAUCGAUAAAAGCAAUGUACCAUCUUUGCUGCCAUGGAUCGAUGCCAGUGAGUUUUUUUUAUUUGUCAAACUACUAAUGAGUUCUCCAUGCAUAUGUGUUUCUUCAACUUGAAGCGGCAUAUAAGACGAAAGAAGUGAUCUUUAAAGCAUUCUAUCGCAUUAUCCUUUCCUAUUAUAUAUAUCCAAUUGCUCCAAAUUAUUUGUAAAUUACUGAACACGAAUGCUGAUGAAUAAACUGAUCGCUCUAUGUAUGUAUGCACAUGCAUGGAGAAAUUUUAAGUCAGACAUUCUCAUAUAUAACUCUUGGUACCAAAUCAUCAAAUAAAUCUUGAAAUCAAAGUAAUAAUUAAAUACAAAUAAAUUGCUCGAAUUGUACAUAUAUCUGAAUCAUGUAGUGAAGAAAAUACAACAACAACAACCAAUGGCUCAAAUCCCCCAUCAACCUCUGGUCUCAACACUUUUGAGUGUCAGAAGCAUUACUCUGUUACCAGUUAACAAACAUAUAAUUAGUAAUUUGCCAUUCACUUCCCUUUUAGGCCUAACACAUUUUCUAUAAAGGAGCCACAGAGUGAACUCAGCAGGAAACACUCAAUUUCAACCUACGUAGGACCAGGAAUUUCAACCAAAAAAAAAGUGUGCAAUUGCUUAUCCUAUCCUAUUGCUACUAGAAAGAAAGUGAACAAUUAAUUUCAGUGAAUAAAUUAAAAAAAAAAAUUACUUCUGCAGAUACUCAAGCUAAGAACACAUUAACCCAUUAAAGACUCCAAAUUGCAUCAAACAAAUUGUUGUUAAACAAGUAAAACAAAGAAAGAGAGUUAAGGAAGCUGACCUAGUAGUAGGGGAGCUGAAGAAAGACUGCCAGUGAAUGUAAGAGAAAAUAAAAUGCAAGAAAUGGUGAAGUGCAGCUUUUCAUGUCAACUUGAAAUUGUUUCUUCUGUUUUUUUUUUUAAUCUUUUGGAUUUUUAAAACAAAGAAAAUGAGGAGCAACCAGGGAGAUAAAAAGGGCGCCAAGGCAACUGUGUGUUGGGUUUAGAGCCAAAAAAAAAAAGAAGAAUAAGACAUCGUGUUCUUGUGGAGACCAGACCUAUUACGUAACGUCCCCUUCAAUACCACUUGUUCCGUAUCUGGUUUUUUCUUCGUCUUUUACAUAUUUAUCCUGUGAUUUUACAAUAACUAAAUAAUCCCCCCAUAGUUUGCAAUUUUAUUCAUUUGAGCCCUACAGAUUUCAGUAAUAGGAAUUAUUAAGGGACGAGCGCAAAACAGAAACUCUGUCCACUACUGAUGAUAUAACAACGAACCUUUGUUUUUUUCUUUUUUUUAAAAAAAAAAAAGAGUAACAAAAUAUCAUUAGACAAAUGAAAAUAUUAUCUAACAUCACCUUACUGAUGAUAUGAAAAUAUGUAUGUAUGUAUGUAUGUAUAUACAUAUGUAUGUAUGUACAUAUAUGCAUACAUCUGUUACAUUUCAUCUUUGCACAAUUACACGUAAAAUUCCACUAAAAGAAACUCUUGAGUUGCUCGCAAGCUAUAUAUCAUUAUCCAUUGAAUUCUUACCACAUACAUCUCACCUUUCAAUCAAUCACAUAAUAAUCAAUAUACAUAUUGUAAGAAUUCAACAAAUGGAGAACAUAAUAUACUAUAAAAGCAUCCAAAAUUUUUCCAUCUCAAAUUAUUACUAAACUUCUUGAACAAGUUGAAGAUUGGGGGGAAAAAGUGCAAGAAGGAAAAGCAUUAUUCUACUAGCUUCUAGGUUUCUCAUUUGAACAGAAAAAUUAAAUAAGAUAUUUGUGUAUGGCUGUAGUACUACACGGUAUCUGCUAGAAAGCAAAAUACCUUCUGCUGAUUGCACAUUGGAAUGGGAAUAAGUUGGUAAAUAUAUAAGUUACAUAAAUUAUUUUGGAUAAUUCUGCUGGUGAAUUAAUUAUCUUAAAAUCACCCUUUUAUUUUUUAAAAAAUCUUAAGUUAUUUUUCAUAUAUCUUAAGAAGACAAACAAACUUUCAUCAACUCUCCUUUUUCAGCUUUUCCCUUCAAUAAUGUUAGAAAUUCUAACAUUUGAGUCCUGCUUGAUCUUAAUACUAUAUAUCACUCAUUUAUUAGAUGAUGAAUUUUUUAAAUUAUAAAGUUAUUUGACUACCAUCCAAUGAAUGAAUGUCACGUCAUUUAAAACUCAAAGAAAAGUAUUCUACUUCUUGCGGCAAUCAUGCCUUCAUUCAGACUAUGAACCAUUUCCUUUCACCAAAUUCUUCAUAAACAUUGAGUAAGUUUCAUGGUUGGACAUAGUUAGCUUCUGUUUCUUUUGGUGCGUUUAGGUGCUAUCAAGUGACGGCCGUAAGUAUGAUUGCAUUAUUGGGAAAUUUUACGAUUUGAUGGUUCCCCACGUUAUUGCCAAGAAAGUUCUCAUGUCGGAAGCAGCGGUUCUUUUCAUCAGCCUGAACCCGAACCUGUCGCUAUGGAUAACUCAGGUUUAACAUCAGCAGGAAACACUCAAUUUCAACAAAAAAAAAAAGUGUGCAAUAGCUUAUCCUAUCCUAUUGCUACUAGAAAGAAAGUGAACAAUUAAUUUCAGUGAAUAAAUUAAAAAAAAAAAUCACUUCUGCAGAUACUUAAGCUAAGAACACAUUAACCCAUUAAAGACUCCAAAUUGCAUCAAACAAAUUGUUGUUAAACAAGUAAAACAAAGAAAGAGAGUUAAGGAAGCUGACCUAGUAGUAGGGGAGCUGAAGAAAGACUGCCAGUGAAUGUAAGAGAAAAUAAAAUGCAAGAAAUGGUGAAGUGCAGCUUUUCGUGUCAACUUGAAAUUGAUUUUUCUGAAUUUUUUUAAGCUUUUGGAUUUUUCAAACAAAGAAAAUGAGAAGCAACCAGGGAGAUAAAAAGGGCGCCAAAGCAACUGUGUGUUGGGUUUAGAGCCAAAAAAAAAAAAAAGGAUUAAGACCUAUUACGUAACGUCCCCUUCAAUACCACUUGUUCCGUAUCUGGUUUUUUCUUCGUCUUUUACAUAUUUAUCCUGUGAUUUUACAAUAACUAAACAAUCCCCGUAUAGUUUGCAAUUUUAUUCAUUUGAGCCCUACAGAUUUCAGUAAUAGGAAUUAUUAAGGGACAAGAGCGCAAAACAGAAACUCUGUCCGCUACUGAUGAUAUAACAACGAACCUUUGUUUGUUUGUUUUUUUUUUAAAAAAAAAAGAGUAACAAAAUAUCAUUAGACAAAUGAAAAUAUUAUCUAACAUCACCCUACUGAUGAUAUAACAACGAACCUUUGUAGUUUCUGCCUGUUAAUAUGAAUUGAUCGGGAGUGUUUCCUCACUUAAAAAUUACGAAUUUACAAAAUAUGUACGUAAGUAUGUAUGUAUGUACGUACGUAUAUAUGUAUGUACAUAUAUGCAUACACCUAUGUAACAUUUACUUAUCCAUUCUUUUGAGUUUAAAUCUUAAUACACAUUUUCAUGAAAUUUUUAUUUUAUUAAGUAUACAACUACAUACAACUACAUUAAUGUAUAUAUUUUUUACAUAAGACAUGCCGUCCUAUUAUUCAUAAGUAAACAAUGUGUUGUAAAUAGUAUUCUGUGUUUUCUCAAAGUUGACUUUUCGUCUUUUAUUUUCAGACGCAGACGAUACGUCAUUUUGUAAUCUUCAAAACAUAUACACAGCAGAAUUGGUGUUAUCUGAUUUUGUGAUGCAAUAAGAUUUGCACUUCCUGUGCAUUCAAUGGAAUCAUUUCUUUGUAACUAAUUGGGUGGUGGAAUGGUGGUCAAAUCUCGAACGAAGACAGAUCUAUCAAACUCCAGAAACAGGGAAACCAUGCCACGCUAGUAGACAAUAUGCUAGUUUGAACAAACUUGUUUGAAUGGCAAAAACGACAUGACCUGCUGUAGUAUUAGUUCUUUCCCGAACCAACGGGUGAUUUGCUACGUUGGAUCAUGAAAAUUGAAAAAAAAAAUUAACCAAAAUAAAAAUUCUUAAGGAAUUAGUUAGUUAAUUGAUUGAUCGAAUUUAAUCUAAAUUUGAAAAUGAUAAGAUAAAUUUAAAUUUAUUAUUAUAAUUAUUAUUUUAAACUGGGGUGGGUUUAUACAAUUUGAGCGGUGGAAAUAUCACUACUGAAUUAUUAAAUAUACAGUGUAAAAUUUUGACCUUUAAAAUAUUCCUGUUUUUUUAUUUAGCAUCUAUAAGUUAAAAAAUUUAACAUUGUACCUCAAUAAUUAAAUACAUUUAACUUUAAUCUUCAAAUAGUUACCUACAACAUUUGGACCUAAAUUUUUAAUCCGAUUCGGCCCCUGAUCCAAGUGGGAAGAAGAUCAGGCUUAUACCUAUCACCAACGUAACAUCUUCUGGAAAAUAAUAAGAUUAUUCACCUGCAAUUAUGUGAUCAAACUAAUGGUAACCAAAAUAGAAUAGCGUUAUUUGAGUCCCCUUUCAGUUUCUUUAUCAUUUUUCUUUUCCUAUUUAUAAGCUUAAUUCGGUUCAAAAUCGGCUAAUUCACUUUAAUAAGUUUAUUGGUUUGAACGCUGUUUCCUUUCGUGCAUUUUGGUAUGCUAUCAAGUGACAGUCGUAUGUAUGGUUUGCAUAUAGCUGCUGCUGGGAAAUGUGAGGAUUUCAUGGCUGGCCGUGUUAUUGUCUUAAAUUAGAUGUGAUAAGCUGUUGCUUGGAGAUUCUGUCACCAAGACUUUGCUCACAUCAGAAGCUGUGGAACCUCAACCCUUCUCUAGAUAUCAUCUUUUUCAUUGUUUUAAAACUCUCAGGAUUAAACUUGAGUAAAUUUUUCGGUUGUCUAUAUAAUCAUGUAUUGAGUAAACUCUCAGGAUACUGAGCAGGCAAAUGCCAUAACUCGGUUUGUUCUUCAAAAACUUGUUUAAGAUUCUUGACAAAGCUGCAUGAAGUGAAUCUUGGGAGCUUUGAGGGUGAGAGAAAUUAGAGGGUGUAUAGGGAUUUGGGUUUAUUAGGAAGUUAUAUAUGUAUUUCGUCACUUAUCAUUAUCAUUUUUAUUUUCACAGAAAACCUUCUGAUGGUGCUAAAUUUUCAAACACCGGUCCGAUUCAAAACUUCAUAUUCCAAUUAUAUUCAUAAGACAAAUGGAACACUUUGAACGGCUAGUGUCCGAGCAUUGUAGUUUGAUUUAUUUUGAUGAAAGUACCUUUUGACAUUGAGAUUCUUUCAUGAUUUAAACAUUCUUUUUUAAACCAAAUUAUUAAAAAAAGUAACUAACAUAUAUUAUUUUAUUAGUGCUUUUUAAAUCAAAUGUACAUAGGAGAACUGUAAUUCUUAUCAAUCAAUUUUCCACUAAAUACACCUGCAACAAACUAUUAAUAACAAAGUGAUAGAAAAUACCUGAUUUUUCAUACCUUUUUAAUUUCUUUUGGUCCUAAAAUAUGGGCAUUUGUGUAAUAAUACGCCCAUGUGGAUCUCUAUGCCAUGAGUUUGAUAAAUAGCUAUCAAGGAUCACAUAUUAAGCUAAAAAUAUUUGGAGGACAAAAUUGUAAAACUAAAAGGGUGGAGCAAAUAUGGCUAUCUAGGAUUAAAUAGUAAGUCAACUAUAUUUAAAGGAUAAAAUAUUAAAACUUGAACUGUGAUAUUAAAAAUAUCUCAACUAUUGUAUUAUUAAACCAUAUGUUCUAAUAGUUUUUUUUUUAAGCUUCAAAAUGUUCAGAAUUUUAGAUUGAAACAUUUUCAUUUGAAAUUAUUUGGUGCAGUCACAAGUUAAGAAAGAAAAAGUUGUCCCAUUGGUCAUUUCACAAAAAUGAAAGCCCUGUAUAACAUGGACUUGAAUGGAAGCCCAAUUGUUUGUGUUUGAUUAAUUGAUUUCAAGCUUUAUCGAACCUUUGGAUCUGGAUAUUUUACUGGAGUAAUGAUACAGACACAAACUUUUGUACAAAUUUAUUUUGUACAAACUGAUGUGGCAUGAUAAGAUUGGUUGAAUUAAAUAUCACUUGCCCCACAUGAUUUGUUUUUAUUAAUUUAUAUUUUCAUUCAACCAAUGAAAUCAUGCCACGUCAGUUUGUAUAAAAUAAGUUUGUACAAGAGUUUGUGGCUGUAUCAUUACUCUAUUUUACUGCGGCCUCUAAGCGCUAUAAAUUUUUUUGGGGAUAAACAGCGCUUCAAUGAGGGCAUCUCCAGUGCUUAACACUAUUUUGGUGUAACACCAAUAUUAAAAAUAUAUAUUUUUCACACUAAAUUACUAUUUCAUCUCCAACCUAUUUACACCAAAUUUUAUACCAAAAAAAAUAUUUUUCUUUUUAUUCUUUUAAUUCUCAAGAAUUAAUUCAAUUAACACAAUAAAUUACUAUUAAUAUAGAUAAUUAAGUAAUAAGUAAUUUGAUCAAUUAACAAAAAAAAUAGAAAAUUAUUAAAUUUGCAUUUAAUUAACUAAAUUAGUACAUUAUGAAAAUUAAACAUUACAUUAAUAUAGAAAAAUACAAUAACAAUAAUAAUAAUUUUAUAUCUAAUAUUUUGAUGAUAUUGGAGGAUCUAAUAAUGAUCUUCCAGAUUAUUAAUUUUUUAUUUUUAACUUUGUAAUAUGUAAUAUAGUAAUUAAUGUUAUUGGCAUUUUAUUUUUAUUAUUAAUUUUUGUGUUGAAUAUUUUUUAUUUAAAAUAUUAGUAUAAUAUUCAAAAAUUAAAAAAAAUGAAAUAAAAAUAACAACAAAAAUAAUAAUAAUAAUAAUAACUUAAAAUAUUAUAUAAAAAAGGACAUAUAUGUAAAUAAGAAAAAGUAAUAAAGAUAUUUAGGACUCUUUUUUCCUAGCACCAAAUGAAUAGUGUUACACCAUAUUUGGUGCAAUACUAUUCAUAACACCAAUUUGCUGUUCGUUUUGAUGUUACAUUGGAGAAGCAUUUUACACAAAAAAUGGUGUAAAAGGUAGUUUGGUGUUAGUUUUGGUGUCACAUUGGAGAUGGCCUGGAAAAACACUUGAAAACUUUGGAUUUUUGGUUCGUCCAGUUACGGUGUUAUGCUAAUGGGGUUAAAAGUUCCGAUCCAAUGAGUUAGGAUGGAAUAUGAAUAUAUAAAUUCCAUAGCAUGUAAGGACUAGGAUUUGUUUGUUCAUAUCAAGAAAAAAAAGAUCCGAAAAUUUGAUGAUCAGAAGAUGAAGACACGUUUAUUACAGAGAAACAAACGACAACAUGAUACUAGUAGUAGUUAUUCUUUUCAUCCGAUAUAUUACAUGGUAAUAUCACUACUCGUUCCACUGGUUUCAUAUACACCAUCGAUCAGCAACAUGAUAAUUUUGUGUCAGUUCAUUUUGUUUGUAGGAAAGAGCAGUGUAUUUCUUAGAGCUUGAAAAUAAUAAAAAGAUUUUAAAAUAUAAAUUGCAUAUUUGUUUAUUACAGUUGUUUGGUCUAAUUUCUUAUGUAGAAUUGCUUGUCAUUCUUUGGACGUUAUUGAUUAUAUUUUUGUCAGACUUGGCGUAUAUAUUCACACAUACGUUUUAUUUUGUCAUUUUGUAGAACAUUUUUACACGCCAUAUUAUCACGACUCUUCUCUGUCUGAAUAAGAAGAAAGCAUAAUGCGACCCUCCAAUAGCUUAAUCUAUGGAAUUAUCGUGUUUUGUAAGUUGAGGUCCAAUGGCGUUUUGGCACAUCAUAUGAUAGCCCACUAUAUUGCGUUGCUUUACAAAAGAUUAAUAUUUUGAAAAUUAUUAGGUAAGUUUAGGCUCAGUGGCACUUUAACUCAUGAUAUGAUUGUCCAGGUUUUCGAGGACCACUAUAUUCUAUUGAUUUAAAAAAAAUUAAUAUUUUUUAAUAUUAAUAUUCUAAAUUAUAUUCAGUUCAAAUAUUAAAUAUUAAAUACAUUCUUAAUAUUAAUAUUCUUAGAUGAAAUUCUUUUGCUGACUUAAGAAUAAAAUAUUAAAUAAUUUUAUUUUUCUUUUAUUCUGUAACGUGGACCCAAUAAAAAAAGGAAAUGAAUUUAAUAAAACCUUCAUUCAAAAUCUUCAUUCCGCCACCAUGCAUGUUAAUUGUUUCCAAAUUCCAACCUCCGUACUCUCUUGAGGAGUUUCCCAUUCAUCAAUUAUUAUUUUUUAUAAUCCAUACCAUCCUGAUAUAAUUAAACACCAUUAAUAAUGUACCAACCUUUAAAUAGUAAUUAAUUUAUUUAUCUAAUUCACCAAAUGUUUUUUCCGGUACAUAUCUCCAUUGGUAUCAAGAAGAAGCAGAACCCAAAGAAAUGUUUCUUGCAUCUUCAUAUUUGUGCGAAUUCAUCCUUUCAUUGAGAAUAACCAUUUCCAGGCAGCAGUUGGCAAUCAAUUCAUGCGCACGUCGAUGCUAUUCAUAGAUACUAAAGACAAUGAUGAACCAAAGGUGAUAAAUCAUAAAUGCAUAAUUACCAAACCUCCAUCCUUCUCUCAUUAUGAUUUGAUUUUAAAUGAAUUAUUGCUUGGUAACAUUAUUUCCAACCAUUGCAAGACCCUUUUUUUUGGAGAAAUUUCAAUUGAAAGUGAAACCUUUAGACAUUUACCUAAUGAAGUUAGUUAAUCGGGAGGGUCGGAAAAAAAAAGUUGACGCAAGUCAAUACACAAUAAUCAAUUAAAUCCGGAGUGACUAAAACAGAGCCACUACUUUUUUAAAAAUAUCUGCAUUCAUCACUUUCUCCAGCAACUAGUCAGCUACACACGAAUCAAUUUCUCUCCUCGUUUGUCAUCCAAAAUUAUUCACCAAUACCAUGGCUGAUGCAAUCGUUUCCACUAUCUUGGAGCAGCUGAUUUCCUUCGCUGCUGAAGAGAUAAAACAACAGGUGAUCGAAGUUUCACCCCUCAUAUUACAAAUACUUCCAAUGAUUUUAAUUGGCUUUGUUUUUAUCAAAAACAUUAUAUAUUUUUGCUUUUUUUUUAUUUAUCUGAUAAUUUUAUAUUUUGAAAUUUGAAUUGAAUUUAAUUAAAAGGUGAUGUAGUAACCACUCAUUUUUAUUUUAUUUCAUUUCUAUUCUCGAUAACUAACCAUAUUUUGGUAACUUAAUAUGACUCUCGUACAUAAGAAAUGAUCAAAACCCACAAUUUUAACUAUGUAUAAAUAUUCAACGUUGAGCUAAGGUUUUGCAGAACAUUCAAGUUUAUCAAAUAGUCAUUAAUUUAAUGUUUUAGUAAAACCUCAACUCAUCACUGAAUCCCAUAGCUAUUACUUAGACUCUAUGAAAAAUUUCAUAGUUUUCUUACGUUCUUUCAGUUUGGUAAGUGAUUUCAUAUAAUUUCUGUUCAAUAUAAAUUUUAAUUUGGUUUCUUAUAUACUCUCUUUGCUGAAUUUGUAUCUUUUAUGAUUCUUAGAUUUUGGGCUCUAACAUUUUAGGAUUUGAUAGUCACAUUUUAUGCCAUGCUUAGAUUGAUUUUCAUGAUUUUUACUACCCAUUAAGUGACUUAGAAUUUGACAAAAGUUUGAAAGGAAAUCUGCUUCAGGAUUCUGUUUUAAUUGACCUUUUAGUGGAAAUAGGAUGCUUAUAACUUAAUGUGGAUGGUUCGUAAAAUCAUGAAAUUUGGAUAGAAUUAACUAGAAAUAUGUACAAGACUCUCCAUGAAGUCUCAUAAUUUUUCAUUCGGUCUGGGGUGGUACAGGUGAAACUUGUGGUUGGUGUUGAAAAAGAAGUGAAAAGCCUUACCAGCCAUCUUCAAGCCAUUCAAGUUGUGCUCGAUGAUGCAGAGGAAAAGCAAGUGAAGGAAAAAGCUGUUAGUCUUUGGCUGGGUAGGCUCAAGUAUGCAUCCUACGACAUUGAAGAUGUGUUGGAUGAGUGGAUCACAACAAGACGCAAAUUGCAAAUUGAGGGUGGCAUUGGUGAAAAUGCUCUUGUUGUUCCUCAUAAGAAAAAGAAGGUAUGUCUCUGCUUUCCCGGCUCUUGUUUUGGAUUCAAACAAGAAGAAUUUGGUUUCAAACAAGUCUUUCUCCGUCAUGACAUUGCCGACAAGAUCAAAGAAAUCAAUGAAGAGCUACAUGAUAUUGCCGCUCAAAAAGACAUGUUUGAUCUUGUUAAGAGUGGCAAUAAAAGUAGUGAAAGACCAAGGCGUGUACAGAGUACCUUCUUGAUUGAUGAGGAAGAGAUUUGUGGCAGAGUUGGUGAGAGGAAUGAACUCUUAAGCAAGCUGUUGUGUGAGAGUAGCGAGCAACAAAAAGGCCUUCAUAUCAUCUCAAUCGUUGGUAUGGGAGGCAUAGGGAAAACAACUCUUGCACAACUAGCUUGUAAUCAUGACGAGGUGAAGAGAAAGUUCGACAAAAUUCUGUGGGUGUGUGUAUCAGAAACUUUUGAGGAGUUUAGGGUUGCCAAAGCGAUCGUUGAAGUUUUGGAUGGUCGUGAAUCUCAUUUAGCUGAAUUCCAUUCUCUUCUUCAACAUAUUUAUGAAUCCAUUGCAGGGAAGAGCUUUCUUCUUGUCUUAGAUGACGUGUGGGAUGGAAAUUACUUGAAAUGGGAACCAUUCUACCGUUGUCUAAAGAAUGGUCUCCAUGGAAGUAAAAUUUUAGUUACCACACGUAAAGGGUCAGUCGCAUCCAUGAUGGGAUCCAUAGAUAUUAUCUCCGUUAAGGAGUUAGCUGAAGAGGAAUGUUGGUUGUUGUUUAACAAGAUAGCAUUUUUUGAUCGGUCCAUCGAGGAACGUGAAAAAUUAGAACAAAUUGGGCAAAGAAUUGCAGGCAAGUGCAAAGGUUUACCUCUUGCAGCAAAGACAAUAGGGAGUCUCAUGCGUUCUAAACAAACUGAAGAAGAGUGGAAAAGAAUUUUAAAUAGUGAUUUAUGGAAAGUAGAAGAGAUUGAGAAAGAUGUUUUGUCCUCUUUAUUGUUGAGUUAUAAUGAUUUGCCAUCUAGAGUAAAAAGAUGUUUUUCAUAUUGUGCUGUCUUUCCAAAAGACUACAAUAUAGAAAAAGACAAACUAAUCACGUUAUGGAUGGCUCAAGGUUAUCUUAGUGCAGAAGAAGAUGAAGAGAUGGAGACAGUAGGUGAAGAGUAUUUUGGCAUCUUAGCUUCUCGCUCAUUUUUUCAAGAGUUUAAGAAAAGUUAUGAUAAUCGAAUUAUAGAGUGUAAGAUGCAUGAUAUGGUACAUGAUUUUGCCCGAUUUGUAAGUCAAAAUGAAUGUUUUUCGAUGGCAAUUAAUGGUAGUGAAGAACCAAACGCCACAAACUCUCUUGAUGAGAAGGUCCGUCAUUUAAUGUUAAUCUUUAGUAUAGAGGCUUCAUUACCUGUUUCCACUUGUAGAGUUAAAAGAAUUCGUAGCCUCUUAAUUAACGAUAGUAGAUCUGAUCAUUCAUUAUUAAAUGGUGAGAUCCUAGAAGAAUUAUUUAGGGAAUUGACAAGUUUAAGGGCAUUAGAUUUUUGCAAAUCGUAUAACGCAAGUUGGUUUUCGACUCUGGAGAUUCCGAGAAACAUAGAAAAGCUGGUACAUUUAAGAUACCUUAAUUUGUCUUAUCAGGGAAUAAAGAAACUACCGGAGACAUUAUGCAAGUUGUAUAAUCUAGAAAAGUUAGAUAUUAGUUAUUGUUAUAAGCUAGAAGAAUUACCUGAAGGGAUUGGGAAGUUAAUAAACAUGAAGCAUUUACGAAAUAGAGGUACUAGUUCUUUAAGGUACAUGCCAGUAGGGAUUGGGAGAUUAACGGGUCUUAGGACCUUGGGUGAGUUCCACGUUAGUGCAGGAGGAGGUGUUGAUGGUAGGAAAGCAUGUAGGCUUGAAUCUCUUAAAAACUUGGAACACCUUCAAGUAUGUGGUAUAAGUAGACUGGGUGAUGUAUCAGAUGUGGGCGAGGCUAAGCGAUUAGAACUUGACAAAAAGAAAUACCUCUUCAGUUUGACCCUUGAGUUUGAUAAGACGGAAAGAGGAGGAGAAAGGAGGAAGAACGAGGACGAUCAACUUCUUCUUGAAGCCUUGCGACCACCCCUGGAUUUAAAGGAAUUAGAGAUACGGUACUACCGAGGCAACAUUGUUUUCCCCAGCUGGAUGGCGUCAUUAACCAACUUAAAGAGUUUACAUCUCCAUAGGUGCGAAAAUUGCGAGCAGCUGCCUCCUUUGGGAAAAUUGCCGUCCGUUGAAAAUCUCUACAUAUGGCGCAUGGAGAGUGUGAAGAGAGUGGGUGAUGAAUUUUUGGGGAUAGAAAGUGAUCAUCAUGACUCAUCGUCAUCUUCAUCAGUUACUAUUGCCUUCCCCAAAUUGAAAUCACUCACAAUUUAUUCGAUGCUGGAAUUGGAGGAGUGGGAUUAUGAGAUUACAAGAACAGGAAACACCGUCAUAAACAUCAUGCCACGUCUUUCUUCCUUGACAAUUGUUGAUUGCACCAAAUUAAAGGCACUGCCCGGCCACAUUCAUCAAACGACAACGUUGAAGGAAUUGAGCAUUUUUAUGUGUUGGCUUCUGAACAAACGUUACCGCAAGGGGAAAGGAGAAGACUGGCCUAAAAUAUCACACAUUCCCAACCUCCGUAUUGGGCUUUGACAAGUAAUUUCUUCUCUCACUCUGAUUUGCUUUGUUGUUGUUUUUAAUCUAAUUAAGAAGCGAAAAUAGCAUUUUGAAUCAAACUCUAUAUCAGAAAUCUGCAAUACUUACUUUCUAAUAUUCUGAUUUUCAUAUCCUAUGAAUAUACGAUUUUUAAUUUGUGAGAUGGGUAACGUUACUGUAAAAGAUUAUUAAUGCAAUAUGAGUAAUUCUUUUGCAGGACAAGUGACCUACAUUUAGUUUGGCUUUGGAGUUGAAUAAUAACCUUUCGUGGUCCCGACAACCAAAAAACAAAGCUUAAUUUGCCACAGAUUGAACGUAUUGCCAUUAUUGACAAUUUUCUGCACAAGCGUGACUGAACUUAGGUUGAUGUCAAAAGAGGUAAAUUAUUGGCAUGCCUGACUAUUUUGACCAUUACAUGAUUCAUAAGUUUACAUUAAUUUUGAUUUUGAGUUGAGUGAUUAGUUUUCUAGGUUUGCUUACUUUAACUGGGUGACCAAUUUCUUGUAACUAAAUGUAUGAUGUGAUGCAGGAAGCAGGGCAGGAUAUGAAAAGAGAAGCUUAUUAGAGGAAGGAUUGCCAGUAACAGAAUCCAAAGAAAAAGAAACCAUUUCGAGGCAGCUGUUGGCAGUUGGCAGUGAAUGGAGCCCCUUGAAAAAAUUCCCAGGCCGUUGCACUGCAAUUACGAUCAUCCUCGGCCUCAGGUAAUUUCUUCUCCUGCAUUUUUGUUAUUUGCUAUCAAGUGACUAUUUUAAGUAUGAUUGCAUUAAGCUGCUGCUGGGAAAUUUGAGGUUUUGAUGACUGCCCAUGCUAUUGUCAGAAGCUACGGUUCUUUUCAUCAGCCUGAACCUGGACCUGCCGCUAUGGAUAACUCAGAUUUUUUUUUUUUUAAUCAACUGCGUCAUCUUUUCCACUGUUUAGAAACUCUUAAGAUUAAACUUUAGUAAAGUUGUUUUAGUUAUCCAUGUAAUCAGGCUGAGGAUACUUAGCUGCCUAUUUAGGCAAAUGUCAGAAUUUAGUUUGUUCGCUGGGAACUGGUGUGGACUGGCAAAGGAUGAUGAGAUAGUUUUUUGAGUGAGUAAAUUUUGGGAGCUUGAGUGUAUUGGGAUUUGCAAUUACAAUCAUCGUCUGCCUCAGGUGAUUUCUUCUCCUGCUCUGUCAUUGUUUGUUCUCUAAUUCAAAAGCAUAAAAUAUUUCAAUCAAUUUUUAUGCCAGGAAUAUGCAAAAGUUUCUAAUAUUUUAUUUCCAUCUGUUACAAGAUCAAACUGAAGCAGAACUCAAGUAAAAGUAUGCUACUUCUUGCGGAAAUCUUGCCUUUGUUCAGAUUAUGAAACCAUUUCCAUGCAGCAAAUUCAUCCAAAAGUUUGAGUAAGUUUCAUGGUUGGACACUGUUGGCUUCUUUUUCUUCUGGGGUGCAUUUAGGUGCUAUCAAGUGACAGCUGUAAGUAUGAUUGCACUAAGCUGCCGCUGGGAAAUUUGAGGUUUUGAUGGCUACCCAUGUUAUUUUCAAGAAACUAUUGAUGUAAGAAGCUGUGGUUCUUUUCAUCAGCUUGAACCUGAAACUGUCGCUAUGGAUAACUCAGGUUUUUGUUAUCAACUAUAUCAUCUUUUUCACUAUUUUGAAACUCUUAAGAUUAAACUUUAGUAAAGUUGUUUCAGCUAUUCAAAUGAAAAACUCAUUGAUUUGAGACUUCCUUCAUUAUUGUUUCUAAUUACAAUGCUAACGAUCCAGAUAAAAUAAUAUUUAAUCGGCGAAGGUGUCCCUUGGAAGUACAUCCUUCUUUUUCUUUUAUUAUAUAAAUUCUUGCAAUGAGCUUAGUGAAGCUGUUGUGCUAAUCAUGCCACUGCAUAAUUUGGCCCCUAAUGUGGGUACUCUGUUACAUUGUUCUGCAAAUUCUCCAGAAGUUCAAAUCAAUAAAUUUUCUAUUAGCUCUAGUGCUUUGACCUAAAUGCUAUUCUAUAUUCUGAUUACAAUGUUUUAACCUUUAAAUUAACUACCCCUAGAUGUUGGAUUUUCUAGAACUUCAAAAUGAAUAAUGGAGAAAGAUCCCAUUAUCGUUAUUGCUAUAAGAAAUUGAUUUAUGCAUCCAAAGAUACAUUAUAUAUUUCUGUGUCUCUAUUUAUAGAUGACAUUUAAGCAUCCAUAAACCGUCAGACAGAGGAAGGGGGUUCAGUGCAAAGAUUAUGUUGACCUAGGGUUGACUGCAUAAUGUCACUUGUUCGCAAUCUAUUAUUUAUUUUAUAUUUUGAAGAAUUUAAUGGGUAAUCCUAAUUGUUUGUUUUGGCAGGUAUGUGUUGUUAUCUCCUUCUAUCUUACAGUCGUACCUAAAUAGCAUAGUUUCAUCUGUGUUACCAUGUGAUGUACAUAAUUUCACAUUUGCCUCAGAUUAAGCUUAAUUUCCCACAGAAUAGAGCUGUCGCGACUGGACUUAGAUUGAUGUCCAAAGAGGUAAAUUAUUGGCAUGCCUAGAUAAUUUGGCCAUUUCCUAAUUCAUAAGUCUACAUUAAUUUUGAUUUUGAGUUGACUGAUUUCUUUUCAAGGUCUGCUUCCUUAACGGAGUGACCAAUGUUUUUCAACUAAAUUUAUCAUAUGAUGCAGGAAGCAGGGCAGGAUAUGAAAUCAGGAAGCUCAUUGGUGGAAGUAUUGCCAGUAGCAGAACCCAAUGAAAAUGAAACUAUUUCAAGGCAGCAGUUGGCAGUUGCAAGUGAAUGGAGGCCCUUGACAAAAUUCUCAAGCGGUUGCAAUGCAAUUACGAUCAUCCUCAGCCUCAGGUAAUUUCUUCUCCUGCUCUGUUUUUAUUUGUUAUCUAAUUAAAAAGCAUAAAGUAUCUUGAAUCACUUUCUGUAUCUGGAACAUAUGCAGCAGUUUCUAAAAUCUUCAUAUGAGUGUAAUGAUGGUAAUUUCUGUUUUUUGUCUGUCAUUGAAUGUUAGACAACUUUCAGUGAGACUCUUGAACCGAGACAUUUUUGACAAAUGAAGGACAAUUGCUGAAGAGUGGGAAUGGUGCUAGAUUGGGGAAUAAAGACAAAGGAGGUAAAUUAUUUGCAGUUUAUUCAGCAUUAUUUGCUUUGGACCAGCGCCUGAUUCACAAGUCUCCAUAAUUUGGCUUUUGACCAGUUGUUAAUAAAUUUUUUUAUUCCAUUGGUGCUAAAUGUACACGUGAAGCAGGCAGAGCAGGACUGUGGAAAUGAGAAGGUUUUUAGUGAAAGCUUAAACUCAGGUAAUUCUAAAAAGUACAUGUUUUUGCUGAUUUAUCUAAAUCAGGAAAUUUUAUUUCCAUCUGUUACAAGAUAAAACAGAAACAGAACACAAAGAAAAAUAUUCUACUUCUUGUGGCAAUCUUGCCUUCAUUCAGACAAUGAAACCAUUUCCUUUCACCAAUUUCUUCCAAAAGUUUGAAUAAGUUUCAUGGUUGGACAUAGUUAGCUUCUUUUUCUUUUGGUGCAUUUAGGUCCUAUCAAGUGACAGCCAUAAGUAUGAUUGCAUUAUUGGGAAAUUUUAGGUUUUGAUGGCUCCCCACGUUAUUGCCAAGAAAGUCCUCAUGUCAAAAGCUGCGGUUCUUUUCAUCAGCCUGAACCCGAACCUGUCGUUAUGGAUAACUCAGGUUUUUGUCAUCAACUAUAUCAUCUUUUUUACUGUUUUGAAACUCUUAAGAUUAAACUUCAGUAAAGUUGUUUCAGUUAUCCAUGUAAUCAGGCCAAGGAUAUUUAGCAGCUUAUUUAGGCAACUGCCAGAAUUGAGUUUGUUUGCUCGAAACUUGUAUGGUGACAAGGAUACUGGCAAGGAUAGUGAGAUAGUUUUUUGUGUGAGUGAAAUUUGAAAGCUUGGGUGUUCUGGGAUUUGCAAUUGCAAUCAUCCUCUGAGUCAGGUGAUUUCUUCUCCUGCUCUGUCUUGAUUUUCUCUCUAAUUGAAAGCAUAAAGUAUUUCAAUCAAAUUCUGUACCAGGAGUACAUAAAAGUUACUAAUAUUUUAUUUCCAUCUGUUUGCAUUGAUAACUCGGCAUAUGUUCUAGUUAAAGAACAAACAGAAACAGAGUUCAGGAAAAAGUUUCUUCGGCCACCAUAUUUGAAAAUGAAACCAUUUCCAGGAAGCAGUUGGCAGCAAAUUCAUAUGGAGUGUAGACAAUGAUGAGCAAAAAGGUGAUUCGCAAUUUCUUUUUUUUUUUAAGUGAAAUUAUUUGUUAGAUUGAAGCUGAUAUUGUAAGAAGGCCAUUGAGCUAACCUAUGUCGCCACUUGCCUAGAUUGCAGGGGGUCAAGACUCAAAAGAAGCACUGAAAUUUAAAAAGCAUGGAAUAGUUCUUUUGCCAUGUGUCAAUUAAUGCAAGUUUGAAUAAGUUUAUUGGCUGAACGAUGUUAGCUUCUUUUCCUUUCGUGCACUUUGGUAUGCUAUCAAGUGACAGCCGUAUGUAUGGCUUGCAUAUAGCUGCUGCUGGGAAAAUUGACGAUUUCAUGGCUGGCCGUGUUAUUGUCUUAAAUUAGUUGUGAUAAGCUGUUGCUUGGAGAUUCUGUUGCCAAGACUUUGCUCACAUCAGAAGCUGUGGAAUCUGAACCCUUCGUUAUGUAUCAUCUUUUUCAUUGUUUUAAAACUCUCAGGAUUAAACUUGAGCGAAUUUGUUCGGUUGUCUAUAUAAUCAUGUAUUGAGUAAACUCUCAGGAUACUGAGGGUGAGAGAAAUUAGAGGGUGUAUAGGGAUUUGGAUUUGUUAGGAAGUUAUCAUUUUUAUUUUUAUUUUUAUUUUUUUCCCAGAAAAUCUUCUGGUGGUGCUAUAUUUUCAAACGACAGUCCGAUUCAAAACUUGAUAUUCCAAUUAUAUUCAUAAGCUUCUAUAGUUAUCUUCAAAAAGACAAAUGGAAGGCUUUGAACGGCUUGGGUCUGAGUAUUGUAGUUUGAUUUAUUUUGAUGAAAGUACCUUUUGACAUUGAGAUUCUUUCAUGAGUUAAACAUUCUUUUUAAAACCAACUUAUUAAAAAAAAAAGUAACUAACAUAUAUUAUUUUGUUAGUGCUUUUUAAAUCAAAUAUAAAAAAGAGAACUGUAAUUCUUAGCAACCAAUUUUUCACUGAGUACACCUACAACAAACUACUAAAAAAUAAAGUGAUAGAAAAUGCCUGAUUUUUCGUACUUUCUAAUUACUUUUGGUCUUCAAAUAUGGCGGUUUGUGUAAUAAUAAGCCCAUGUAUAUCUUUAUGCCAUUAGUUUGAUAAAUAGCUAUCAAGGAUAACUUAUUAAGCUAAAAAUAUUUGAAGGAUAAAAUGAUAAAACUAAAAGGGUGGAGUAAUAUAGUUAUUUAGGAUUAUAUAGUAAGUCAACUAUAUUCGAGGGAUAAAAUAUUAAAACUUGAAUAGUGAUAUUAAAAAUAUCUCGACUAUUAUACUGUUAAACCAUAUGCCGUAAUAAUAUUUUUUUAGAGCUUGAAAAUAAUAAAAAGAUUUUAAAAUAUAAAUUGCAUAUUUGUUUAUUACUGUUGUUUGGUCUAAUUUCUUAUGUAGAAUUGCUUGUUAUUCUUUGGACGUUAUUGAUUAUAUUUUUGUCAGACUUGGCGUAUAUAUUCACAUACGUUUUAUUUUGUCAUUUUGUAGAACAUUUUUACACGCCAUAUUAUCACGACUCUUCUGUGUCUGAAUAAGAAGAAAGCAUAAUGCGACCCUCCAAUAGCUUAAUCUAUGGAAUUAUCGUGUUUUGUAAGUUGAGGUCCAAUGGCGUUUUGGCACAUCAUAUGAUAGACCACUAUAUUGCGUUGCUUUACAAAAGAUUAAUAUUUUUAAAAUUUAUUAGGUAAGUUUAGGCUCAGUGGCCCUUUAACUCAUGAUAUGAUAGUCCAGGUUUUCCGUUUUCGGAUCGAGUUCACUUUAACUCUGGUCCCGUGUUAUUAAAAUACCAAUUUCGGAUCGAGUUCAGGCGCCAGAACAAUUUUCUAGAACCUGGCCCGAGUUUAUUUUUGGGCUUGGGCCGGACGACCAAGUCCGCCCUGAUUAAAAAUUUGAGACUUUUCGAGGUUCACAGGGAUUCUGGCAUCCCUAGUCGAAUCAACACCGAUGUGAUCUACACAACCAGUGUACAUACCAUUUGAUACUGAAUCACCAAAUACUUAGAUGUAAUCAGCAACAAUUACAUAUAUAUAUAUAUAUAUAUAUAUAUAUAUAUAUAUAUAUAUAUAUAUAACUAAUAUUAAAAAUUGUUACUUUAUUAUACUUUUCUUCAAUGUAUGCCAUCUUUUGGGCAGGCAUGGCAAUAAAUGAGCAAAAAUGAAGACAACACACACAUUACACACACACACACACACACACACAGAGUGUAAUUGAAGUAUCAAACUGGCAAGGACACAAAAUGAAUUUAAUAGUAUAUAUUAUCUCAUAAUGGCAAAUCUAAAAAACACAAACUUAUUUAACAGCUAGCAAAUUUAAAAAUCACGACAGCAUCAAAAAUUGCGCACACGAAUUUAAUUAAGAGGGACGUAAAAUGGAGUUGAUAUGAUCAGCAAUGUUUUGGGCAUCAGCAGCAGCUCCAUAGAGUCCUUUCCUUGACAAUCCAACGCAGUAUAAACCAUUCUUCCCUUUCCAAUGAUUUGGGUAACUUUGCUUUGGGAUUCCAUCAUCGUUCAGCAUAGAAUCAUCUCCCUACUCAACAACAACAACAACAACAACAAGAAGAAAAUAAAAAAUAAAAAAAAUCUAAGAUUGAUUUGUACUUUUUGUAACCAUUAACGCGAAAGAGUUACAUAUUAUUAUAGAAACAAUAAAAAAAUAAAAUGGUAAAAGGCGAUUUGUUUUGGGGGGGAGGCAAAGUGAGAAUCGUCGUCUUUCCAAUAUAUAUGUAUAUAAAUAUUAUAUUACCUUGAGCCAAACAUUUGUUGAUCUCUUGAAGCCAGUACAGAAAACAAUCGAGUCAAAGUGAUGGGAGUGUCCAUUCUCAAAUACCACCUGGUUGCCUCUAAUGCUCUCCAUUCCCGGCAAUACCUGUGCAGGAGGAAUUUUAAAUUAUAUCACAAGUAAUACAUCAAUCAACUAACUUAGUUAUAUACUACAUGUGUAAUUAAAAAAUUAAUAUAAUUACUGCUUACAUAUUAAUUUUUCAUAAUAUAUAUUUACCUGUGUGUGUAUAUAGGGAGAGAGAGGAUGGCCAGCCAGGUCAUUCAAAAAAUAAAUAUCUGAUCACCUUGUAAUUAAUUACCUGAAUCUGUCCAGACUUGAUUUUCUCACAGGUGCCGACAUCGAUAACCGGGUAUUUUCCAUAAGCAGCUUUCAUGAAAAAAGGACCCUCCCUGGGCUUGUAGAUCCCAUACUUGCUCAAAUCUCCAUAAACAAGCCUGCUAAGCAUCACCAUCAAUGUGUCGACCCCGCCGCAUGGAACAUACUUCAAUAAAACUAACCCCAAAUACACCAUCUCCCUCGACAGCACAUGAACCUGAUUAAUUAAUUAAUGGAGUGGAUAGAUAUAUAGAAAUUAAGUAAAAAAAAUAUGUGCAUGCCAAGUGAAAUAAUAAUGAAUUUACCCACCGGGCUACGGAUAACUAAAGAGGUUUUGGCGGCAUGGUUGGCUAGAUCCAGUGCAAUUUUCAUGCCAGAAUUUCCAGAGCCAACGACCAACACAUGCUUGCCGCCAUAAGGUUUUCCAUUUUUAUACUGAGUGGAAUGAAUAACUUCUCCAGUCCCGGUGGCACUACUGCAGAAAGAACUCAGUCCUCGAACAUCCGGCGUAAAAGGGUUGCUCGUUUCCCCACUUGCAACCACUAGAAACCUCCCGGAAUAAUAUUCCUCAAUCUCACGGCCGGGACUUAGUAAGUUGCUAGCCUUAACGUUCCACAUAUUGGUUGCCUCGUCGUAGCUCGCCGAUUCAACGGAUCUUUGGUACCGUAUUGACGGACCGAUGUUGAAAUGGGAAACGUAGUGAUCCAAGUAUUCAAUGAAUUGGGCUCUGGAGACAAACAUCGGAUAAGAAGAAGGGAAUGGCAGGUGAGGGAGCUGACAAAAUUGCUUUGCUAAGUGCAGACGUAGGCGAUCGUAGGAAUAUUUCUUCCAGAUGGACGCGUAACAAUUUUCUCUUUCGAGGAUUACGUAAGGGAUUGAUAGAAGGCUAAGGCAGGCCGCCGUCGCCAGGCCGGACGGUCCUGCCCCUACUAUUAUCACUUCUACUCCCGCCGCUUGCUCUUUCAUUUCUUCUUUUUCUUCUUCUUCAGGUUAAUUUUGAGUUAAGUUGAUUGUUAUUGCCCAUCUGGGGGUGCUUGUUCUAUUUAUAUACUGAAAUCUUUACGUUAUAUGUACGACUCCAAUCAAUUUUUAUUUUGAUACUAUUGAAGAAGACGUAUGUUACAAGACACUCGAUUCACGAACUCCACGUGGUCGGACUUUAGAGGGAAAAAUUGUGGUGUAAUUCUGGUACCGUAUCACAGUUGCACUCAAUCGUUGGAUUUUGAUAGACCCCACUCAUCUAAUAAAUCUAACGGUUGGAUGCAACUGUGGUACAGUACCACAGUUGCAACGUAGCCGGACCUUAGAGGAAAAAAUGGUGGUGUAAAUGUGUUACCGUACCACAGUUGCACCCAAUCGUUGGAUCUCGAUGGACCCUAUCCAUCUAAGUGGAUCCAACGGCUGAAUGCACCUGUGACACAAUACCACAGUUAUACCGUAGUCGGACCUAUAUAUAUAUAUAUAUAUAUAUAUAAAGUGGUUUCCGAAAUAUUUUAAAGUGCAAGAAAAGUUCAACAAAAUUUUAAAACAAUAGAAUUUAAGAAGUUUAAAACUUAAAACAAUUAAACUGCAUAAUUUAUGUUUUUUUUUCAAAUGUUUCUGCACUAUAAAAUUUUGAUUGAAACCUCUCUGUUUGUAUAUAUGUUCGCUGCCACCCCCACCGUUUUAAUUUUCUCAUUCUAUGUGAUAAAUCAAUAUUUUUAUACGUCCUUAGUGUUACGAGAAAAACUUUUUACGUAGGACCAAAUGAUUAGAGUACUACCAAUUUAACAGAUUGAUUGAGGUAAUAAUUAAUCAUGCACAAGUCUUUCUCCAAAGUUACCAUGCUGACUAUAAUAUCUUCUUAAGCGUGCAUUUUUUUUCUUCUCUUUAAUACAAAAAAAAAAAAGAAGUAUUACAUUUGCAUAUAAAGUAACAUUAUCUAGGUCAUGUUACUAUUAAGGAAAAUGCUAUUUGCAUAUGAAAAAUAAAGUAAGGAUACUUUUACACAAAGACAAAAUUAGUAAAAUGAAUAAGUUUGUUUAUAAUGAAAUGUUUCUUAUUUUUAAUGACCUUGUAUAAUUUUAUGUAUAAUAUUAUGUACAAAUAAUAUUACCUACCAAAUGGUUAUGCUACCUCGAAUGGACGCAAAAUUAUUGGAAUAUAUUAAAACCAUAAAUUGUAUAACUUUUUUUUUUUUGGUUUAUUUAAUUUUGGCUUAAGAGAGAAGAAACAGAUUAGCAUGCUUUAUUUGAUUGAAAAAGACAUUGAAAAUAGCAUUCUUUGUGUUUCCACAAAUGAAGUCAUCCUCCCAGAUUUCAGUUUAUUUGGAAAUUUGACAUCCACAUGUUCAUUUGGAAUUUCGACAUCCACAUUCAACAAUCCUUCAAAGGAAAUAAGUUGGAAGAUGAAUUUCCCUUUCUCAAUAACUACCAUACCUCAUCAAAAUUGAAGUCCCAACUCAUAAUAUAUGACGUACGGUCCAGAAAGACUCAACCAUAUACUUGUAUUCUUGAAUGGAUAAUUUUGCCAGCAUGUUUCCUUGUUUGUUGGGUCAAAAAUAAAAGAAAUUAGGGAAGAAGAAAAAAAGCAAAUUGAAUUUGUCAAUGGAAACGUAAAGAUUACUUGACGUUGCCAAUAAGGUAUUUGAUUGACAUCUCAACUCUGACGAACGGCACUCGAAAUUGUAAUGUGAAAACACAGAAAUGAAGGGCCAAAUUAAUUAAAAGUAAAGAGGCUUUUAUGAUGUGGUGCAAGGCUUUAUGAAAAAAAUAGUCAGGUGAUAUUCUGCUUAACUAUAUUAUUGUUAACGACAUGAUUGGAUUGGGUCUGCUUAACUAUAUAAUAUUCUGCUUAAGAAUUAAUGAAAUUAAUAAAAUAAUUAAAUAUUAUUAAUUUAAUCAGGUGAUAUUCGUUUUGGGUUUAUACAACCUCGAUCGAGUCGAUGCUUCUUGAAGUCGUCUUGAAUUGGGGGGAUCCAGGACGAACAAAUAUGAAGCAACAUGAAAGGCGAUAACGACUCUCACACACAAAAUCAGAUAGUAUAUAUAGGAGUAACGAAAUCUCUUUUCUAGAUAAAGUAAGAGAUAGGUUAAAUUGAAAAAUAAUAAUAAUAAUAAUAAUAGCACAGUGAGUGACUUCAUGAAUUUAUGAGAUAACCAUGUAAUGCAUCAGAACUUGAAAAAUAAAAAUCAUUAAAAAAAAUUAAAAAUCAAAGUUAUGCAUUUUUGUAAGGGUGUUUUAUGUGAUAAAUACACGUUUAGUCUCUAUAUUUUGGGUUAAGUACUCAUUUAGUCCUCAUAUUUUGAAAAACGUCUCCAAGAUUUGUUAUGCUUUUGUCCUUAUAUUUUUCGUCUCAACUUUUACAAAAACAUCCUUGCGGGGCAUUAAUAAAGGGGAGAAAAUAUUAAUUUGUCAAAUUAACCGCAAAAGUAAACAAAAAUUAAUGUAAAAAUUUCUUACUAUUAUUUUUAUUUUUAAAGUUAAUUUGAUAUUAGUUUGGUACUUGUAAAGAAAAUUAUUGUAAACUCCUACGCCCAUCGGAGAUCCUCCUUUCUUCUCAGAAUUAUACAAAAUAGUAUUAAAAUCUCCACCUAACAGCCAAGGACCCCGGACAGUCAAAGCUAUCUUUGCCAACUCAUUCCAAAGAUGUCUCCUGAUGCUUGGAUUAGGACUAGCAUAGAUUGCCGUCAUCCAAGUUAGCAGGUUAUUGUUCCUUGAAAUCUUGAGGUGAAUGAACUGAGUAUGAUUCCCCACUAUCUCAACUUCAAAUAAAUUUUUCCAAAGGAUCCAAAUGCCGCCCGAAAAACCCUCAGCUUCCACUCGGUGAGACUUGUCAAAACCACUAUUCUUGAUGAAGUUAUCCGCCUUGGAACCACUGAUGCGAGGCUCCAUUAACACCACCAUUACGGGCUUGUAAUUAUUAACCACAGCAGAGAAAGAACGACGAAAGGACGGUGAAGCAGCACCUUGAGCAUUCCAAAACAUAGUUGUAAUACACAUAACAAAAAAAUUUAAAAGGAGAGCCAGGGGAAAAACUAAGACAGCCCUAUGGCUUCAGCUUCAUCAUCCAUGAAGGUGUCAGGAACCCCUGAAUUAUCUUCAUCAGUUAAAGGCACACUCCUACCCGCAACAUCUGAAUCAAGCUCCCUAAAAGGUCCCCCCCGGAGAUUAAGACUAUUCAUGCCAUCCUCAUCGGGGGGCUCUUUAUCCAAAUUCUGGGCCAAAACUUCCUUAGGCAACUGUUCAUGGUGAGACCGAGAAUGAGGAAAUUGAAGCUGAGGGUUAGGGAAAGAAACUGCACUAUGGUUUAACGGGUUAAGGGUUACAUGAACAGGCAUCGGGGAAGCAGCCAUUGUGUUGGGAUGGGCAUGCAUGCCAUGCAUGGAGCUACAGGGAACAUCAGAGGUAGCACUUGGUUCAGAUGUGGUAAGACCCUUGAGAUGUGCGUGCAUGCCUUGCAUGGCUAGGGUAGGAUUAUGUGGUUGGAAAGGCUGGCCACGGCUAUGAUUAUUGGGGUUGAUAUUUUCAGCUAUGGAGUUGUUUGCCCGAACGGAAAUUUUCUUGGUAGGAUAUUUUCGUAUAAAGUGACUCACUUGUUUCUUUUUCAUGCUCCUGGAUUUUGGGGCUAAAGUGUUGGGAUUUUCUAAUGUUGGCUCUGGAAUUUCCUGAUGGAUUACCGAAGUGUUGUCCUGAUUUUGUGGUGCAAUUUCCUCAUUCAUCACUUUGCCUAAGACAUCAAACCGCGACUCAUGAACAUUUAGCCCCUGUUGAUCCUGAACCGAGACCUUAGGAGAAACCCUUUCUGAAACUCUACGGGGGCGAGGUUUACGGGUUACCACCAUCCACGAUCCAAACUUAGACGCAUUUCGGUUAGAACCCUCCUCCACUACAAUAUCCCGGUUUGCAGCAACAGGACAAGAAGUUGGCAGUUCAGCUUCCACAUGCGUGGUACCACCGUCAGGGCAAGCAUCUUGAUAAUGGCCAAACUUGCCACAGUAAAAACAAAUCAAGGGCAGAUUUUCAUACUCCACCUUUUGGAUUCUUCCCUCAAAAUUAAAUUGAGAAACCAGCGGCUUGUCAAGGUCUAGUUGAACCGCAAUGCGAGCAAAUUUUCCCCUUUGGGCUGCGGCAGUGAGAUAGUCUAUCUUAAUGACCGGGCCAACAAUUUGCCCUAACCGCCGUAUAAUAGUUUUAUGAUAAAAGUGAAUAUUCAUGCCAGACAAACGAAUCCAAGCCACAAUACGAUCAACUCUAUUCGUGAUAGCAUCAAACUCCGGCGUCCAUUGCUGAACAAAAAGAUAAUGCCCCAUGAUGGUCCACGGCCCCUCAGUAAGAGCAUAUUCCACAUCUCCCUCGUUCUGAAAACGGAUCAGGUAAUAGUCAUUAGCUAAGUCAAUGAUGGAGAAACCCAUUGUAGAACUCCAGAGUCUCUUCAAACGCUCGCUGAUAACUCUAUAUCCCAGGUUUCGUCCAAGAGUUUUAACGACAACUGAGUUUGCCCAAGGUUUUGCUAGUCGUUCGUGGACCCUCUGUGAGAAAGCAAUAUAGGGCAUAGAUUCGUCCUCCUUACAACAAACAUCCUCCUCUUCCAGUUCCCACUCGUCCCUCAUGCCAAAAACCAUAUUUGCAGAGCCCCCAUUCGCCUCCAUGGCGAUAUCACGGUAGGAUAAGGGCUUAGGGUUAUCUCCAUCAGCCCCUUCAGCCCUAAACUUUGUCUUUUUGGUGAAUCGGUCACUCGCCAGCGGCGGUGGAGAAGCUUUCGCGGAGCUCAUUAGGGCACGGAUUCUUUGUUUUGGACUCACUCAAAAUCUGGGCGUUUCACUACUCAUUCGGCUUACUUGGCUUUUUCGAAUGAUACCCCCAUGCAUGAUGACAGGCCUUGGCGGACGGUUUGGAGUUGGAAGGGUCCCCAAAGUGUGAGGAUCUUCUUAUGGCAAGCGUUUCACAAUCGUCUGAAAACAAAGGCCGAGUUAGUUCGUCGUCACAUCCCGGUAUCAACCUCCUGCGAUCGGUGUGAGGCUGCGACUGAGGAUGCUUUGCAUGUCUUGCGGGACUGUGCUUUGGUUAAGCGUUUUUGGCUCCUGAUUCUCCCAGAAAAUAAACGACAUCAAUUCUUCAAUUGGCGGCUCCAUGAUUGGCUUCGUAUGAAUCUGGGGAUCGUCGGAGGGCUAGGGAGUGUUUCUAAUUGGGCCAUCUUCUUUGGCAUUGCUCUCUGGAGACUUUGGUUUUGGAGGAACCAAUUCAUCUUUAAUCAAGUUUCUAUGGAUCCGAAUGUUGUUUUAAUGGAUGUUUUUCUGCGCACUGCGGAAAUGCAAAAGAUUCAUACUCAUCCGCUUACCUCAGGACAUACGAGGGUGAUGAGAUGGAUCUCUUGGAAACCUCCAGAUUGGCCUUGGUGCUCUUUGAACACUGAUGGUGCCCAUAACAGGGAGGGAAUUUCUACUGCUGGGGGAUUGAUUCGCGAUCACAUGGGUCGCUGGCUUAGUGGUUUUGGGAUGAUGAUUGGUUCCUGCUCUGUUACAGUAGCGGAGCUUUGGGGUUUGUAUCAAGGGUUGCAACUAGCUUGGAAUUCUGGUAUAAGAAAGCUUAAAGUGGAAAUAGAUAGUCGUUGUGUGCUGCAGUUGGUGACCAAGCCAACAUUGGAAAUCAAUCAUUAUGCUUCUCUGAUUCGAGCUAUCAAGGAUUAUUUAAAGAUGGAUUGGCAAGUUUCUGUCUCCCAUAUUUACAGAGAAGCUAACUUCGCAGCGGAUUAUAUGGCGAGCCUAGCUUUCUCCAUCCCUCUUGGUCUUACUAUUUACCAUACUCCCCCGUUGGGAGUUAGCCCUUUUUUGUUUAAGGAUGCUUAUGGGAUUGCCCAUUCUCGCUCGGUUGUUCUUUAGCUCUGCUUAGAGCCCUUUUUUACCAAAAAAAAAAAGAAAAUUAUUGUAAAAAUUGUUGUAAGAAUAUUUAGCAGUUAGAACUAAAUAGAAAUUUAAUUCAAAAUAUAAAAGGAUUAAAAAAAAAAUUCACCUAUAUUAUUUUUAGUGUUUUUGUAAUUCGAAGUAAAGCAUAUUUCAUGCUGUUAAAUCGGGUUGACGAUCCCAUCGGAAAGAAAAAGAAAAGAAAUAUGAGGUGGAUGAUGACUUGCAUUCUAAGUCAAAGGAAUAUGCUAAGUGCUAAGAUUUGGUUGUUCACUGGACGCGCUCAAAUUGGUACUCUUUUUUUUUUAUCAAUUCAACGAUUCAACCAACGGCAGCAUGCAUUGCAUGCACAGGUUCAGAUACCUGCAACUCACUCCGGCCCCCACCCGAAAAAGCCAAACCCUCAGCCCUCUUUGAGUCUUUUACUAGUCUAUGUCCGAAUGAUUGUGUGCAGACAAAGCAAUUUAUUUGGGUGUCAUCGAGGAAACGGCCAUGAAUGUGGGUUAAGAGAAAGUGGUUAAAAAAAAAAGGGGGGGGGGGGGGGGGGGGGGAAUUGGGAGAAAAUGUCAAAUCUCCAACCCUUUUUAUUAUAUCCCACUAAUUUUUUUCACAUCAAAAUCUUAACCAAAAAAAUUAAUUUUUAUUUUGUGGAUGGAAUGUUAACAUUAAGAGAGUAUACUGGAGGGGAUGGUAACAAAGAAUAAUAACGUAAAUUCUCAUUUGUAAGUAACGAUGUAUGUUAUUUUCGCUCUCUUUGUAAGUUCUCAUUUCUCAAAAGUACUGUAGAGCAUACUGUAAUAGAAUAACAACAUAGUCUGUAAGCUAAUUUGAAUUUUUUUUUCAACUUAAAUGUUAUAAUGGUAAUUAUAAUGGAAUAAAAUGUAAAUUAUGUUGUUGUUUUUAUGGUGCAUUUAUUUUUUAUUUUUGGAUCAAGGAAUUAGAAUCUCAAAUUGAAAUUAUUGAUAGUGUUUACUUGAUAAAGUGAAGGUGAAAAUAUAAGUGAAAGUGAUAGGCUUUGUUGGACCAAAAAUAAAAUAGGCCCAAUCAAGACCUAAAUAAAUUUAAUCCCAAUAAGACCCAUCUAAUAAAUUUACUCUCGAUUAAGUCCACAAAGCGUUGAACAAAUCACCUAUAAUAAUCCUCCUAAGUAAUAAAGCUUCAAAACCCAAAGGGUUCCAAGAUCCAAGACCAAAACUUAUUCUAGAGUCCUAAGAUCUAUCAUAAGACAAAUCACCUAGGAUAAUCCUCCUAAGUAACAAGACUUCAAAGCCUAAAAGGUCUCAAAGUCCAAGACUAAAAGAUUCUAAAGUCCUAGGAUCUUAUCUUAAGACAAACCACCCAAAAUAAUCAUCCUAGAUGACGAGGCUUCAAAGCUCAAAAGAUACUGAGAUCCUAGGCUUCUAUUCUAAGACAAACUAUUUAUGAUAAAUCUCCUACAUUCUAAGGUUCUCAUCAUCACAGAGUUUUAGUAAAAAUAACUUAAGGUUAAAACACUUCUUUCUUUAAUAUAUAGACAAACUUGCAUAUUCAUGUGUUAAUUAACAUGGCCACAAACAAACAAGUGUUGCCAGACGUGAUAAGAACAAUAACACUUGUCAUUAAAAUAACUAGGACUUAAGUCAAAUCAAUUUCGCCUAUAAAUAUGUCUUUUAUUCUCAGUAAAAGGUAAGAAAAAAUGGACUCAAACGGAAAAAUGAUAACUUUCACUUUCUAAUAUUUUUCUUUCUAAAUAUACAUUUCCAAAAGUCUGGUGACUAACUUGACCAUAGGACGGUUUAUGCCGGCAAAGCCGGCUUUCUGAUUCUUUUCUUGUGUUUGUAAAGUAUCACUAAAUAAGAACAUUCUCAUUAUCUAAAGAAGUGAACUCAGACAACGAUAUAUAAAGGCCUAUUAAGAUCAACCUAAAGGGUAAACUCACUAUCGUUAAAUCCAACAAAAAGUAACCCAAGUCCUAAGGGGGUCGUCCUCAGUUGGAAUUUCUACAUAAUAAGUUGGGACAAAAUUUGCACAAACAGGCUUCACACAAAUUUAAGAUUAGGAUUUGAAAGUUUGAUUCCCAAAGGGCUUAGGAUUUAGAUUCCAAUUCCUUUGACUGAUUAUUUUAUCCCCACCUAAAUUAUUUAACUUCAAUUUUAUCCUCCGUUAAAAAUAUUAUAUAUAUAUCUUUUUCACAAUUCCCAAAAAUCUGAACCACCAAAAUCACGUUGCCGGUCAUCACGUAGCAUCCGUUGGAAUUGUGCACUGAUUGUCAAUCUCGCACUACAGCAGACGUUCGUUGAUAGUUAGCCUUACAAACACUGUAUCUCUCCAUCAAAUGUGGAUUGAUAAUGAGAUUGUUGGUGGUGAUAAAUAUCGAUGGUGAGAUUGAUAAUGAUAAAGAAUAUUGAUGAUGCUGCAUCAUCAAAUCUGAUAAAGAAGCCAUAGUAGCUAGGGGAUCUUAUUCUUUAUCAUCGGGAAGUACUGAGGAUGAUGAUGAAGAAGAAAAUAAAUUAUAAUAAUACAUAAUAAUAAUAAUGAUGAUAAUAAUUAAAAGAUAUUUUAAUGACUUGUAACAUUUUAUUUCGAUCCUAUAAUAAAAUAAAUAUAUUAAUUAAAAUACAACAACUUAUUUUUAUUUUAAUUUAUGUAAUUCAAAUAAAUAACUUAUUUUUUAUUUUCAUUUCAUCUGAGUUCGAUUCGAACUUAUUUCUAAUUGCCUUUCAUUAUCGAAUGUUAAAUGCGCCUUAAAUUUUCUACACCAAAACCAAACGCCGAUAUGUCAUUAGUCCCUAAAUAUUUCAGAACCAGACUCCGUGAUCCAGGUCCACUGCCCUUUAAUUGAUUGGGUCCCACUAAUUCGAAGGUCGCACCCCACCCUUUUAAUUACUUUGGAUUUUCAAAAAUUUUUAGGACCGGCGAAGAGAUAAUAUGAAAAUCACAAGCAUGUUGUGCAUUUGAAAAUUGAAAUUGUGACGGGAUCAGCAUCCACCUAAGAGCAUUUAAUAUAAACAUAAAAAUUAUUAAGAAUCUCCACAAUAUAAUUAUAUAAAUAAUAAAAUAAAUAUAAUUUAAAAUUAUGUCUUAUAAAAUUAUAUGAAUAAAAUUAUAUUUUUAAUUUUUAAUUUCAAGUCGGGUCGGACAUGGUAGGACCAAAACUUUGACCCGAACUUUAAUCGGCCAUAAUGUUUUAGCCUGAACCCGACUUAAAAUCUUUAAAUUUAGGUUAAAGUCUGAAAAUUUUGGAUCACAUCAAUCAAGUUAAAAAUUAGGCCCGACCUUUUUAACCAUGCAUACCAUCUGCUGCAGAUUUAUUUCGUUUUUAUGAACAAACUUCGAAUGUUAUUGGUAAAUUUGUUAAUACGAAUCAAUAAAAAAUAGCCUAAAGAUUUGAGGAUUGGGCAUUUAAAUUCCGAAUAGUACAAAAACCAUUAAAUAUCCAAUUAGAAUAUGAGAUGCCGUACAAGUAAAAUCUGGACUCUGGCAUCGUCAAGGUAACAGGUUUCCUUUGUCCACCAAUCAAAAACACAAAUUAAAGUUUACCAGAGAAUUAGACAGACACCACCUCUGAUGCCAUUUAUAUUAAAGGUUACAAGCAACUUACCAUUUUUGUAACUUCAUUCCACUAUUGCAAGGAAUGGAGAAAAAUCCCCAUGGUAUACCCCGUAGGGGACCUAAUCCCUUGCGUUUUCAUAUUCUAAAUUAUAUUCAGUUAAAAUAUUAAAUAUUAAAUACAUUCUUAAUAUUAAUAUUCUUAGAUGAAAUUCUUUUGCUGACUUAAGAAUAAAAUAUUAAAUAAUGUUAUUUUUCUUUUAUUGUGUAACGUGGACCAAAAAAAAAAGGAAAAGAAUUUAAUAAAACCUUCAUUCCGCCAACAUGCAUGUUAAUUGUUUCCAAAUUCCAACCUCCGUACUCUCUUGAGGAGUUUCCCAUUCAUCAAUUAUUAUUUUUUUAUAAUCCAUACCAUCCUGAUAUAAUUAAACACCAUUAAUAAUGUACCAGCCUUUAAAUAGUAAUUAAUUUAUUUAUCUAAUUCACCAAAUGUCAUUUCCUGUACAUAUCUCCAUUGGUAUCAAGAAGAGGCAGAACCCAAAGAAACGUUUCUUGCAUCUUCAUAUUUGUGCGAAUUCAUCCUUUCAUUGAGAAUAACCAUUUCCAGGCAGCAGUUGGCAAUCAAUUCAUGCGCACGUCGAUGCUAUUCAUAGAUAUUAAAGACAAUGAUGAACCAAAGGUGAUAAAUCAUAAAUGCAUAAUUACCAAACCUCCAUCCUUCUCUCAUUAUGAUUUGAUUUUAAAUGAAUUAUUGCUUGGUAACAUUAUUUCCAACCAUUGCAAGACCCUUUUUUUUUUUUUUCUUUUGGGAGAAAUUUCAAUUGAAAGUGAAACCUUUAGACAUUUACCUAACGAAGUUAGUUAAUCGGGAGGGUUGGAAAAAAAAAAAGUUGACGCAAGUCAAUGCACAAUAAUUAAUUAAAUCCGGAGUGACUAAACAGAGCCACGACUUUUUCAAAAAUAUCUGCAUUCAUCACUUUCUCCAGCAGCUAGUCAGCUACACACGAAUCAAUUUCUCUCCUCGUUUGUUGUCAUCCAAAAUUGUUCACCAAUACCAUGGCUGAUGCAAUCGUUUCCACUAUCUUGGCGCAGCUGAUUUCCUUCGCUGCUGAAGAGAUAAAACAACAGGUGAUCGAAGUUACACCCCUCAUAUUACAAAUACUUCCAAUGACUUUAAUUGGUUUUUUUAUUAUCAAAAACAUUAUAAUUAUAAUUUUUUUAAAUUUGAAUUGAAUUUAAUUAAAAGGUGAUGUAGUAACCACUCAUUUUUAUUUUAUUUCAUUUAUAUUCUCGAUAACUAACCAUAUUUUGGUAACUUAAUAUAACUCUCGUACAUAAGAAAUGAUCAAAACCCACAAUUUUAACUCUGUAUAAAUAUUCAACGUUGAGUCAUUAAUUCUCAACUCAGCACUGAAUCCCAUAGCUAUUACUUAGACUCUAUGAAAAAUUUCAUAGUUUUCUUACAUUCUUUGAGUUGGGUAAGUGAUUUCCUAUAAUUUCUUUUCAAGUUAAAUUUUAAUUUGGUUUCUGAUAUAGUCUCUUUGCCGAAUUGUCUCUUUUAUGAUUCUUGGAUUUUGGACUUCAACUUUUUAGGAUUUGAUAGUCAUAUUUUAUGCCAUGCUCAGAUUGAUUUUCAUGAUUUUUAGUAGCUGUUGAGUGACUUACAAUUUGACGAAAGUUUGAAAGGAAAAAUGUUUCAGGAUUAUGUUUUAAUUGACCUUUUAGUGGAAAUAGGAUGCUUAUAACUUAAUGUGGAUGGUUCGUAAAAUCAUGAAAUUUGGAUAGGAUUCACUAGAAAUAUGUACAAGACUCUCCAUAAAAUUUCAUAAUUUUUCAUUCGGUAUGGGGUGGCACAGGUGAAACUUGUGUUUGGUGUUGAAAAAGAAGUGAAAAGCCUUACCAGCCACCUUCAAGUCAUUCAAGUUGUGCUCGAUGAUGCAGAGGAAAAGCAAGUGAAGGACAAAGCUGUUAGUCUUUGGCUGGGUAGGCUCAAGUACGCAUCCUACGACAUUGAAGAUGUGUUGGAUGAGUGGAUCACAGCAAGACGCAAAUUGCAAAUUGAGGAUGGCAUUGAUGAAAAUGCUCUUGUUGCUCCUCAUAAGAAAAAGAAGGUAUGUCUCUGCUUUCCCGCCUCUUGUUUUGGAUUCAAACAAGAAGAAUUUGGUUUCAAACAAGUCUUUCUCCGUCAUGACAUUGCCAACAAGAUCAAAGAAAUGAAUGAAGAGCUACAUGAUAUUGCCACCCAAAAAGACAUGUUUAAUCUUGUUAAGAGUGGCAAUAAAAGUAGUGAAAGACCAAGGCGUGUACAGAGUACCUCCUUGAUUGAUGAGGAAGAGAUUUGUGGUAGAGUUGGUGAGAAGAAUGAACUCAUAAGCAAGCUGUUGCGUGAGAGUAGCGAGCAACAAAAAGGCCUCCAUAUCAUCUCAAUUGUUGGUAUGGGAGGCAUAGGGAAAACUACUCUUGCACAACUAGCUUGUAAUCAUGACGAGGUGAAGAGAAAGUUCGACAAAAUUCUGUGGGUGUGUGUAUCAGAAACUUUUGAGGAGUUUAGGAUAGCCAAAGCGAUCGUUGAAGUUUUGGAUGGUCGUGAAUCUCAUUUAGCUGAAUUCCAUUCUCUUCUUCAACAUAUUUGUGAAUCAAUUGCAGGGAAGAGCUUUCUUCUUGUCUUAGAUGAUGUGUGGGAUGGAAAUUACUUGAAAUGGGAACCAUUCUACCGUUGUCUAAAGAAUGGUCUCCAUGGAAGUAAAAUUUUAGUUACCACACGUAAAGGGUCAGUCGCAUCCAUGAUGGGAUCCAUAGAUAUUAUCUCCGUGAAGGAGUUAGCUGAAGAGGAAUGUUGGUUGUUGUUUAACAAGAUAGCAUUUUUUGAUCGGUCCAUCGAGGAACGUGAAAAAUUAGAACAAAUUGGGCAAAGAAUUGCAGGCAAGUGCAAAGGUUUACCUCUUGCAGCAAAGACAAUAGGGAGUCUCAUGCGUUCUAAACAAACUGAAGAAGAGUGGAAAAGAAUUUUAAAUAGUGAUUUAUGGAAAGUAGAAGAGAUUGAGAAAGAUGUUUUGUCCUCUUUAUUGUUGAGUUAUAAUGAUUUGCCAUCUAGAGUAAAAAGAUGUUUUUCAUAUUGUGCUGUCUUUCCAAAAGACUACGAUAUAAAAAAAGACAAACUAAUCACAUUAUGGAUGGCUCAAGGUUAUCUUAGUGCAGAACAAGAUGAAGAGAUGGAGACAGUAGGUGAAAAGUAUUUUGGCAUCUUAGCUUCUCGCUCGUUUUUUCAAGAGUUUAAGAAAAGUUAUGAUAAUCGGAUUAUAGCGUGUAAGAUGCAUGAUAUGGUACAUGAUUUUGCCCGAUUUGUAAGUCAAAAUGAAUGUUUUUCGAUGGCAAUUAAUGAUAGUGAAGAACCAAAUGCUACAAACUCUCUUGAUGAGAAGGCCCGUCAUUUAAUGUUAAUCUUUAGUAUAGGGGCUUCAUUUCCUGUUUCCACUAGUAGAGUUAAAAGAAUGCGUAGCCUCUUAAUUAACUAUAGUGGAUCUGAUCAUUCAUCAUUAAAUGGUGAGAUCCUAGAAGAAUUAUUUGGGGAAUUGACAAGUUUAAGGGCAUUAGAUUUUGGCGAACCGUACGACACAAAUUUUUCUUUGACUCUGGAGAUUCCAAGAAAUAUAGAAAAGCUGGUACAUUUGAGAUACCUUAAUUUGUCUUAUCAGGGAAUAAAGAAACUACCGGAGACAUUGUGCGAGUUGUAUAAUCUAGAAAAGUUAGAUAUUAGUUGGUGUUUUAAUCUUAAAGAAUUACCUGAAGGGAUUGGGAAGUUAAUAAACAUGAAGCAUUUACGAAAUAGAGGUACUAAUUCUUUAAGGCACAUGCCAGUAGGGAUUGGGAGAUUAACGGGUCUUAGGACCUUGGGUGAGUUCCACGUGAGUGCAGGAGGAGGUGUUGAUGGUAGGAAAGCGUGUAGGCUUGAAUCUCUUAAAAACUUGGAACACCUUCAAGUAUGUGGUAUACGUAGACUGGGUGAUGUAUCAGAUGUGGGCGAGGCUAAGCGAUUAGAACUUGACAAAAGGAAAUACCUCUUCAGUUUGACCCUUGAGUUUGAUAAGAAGGAAAGAGGAGGAGAAAUGAGGAAGAACGAGGACGAUCAACUUCUUCUUGAAGCCCUGCGGCCACCUCUCAAUUUAAAGGAAUUAGAGAUACAGUACUACCGAGGCAACACUGUUUUCCCCAGCUGGAUGACGUCAUUAACCAACUUAAAGAGUUUAGAUCUCUCUUCCUGCGAAAAUUGCGAGCAGCUGCCUCCUUUGGGAAAAUUGCCAUCCCUUGAAGCACUCAGCCUAUUGAUUAUGCGGAGUGUGAAAAGAGUGGGUGAUGAAUUUUUGGGGAUAGAAAGUGAUCAUCAUGGCUCAUCUUCAUCUUCAUCGGUUAUUAUUGCCUUCCCCAAAUUGAAAUCACUUAGUAUUGAGGGAUUGAUGGAAUUGGAGGAGUGGGAUUAUGGGAUUACAAGAACGGGAAACACCGUCAUCAACAUCAUGCCACGUCUUUCUUCCUUGACAAUUGGGAGUUGUCCCGAAUUAAAGGCACUGCCUGACCACAUUCAUCAAACGACAACAUUGAAGGAAUUGCAUAUUUGGGAUUGCAGGCUUCUGGAAGAACGUUAUUGCAAGGGGGAAGGAGAAGACUGGCCUAAGAUAUCACACAUUCCCAACCUCCAUAUUGGGCUUUGACAAGUAAUUUCUUCUCUUACUCUGAUUUGCUUUGUUCUUGUUUUUAAUCUAAUUAAGAAGCGUAAAUAGCAUUUUGAAUCAAACUCUAUAUCAGAAAUCUGCAAUACUUACUUUCUAAUAUUCUGAUUUUCAUAUCCUAUGAAUAUACGAUUUUUAAUUUGUGAGAUGGGUAACGUUAUUGUAAAAGAUUAUUAAUGCAAUAUGAGUAAUUCUUUUACAGGACAAGUGACCUACAUUUAGUUUGGCUUUGGAGUUGAAUAAUAACGUUUUGAGGUCCCGACAUCCAAAAAACGAAGCUUAAUUUGCCACAGAUUGAACGUAUUGCCAUUAUUGACAAUUUUCUGCACAAGCGUGACUGAACUUAGGUUGAUGUCAAAAGAGGUAAAUUAUUGGCAUGCCUGACUAUUUUGACCAUUACAUGAUUCAUAAGUUUACAUUAAUUUUGAUUUUGAGUUGAGUGAUUAGUUUUCUAGGUUUGCUUACUUUAACUGGGUGACCAAUUUCUUGUAACUAAAUGUAUGAUGUGAUGCAGGAAGCAGGGUAGGAUAUGAAAGAGAAGCUUAUUAGAGGAAGGAUUGCCAGUAACAGAAUCCAAAGAAAAAGAAACCAUUUCGAGGCAGCAGUUGGCAGUUGGCAGUGAAUGGAGCCCCUUGAAAAAAUUCCCAAGCCGUUGCACUGCAAUUACGAUCAUCCUCGGCCUCAGGUAAUUUCUUCUCCUGCAUUUUUGUUAUUUGCUAUCAAGUGACUAUUUUAAGUAUGAUUGCAUUAAGCUGCUGCUGGGAAAUUUGAGGUUUUGAUGACUGCCCAUGCUAUUGUCAGAAGCUGCGGUUCUUUUCAUCAGCCUGAACCUGGACCUGCCGCUAUGGAUAACUCAGGUUUUUUUUUUUUUUAAUCAACUGCCAUCUUUUCCACUGUUUAGAAACUCUUAAGAUUAAACUUUAGUAAAGUUGUUUUAGUUAUCCAUGUAAUCGGGCUGAGGAUACUUAGCUGCCUAUUUAGGCAAAUGUCAGAAUGUUCGCUGGGAACUGGUGUGGACUGGCAAAGGAUGAUGAGAUAGUUUUUUGAGUGAGUAAAUUUUGGGAGCUUGAGUGUAUUGGGAUUUGCAAUUACAAUCAUCGUCUGCCUCAGGUGAUUUCUUCUCCUGCUCUGUCAUUGUUUGUUCUCUAAUUCAAAAGCAUAAAAUAUUUCAAUCAAUUUUAUGCCAGGAAUAUGCAAAAGUUUCUAAUAUUUUAUUUCCAUCUGUUACAAGAUCAAACUGAAGUAGAACUCAAACAAAAGUAUGCUACUUCUUGCGGAAAUCUUGCCUUUGUUCAGAUUAUGAAACCAUUUCCAUGCAGCAAAUUCAUCCAAAAGUUUGAAUAAGUUUCAUGGUUGGACACUGUUGGCUUCUUUUUCUUCUGGGGUGCAUUUAGGUGCUAUCAAGUGACAGCUGUAAGUAUGAUUGCACUAAGCUGCCGCUGGGAAAUUUGAGGUUUUGAUGGCUGCCCAUGUUAUUUUCAAGAAACUAUUGAUGUAAGAAGCUGUGGUUCUUUUCAUCAGCUUGAACCUGAAACUGUCGCUAUGGAUAACUCAGGUUUUUGUUAUCAACUAUAUCAUCUUUUUCACUAUUUUGAAACUCUUAAGAUUAAACUUUAGUAAAGUUGUUUCAGCUAUUCAAAUGAAAAACUCAUUGAUUUGAGACUUCCUUCAUUAUUGUUUCUAAUUACAAUGCUAACGAUCCAGAUAAAAUAAUAUUUAAUCGGCGAAGGUGUCCCUUGGAAGUACAUCCUUCUUUUUCUUUUAUUAUAUAAAUUCUUGCAAUGAGCUUAGUGAAGCUGUUGUGCUAAUCAUGCCACUGCAUAAUUUGGCCCCUAAUGUGGGUACUCUGUUACAUUGUUCUGCAAAUUCUCCGGAAGUUAAAAUCAAUAAAUUUUCUAUUAGCUCUAGUGCUUUGACCUAAAUGCUAUUCUAUAUUUUGAUUACAAUGUUUUAACCUUUAAAUUAACUACCCCUAGAUGUUGGAUUUUCUAGAACUUCAAAAUACAUAAACCGUCAGACAUUUAAGCAUCCAAAGAUACAUUAUAUAUUUCUGUGUCUCUAUUUGUAGAUGACAUUUAAGCAUCCAUAAACCGUCAGACAGAGGAAGGGCGUUCAGUGCAAAGAUUCUGUUGACCUAGGGUUGACUGCAUAAUGUCACUUGUUCGCAAUCUAUUAUUUAUUUCAUAUUUUGAAGAAUUUAAUGGGUAAUCCUAAUUGUUUGUUUUGGCAGGUAUGUGUUGUUAUCUCCUUCUAUCUAACAGUCGUACCUAAAUAGCAUAGUUCCAAAGAGGUAAAUUAUUGUCAUGCCUAGAUAAUUUGGCCAUUUCCUAAUUCAUAAGUCUACAUUAAUUUUGAUUUUGAGUUGACUGAUUUCUUUUCAAGGUCUGCUUCCUUAACGGAGUGACCAAUGUUUUUCAACUAAAUUUAUCAUAUGAUGCAGGAAACAGGGCAGGAUAUGAAAUGAGAAGCUCAUUGGUGGAAGUAUUGCCAGUAGCAGAACCCAAUGAAAAUGAAACUAUUUCAAGGCAGCAGUUGGCAGUUGCAAGUGAAUGGAGGCCCUUGACAAAAUUCUCAAGCGAUUGCAAUGCAAUUACGAUCAUCCUCAGCCUCAGGUAAUGUCUUUUAUUGGUACCCAACAAAAAUGCAAGGUCUGUGAGAAGACAGUUUGUCCAGUUGAGCAGUUAUCUACUGAUGGGGUUGUUUAUCACAAGUCUUGCUUCAAGUGCUCUCACUGCAAAGGCACACUCAAGCUAAGCAAUUACUCAUCCCUGGAAGGUGUUCUUUACUGUAAGCCUCACUUUGAGCAGCUUUUGAAGGAGUCGAGUAACUGCAACAAGAAUUUCCAAUUACCUGCAAAGUCAGCUGAGAAGUUAACUCCUGAGCUGAGAAGGUCGCCUAGCAAAGUUGCCAGCAUGUUCUCUGGGCCCAAUAAAAAUGUGCUUCUUGCAGUAAAACAGUGUGUCCGUGGGAGAAGGUAGCAGCGGAAAAUCAAGCCUCUCACAAGACAUGUUUCAAGUGCUCACAUGGUGGUUAUUCCAUUAGCCCGUCAAAUUACGCAGCCCUAGCAGGCAUCUUGUAUUGCAAACAUAAUUUCUCCCAAUUGUUCAAGGAAAAAGGCAGCUACAACCACCUUAUAUCAAAUCUGCUCCCAUGAAGCGUGCUGCAGUCUCUGUUCAAGAAGCUUGAACAUGUUAUGUUAUCUUCCAUAAAUCUUAUUUGGCGUGGGUUUUCUCUGGCUUGAGGGUGUGCUUUCUAUUUUGAUCCCUCUUGUUGUUUUUGCGGGGAACUACCAAACCUUCGGUUCCCUCUGCUUCUUUGGAUCAUCUUUGUUUGGACAAAUUUCAUGUAAUUAGAGAUACCGAUUUAUGGGAGGCAUAAUCCCAUGGUCGUAAAUUGACCAUUUUCUGGCAAGUUCUUUUUAAAAAGAUAUGAGCAGUUGUUUAAAAAAAAAAAAAUAGCUUGCCUUCAUCAUUGUAUGUUACCAAACUGCUAUGUAUAGCUGUUAACUAUGAGCAUCCGAAAAUAUGGUGCAUCGUGAUUCAUGUAGUGCAAUAUGGCUACCAACGCAUCCUAAAUGGAAUAUUACUCAGUUAGUCAGCAAAAUAAGACAACAUAACUGAUAUUAAAAAAAUAAAAACUACAUUAAUAAGUGGGCAAGAUCAUGCCAGUUUAACUUUUCGCGAGUCGCUGCUGGAGAUAAUCAAAUCGGGGCAGAGAAAAGGAGAAUGGAAUCAGAGGCUAAGAUUAAUAAGUGGGCUUCUGCUUGCUUUGCCCCUCUUUCUUAAACGAUUGGUAGACUGCUGCUUCCACCGAUUAACCGGGUCUUCAACCACUGCUUUUACUGCCUGCCAUCUUGUUGUUUGUCGAAGGGAUGAAUUCGAGUCGAAAAGAGAAAGCGCGCUGAAAAAGAUAAAUCACUAGUGGUUAACUGCUGACUCAGCCAAGUGUUGGCUUCACUUGAUUCACCGAUUGAGGUUAUUUUGUCUUCUAUCUAAUGCAGCGAAGAAGCUUUGCUGCUUAACAUGCUGCAAUGCAACUUUAUCCUUUGAAGUUCACACUUCAGGGCUGCGCACUUUAUGUAAUCCUAUGAGUAAAAAGAAUUUGUUUUCAAAUGUGAAAAAAGAAAAUGUAAGGUAGUAACUAAUAUAUUAUAGCAUCAAAGCAAGAUUUGAUAUGAAUUUAGUACAACAAAGAACAUCAAAUCUGUGAUUCCUUGUCUAAUGUCACCAUCGAGCAACAAAUUUAAAAGCCUACCUAUCAAAUACACGAGGCAAUAAACGGAGAAAAAGUUGAAUUACAAGAACAAGUUUACAAUUCUUGUCAAUGGUUAAUGAUUCGUGAACUGAGAUAGCAUUCAAGAAUCCAAUUUCAAUACAACAACGUAAAAGAUAAACAGAUGAUGAAUUUUAUGAGAUAAAGAAGGAGAUCGUGUUUUAUCGUAUCUCUAUUUUCUUUCUUUUUAAAUUUAAAAUAAGCUUUUCAACCGGUUUAUUAACCGGUUAUAAUAUUUUUUAAAAUAAUUAAAUAUUUUCAUUAUUAAAAAUAAUGUGUACCGUUGAUUACAUCUAACGGUACAUAUUUCUUACACUACUAAUACGGUAAAAAAAAAAAAAAGGGCAUCAUAAAGGGACCCUUAAAACAUUUUCAUUUGAAAUUAUUUGGUGUAGUCAAAAAGUUAAGAAAGAAAUAGUUGUCCCUUUGGUCAUUUCACAAAAAUGAAAGCCCCAUAUAACAUGGACUUGAAUGGAAACCCAAUUGUUUGUGUUUGAUUUCAAGCUUUAUCGGACCUUUGGACCUGGAUACUUUACUGCGGCCUCUAAGCGCUAUAAAUUUGUUUUUUGGGAUAAAAGGCGCUUCAAUGAAAAAGCACUUUAAAACUUUGGAUUUUGCCAAAACUUCAAAGCGGUUGGUCCAGUUACGGUGUUAUGCUAACGGGUUUAAAGGUUCCGAUCCAAUGAGUUAGGGUGGAAUAUGAAUAUAUAAAUUCCAUAGCAUGUAAGGACUAGGAUUUGUUUGUUCAUAUUAAGAAAAAAGAUCUAAAAAUUUGAUGAUCAGAAGAAAAUAGACUCUUCUCUGUCUGAAUAAGAAGAAAGCAUAAUGCGCCUCCAAUAGAGAGAAAAGGGACUUAAUUUCACUUGCGUCAAAUGUUCCUCAUUCUUUGAUGGAAGAAAAACUCUUAAUAGUCUAUUGUUUUUUUUUUUUUCAUUUUUAUUUAAGUUUCACAAUAUUUUAGUAGUUGAUCAAAUUAUUUAGAAUUAGACAUUUAAUCUAGGGACAAUGUGAACUUUUUAAAAAUCUAUCAGGUGAUUUCAUAAUUUUAUAAUUCAGUUGGGGUAAUUUCUCAAACUAUAAACAAAUUAUCGUGUUUUGUAAGUUGAGGUCCAAUGGCGUUUUGGCACAUCAUAUGAUAGACCACUAUAUUGAGUUGCUUUACAAAAGAUUAAUAUUUUUAAAAUUAUUAGGUAAGUUUAGGCUCAGUGGCACUUUAACUCAUGAUAUGAUAGUCCGGGUUUUCGAGGACCACUAUAUUGUAUUGAUUUAAAAAAAAAAUUAAUAUUUUUUAAUAUUAAUAUUCUAAAUUAUAUUCAGUUAAAAUAUUAAAUAUUAAAUACAUUCUUAAUAUUAAUAUUCUUAGAUGAAAUUCUUUUGCUGACUUAAGAAUAAAAUAUUAAAUAAUUUUAUUUUUCUUUUAUUGUGUAACGUGGACCCAAAAAAAAAAGGAAAUGAAUUUAAUAAAACCUUCAUUCCGCCAACAUGCAUGUUAAUUGUUUCCAAAUUCCAACCUCCGUACUCUCUUGAGGAGUUUCCCAUUCAUCAAUUAUUAUUUUUUAUAAUCCAUACCAUCCUGAUAUAAUUAAACACCAUUAAUAAUGUACCAGCCUUUAAAUAGUAAUUAAUUUAGUUCUGAGAAGGAAAAAAAAAACAAAAAAACUACUUUGACCAGAAAAAUUCCCCGUUCUAUUGCCUAUAUAUGAACUGAGCUGUGCAAUUGAUCAAUUUCAAAAACUUCCUCAGCUGACCAAUUUUGAGCAAUUACUACAUAACAUAAAACCAAAUGCUGGAUGAAUUGGCAUCUCUGAAAACCCCAGCUCACACGUACCGACAGAAAGAGACUCUAGAUGUAUUCAAACAUUAAAUAACUGCAUAUGCUCUUCAAAAGAUGGAAGGAACCAUGGAUUAAAAAGAAGCAACCAUCUAAACAAGAACUUAUAUUAAAAAGCAAAGGAAGUAACACAUUAAAUUGAGAAGUGUGAUCAUCACUAUGAAGCUUCUAUAAGUAAUUUAAGAAUAGUAAUAAAAAACUAUUCUAAUAUAAGUAAUAAAUAUGGGAGACAUCUUUGGCUAAUAUGUAAUAAUAAUCUCGAGCAGCAGACGGACUCUUAUUUGCUCCAAUUUGAAUGGUGGUGUUAAGCAAUUUAAAUGUGAAGCCACUCGAGGCUCUGAUUGUGACAGCGGAAGCUAUACAGGCACGGCAUCAGAACAAGAAGAAGGAGCCGAACAACAUAUUUCAGUUCUCAAGAGAAGAAUAGAUUCUCAAACAAACUUCAAUUUUGAGAAGAAGAAGAAGGAUUCAUUAUCAUGGCAAGCUCAAAAAUGCAUUGGUAGAUUUUUCUACGAAAUGGGUAUUGAUUUCAGUGUUGCUAAUUCUCCAAGCUUUCAAGACAUGAUAAAUGCUAGCCGUGGUAAGGAAAAGUGUGAGAUCCCCAGUUGUCAGGAUUUGAAGGGGUGGAUCCUUCAUGAAGAAGUGAUGGAAAUGCAAGAAUAUGUGAAGAGGAUAAGACAUUCGUGGGAAAGUACUGGGUGCAGCAUUUUGUUGGAUGGAUGGACUGAUGAAAAUGGUCGAAACUUGGUCAGUUUUAUUGUGGAUUGUCCUCAGGGACCUAUUUAUCUGCGAUCAUCAGAUAUUUCAGCCUUCGUUAGUAAUGUUGAUGCCCUGCAGUUAUUAUUGGAUGGAGUCAUUGAGGAGGUUGGAGUGAAUAAUGUUGUUCAAAUUGUUGCAUGUUCUACAUCAGGUUGGAUGGGGGAUGUGGGCAAGCAGUUUAUGGAAAGGCGAAGGACAGUGUUUUGGACUGUAAGUGUGUUUGAUUGCAUUGCUCUGAUGCUUGAGAAGAUUGGUACGAUUGAUUUUGCUAGGGAGAUAUUAGAAAAGGCCAAGACCAUUACAAAGUUCAUUCAUGGCCACACAACGGUCUUGAAACUCUUUGGAGAUUUUACUGGCAAGCGGAACCUUAUCAAGCCCUCUAAGUUGAGAUCAGCAAUGCCUUUCUUGACUUUAGAAAAUAUUGUGGCGGAAAAGAAAAACCUUAAGGCCAUGUUUGCCUCAUUUGAGUGGAAUAGAACUAAAUGGGCUUCAAGAACAGAGGGGAAGAGGAUAGUUAAUUUAGUGGAGGAUCGUUCUUUUUGGAGCACAGCCAGGAUGGUCCUAAAGGCAACUAUACCCCUUGUGCGUGUUCUGUGUUUGAUCAAUGGGGCUUAUAAACCACAAGUGGGUUACAUCUAUGAAACCAUGGAUCAAGCAAAGGAGACAAUUAAAGAGGAAUUUAAGAACAAGAAAACCCAAUAUUGGCCAAUUUGGGAAAUUAUUGAUGACAAAACGCUAUUUCCGCAUAUUAUUAUUAUCAGAUUGUGUCUAAUGUCAGAUAUUGCCGACCACCUACAAUGCCACACAGAGAACCGCUACAAAUUCCUGUAACUUCCUUCCUGUACUAAAAUUAAAGGAGUACCCCAUCCUCUGCAGUAAAUACAUAGUCCUACUUACGGUUCCUUGUUACUUCCUUUGCUUUUUCAUCUGCAGUAAAUAAGAUAAAGGUGUCUCCCACAGUUGAAGACGGACCCUUGUUGCCAAAGAAUAGUAAUAAAAAAUAAACCACUUUCAUCUUGUACUGAAGUCUAUACUUAAGCUUCUAUAAGUAAUUUAAAAAAGCAUUUACCAUUUUAAACAUCAUAAUGAUACAAUUAUCUUAGUUUUAUCAGUAUAUAAGAAUUACUUAUAGAAUAGUAAUAUAUGUUUAUAUUUAAAUUAGUACAAUUUUAUAUUGAUAAUAAUAAUAAUUUUCAAUUGAAAGUGAAACCUUUAGACAUUUACCUAAUGAAGUUAGUUAAUCGGGAGGGUUGGAAAAAAAAAAAGUUGACGCAAGUCAAUACACAAUAAUUAAUUAAAUCCGGAGUGACUAAAACAGAGCCACUACUUUUUCAAAAAUAUCUGCAUUCAUCACUUUCUCCAGCAGCUAGUCAGCUACACACGAAUCAAUUUCUCUCCUCGUUUGUUGUCAUCCAAAAUUGUUCACCAAUACCAUGGCUGAUGCAAUCGUUUCCACUAUCUUGGAGCAGCUGAUUUCCUUCGCUGCUGAAGAGAUAAAACAACAGGUGAUCGAAGUUACACCCCUCAUAUUACAAAUACUUCCAAUGAUUUUAAUUGGUUUUGUUUUUAUCAAAAACAUUAUAUAUUUUUGCUUUUUUUUAUUUAUCUGAUAAUUUUAUAUUUUGAAAUUUGAAUUGAAUUUAAUUAAAAGGUGAUGUAGUGACCACUUAUUUUUAUUUUAUUUCAUUUAUAUUCUCAAUAACUACUCAUAUUUUGGUAACUUACUAUAACUUCCAUAUCUAAGAAAUGAUCCAAACCCACAAUUUUAAUGAUAAGAUUGGUUGAAUUAAAUAUCACUUGGCCCACAUGAUUUGUUUUAAUUAUUUUAUAUUUUCAUUCAACCAAUGAAUUAGUGCCACGUCAGUUUGUACAAAAUAAGUUUGUACAAUAGUUUGUGGUUGUAUCAUUACUCUUUAGUAAAGAGUAAUGAUAUAGCCACAAACUCUUGUACAAACUUAUUUUGUACAAACUUAUGUGGCAUGAUAAGAUUGGUUGAAUUAAAUAUCACUUGGCCCACAUGAUUUGUUUUAAUUAUUUUAUAUUUUCAUUCAACCAAUGAAUUAGUGCCACGUCAGUUUGUACAAAAUAAGUUUGUACAAUAGUUUGUGGCUGUAUCAUUACUCUUUAGUAAAACCUCAACUCAUCACUGAAUCCCAUAGCUAUUACUUAGACUCUAUGAAAAAUUUCAUAGUUUUCUUACAUUCUUUCAGUUUGGUAAGUGAUUUCAUAUAAUUUCUUUUCAAGUUAAAUUUUAAUUUGGUUUCUGAUAUAGUCUCUUUGCCGAAUUGUAUCUUUUAUGAUUCUUGGAUUUUGGGCUCCAACUUUUUAGGAUUUGAUAGUCACAUUUUAUGCCAUGCUCAGAUUGAUUUUCAUGAUUUUUAGUACCCGUUAAGUGACGUACAAUUUGACAAAAGUUUGAAAGGAAAUAUGUUUCAGAAUUCUGUUUUAAUUGACCUUUUAGUGGAAAUAGGAUGCUUAUAACUUAAUGUGGAUGGUUCGUAAAAUCAUGAAAUUUGGAUAGGAUUCACUAGCAAUAUGUACAAGACUCUCCAUAAAGUUUCAUAAUUUUUCAUUCGGUCUGGGGUGGUACAGGUGAAACUUGUGGUUGGUGUUGAAAAAGAAGUGAAAAGCCUUACCAGCCAUCUUCAAGCCAUUCAAGUUGUGCUCGAUGAUGCAGAGGAAAAGCAAGUGAAGGAAAAAGCUGUUAGUCUUUGGCUGGGUAGGCUCAAGUAUGCAUCCUACAACAUUGAAGAUGUGUUGGAUGAGUGGAUAACAACAAGACGCAAAUUGCAAAUUGAGGGUGGCGUUGAUGAAAAUGCUCUUGUUGUUCCUCAUAAGAAAAAGAAGGUAUGUCUCUGCUUUCCCAGCUCUUGUUUUGGAUUCAAACAAGAAGAAUUUGGUUUCAAACAAGUCUUUCUCCGCCAUGACAUUGCCGACAAGAUCAAAGAAAUCAAUGAAGAGCUCCAUGAUAUUGCCGCUCAAAAAGACAUGUUUGAUCUUGUUAAGAGUGGCAAUAAAAGUAGUGAAAGACCAAGGCGUGUACAGAGUACCUCCUUGAUUGAUGAGGAAGAGAUUUGUGGCAGAGUUGGUGAGAGGAAUGAACUCUUAAGCAAGCUGUUGUGUGAGGGUAGCGAGCAACAAAAAGGCCUUCAUAUCAUCUCAAUCGUUGGUAUGGGAGGCAUAGGGAAAACAACUCUUGCACAACUAGCUUGUAAUCAUGACGAGGUGAAGAGAAAGUUCGACAAAAUUCUGUGGGUGUGUGUAUCAGAAACUUUUGAGGAGUUUAGGGUUGCCAAAGCGAUCGUUGAAGUUUUGGAUGGUCGUGAAUCUCAUUUAGCUGAAUUCCAUUCUCUUCUUCAACAUAUUUAUGAAUCCAUUGCAGGGAAGAGCUUUCUUCUUGUCUUAGAUGACGUGUGGGAUGGAAAUUACUUGAAAUGGGAACCAUUCUACCGUUGUCUAAAGAAUGGUCUCCAUGGAAGUAAAAUUUUAGUUACCACACGUAAAGGGUCAGUUGCAUCCAUGAUGGGAUCCAUAGAUAUUAUCUCCGUUAAGGAGUUAGCUGAAGAGGAAUGUUGGUUGUUGUUUAACAAGAUAGCAUUUUUUGAUCGGUCCAUCGAGGAACGUGAAAAAUUAGAACAAAUUGGGCAAAGAAUUGGAGGCAAGUGCAAAGGUUUACCUCUUGCAGCAAAGACAAUAGGGAGUCUCAUGUGUUCUAAACAAACUGAAGAAGAGUGGAAAAGAAUUUUAAAUAGUGAUUUAUGGAAAGUAGAAGAGAUUGAGAAAGAUGUUUUGUCCUCUUUAUUGUUGAGUUAUAAUGAUUUGCCAUCUAGAGUAAAAAGAUGUUUUUCAUAUUGUGAUGUCUUUCCAAAAGACUACAAUAUAGAAAAAGACAAACUAAUCACGUUAUGGAUGGCUCAAGGUUAUCUUAGUGCAGAAGAAGAUGAAGAGAUGGAGACAGUAGGUGAAGAGUAGUUUGGCAUCUUAGCUUCUCGCUCAUUUUUUCAAGAGUUUAAGAAAAGUUAUGAUAAUCGGAUUAUAGAGUGUAAGAUGCAUGAUAUGGUACAUGAUUUUGCCCGAUUUGUAAGUCAAAAUGAAUGUUUUUCGAUGGCAAUUAAUGGUAGUGAAGAACCAAACGCCACAAACUCUCUUGAUGAGAAGGUCCGUCAUUUAAUGUUAAUCUUUAGUAUAGAGGCUUCAUUACCUGUUUCCACUUGUAGAGUUAAAAGAAUUCGUAGCCUCUUAAUUAACGAUAGUAGAUCUGAUCAUUCAUUAUUAAAUGGUGAGAUCUUAGAAGAAUUAUUUAGGGAAUUGACAAGUUUAAGGGCAUUAGAUUUUUGCAAAUCGUAUAACGCAAGUUGGUCUUCGACUCUGGAGAUUCCGAGAAACAUAGAAAAGCUGGUACAUUUAAGAUACCUUAAUUUGUCUUAUCAGGGAAUAAAGAAACUACCGGAGACAUUAUGCGAGUUGUAUAAUCUAGAAAAGUUAGAUAUUAGUUAUUGUUAUAAGCUAGAAGAAUUACCUGAAGGGAUUGGGAAGUUAAUAAACAUGAAGCAUUUACGAAAUAGAGGUACUAGUUCUUUAAGGUACAUGCCAGUAGGGAUUGGGAGAUUAACGGGUCUUAGGACCUUGGGUGAGUUCCACGUGAGUGCAGGAGGAGGUGUUGAUGGUAGGAAAGCAUGUAGGCUUGAAUCUCUUAAAAACUUGGAACACCUUCAAGUAUGUGGUAUAUGUAGACUGGGUGAUGUAUCAGAUGUGGGCGAGGCUAAGCGAUUAGAACUUGACAAAAAGAAAUACCUCUUCAGUUUGACCCUUGAGUUUGAUAAGACGUAAAGAGGAGGAGAAAGGAGGAAGAACGAGGACGAUCAACUUCUUCUUGAAGCCUUGCGACCACCCCUGGAUUUAAAGGAAUUAGAGAUACGGUACUACCGAGGCAACACUGUUUUCUUCCAUGUUGGAAUUGGAGGAGUGGGAUUAUGGGAUUACAAGAACGGGAAACACCGUCAUCAACAUCAUGCCACGUCUUUCUUCCUUGGAAAUUGUUGCCUGCCCCAACUUAAAGGCGCUGCCCGACCACAUUCAUCAAACGACAACAUUGAAGGAAUUGCGCAUUGUGCAUUGUGGGCUUCUGGAAGAACGUUACCGCACGGGGGAAGGAGAAGAGUGGCCUAAGAUAUCACACAUUCCCAGCAUAGAUAUUGAUUAAGAAGGAGAAGAGUGACCUAAGAUAUCUCACAUUCCCAACCUUGAGAUUUGGCCUUGACAAGUAAUUCCUUCUCUCACUCUGAUUUGCUUUGUUGUUCUUUUUAAUCUAAUCAAGAAGCAUAAAUAGCAUUUUGAAUUAAACUCUAUAUCAGAAAUCUGCAAUACAUAUUUACUAAUAUUCUGAUUUUCAUAUCUUAUGAAUGUACGAUUCUAAUUUGCGAUAUUUAACGUUGCUGUAAAAUAUUAUUAAUGCAAUAUGAGAAAUUCUUUUGCAGGACAAGUGACCUACGUUUAGUUUGGCUUUGGAGUUGAGUAAUAACCUUUCGAGGUCGCCACUAUAAAAACGCGAAGCUCCAUUUGCCACAGAUUACAUGUAUUGCCAUCAUUGACAAUUUUCUGGAUAAGUGAUGAAGGGUGAGAAUGGUGCUAGAAUAUUGAAUAAAGCUGUCGUGACUGAACUUACGUUGAUGUCAAAAGGGGUAAAUUAUUGGCAUGCCUAGCUAAUUUGACCAAUACCUGAUUCAUAAGCCUACAUCAAUUUUGAUUUUGAGUUGAGUGAUUAAUUUUGAAGGUUUGCUUACUUAACUGGUAACCAAUUUCUUUUAACUAAAUGUAUCAUAUGAUGCAGGAAGCAGGGCAGGAUAUGAAAUGAGAAGCUUAUUAGUGGAAGGAUUAUCAGAAACAGAACCCAAAGAAAAUGAAAACAUUUCAAGGCAGCAGUUGGCAGUUGGCCGUGAAUGGAGCCCCUUGAAAAAAUUCCCAACCCAUUGCACUGCAAUUACGAUCGUGAGUAUGAUUGCACUGCAAUUUCGAAGCUUCUUCUCCUGCAUUUUUGUUAUUUGCUAUCAUCCUCUGCUUCAGGUGAUUUCUUCUCCUGCUCUGUCGUUGUUUGUAUCUCAAUCAAAUUCUAUAACUGGAAUAUGCAAAAGUUUCGAAUUUUUAUUUCUAUCUGCUUGCAUUGAUAACAUCGCGGCAUAUGCACUAGUUAAAGAUCAAACAGAAACAGAGCUCAGGAAAAAGUUUCUUCUGCCAUCAUAUUUGAAAAUUCAUGUAAAAUGUAGACAGUAAUCAGCAAAAAGGUGAUUCGCAAUUUGAUUUUUUUUAUGAAAUUAAUUGUUAGGUUGGAGUUGCCAAUUAACAAUUUUAACCCCCUUUGACUUUGAAGGAAUUAGAGAUAUGGUCAUACAGAGGCAACACUGUUUCUGCAAGUAGUCCUCUCUUUUCUUUUUAUUAUAUUUUAUUUAGUUAUUAUUUAUUAUUUAUUUUUUGGUUUACUCUGCUUCUUCUUUUUACGUUUCUCAAAUUUUGAAUUUCAUUGCUUUUGAACAUACGACAGUCUGUUAUGUGGCGACCCUGGUUCUUAAUUAAGGUUGUGAAAUAUUAUUGUAAAAGAUGAUUUAUUCAAUUUGAGUAAUUCGUUUGCUUUGAUAAUGAUAGUAAUUUUUUAUUUUGACAAUUUGCAAGGUGAGAAUGGUGCUGAUUGGUGAUUCAGGAUAUGGUUCAAACACCAUUGAAUAAAGCUAUGGACAUGGUGGCUCAACUUAGCUAGAUUGCUAUCAAAAUUGGUAAGUUGGCUUGUCAAUGUACCGAUGCUUUUGUUUUCUCUCAACCCUAAUUACCUUAACUUCAUUUAGUUUGGCUUUGGAGUUGAGUAAUAACUUAUUGUUCAAAUGUUAUUUCCUUAUUGUUCUAAUUCAUCAAAUGUUAUUUCCUUGUUGUUCCAUUGAUAUAUUGGUUGCAUAUCAAGCAGAAACAGAAUCCAAAGAAAAUGAAACCAUUUCCAGGCAGCAGUUGGCAGUGAAUUCAUGCAAAUGUUGAUGCCAUUCAUAGAUGUUGAAGACAAUGUUGAGCCAAAGGCGAUAAAUCAUUAAUGCAUAAUUCCCAAAACCUCUAUCCUUCUCUCAUUGUAAUUUGAUUUGAAAUGAAUAAUUGCUAGGUAAUUGAAGCCAAUGUUGUUAAAGACCGUGUUGAGCUACCCAAGCUAAGAAGUUAGUUGCCAAAAAAUGCAGGGGAUCAAAAGAAGCAUUGCAUUUGAAAAGGCAUGAGAUUCUGGUGGCUACAUGUCAACUCAUAUAUGUUUGAAUAAGUUUGAUGGUUCAAGAUUGUUAGCUUCUGUUUAAAUUUGUGCUACUGCAGUGCUACAAUGCUGCUACUGGGAAAUUUGAAUCCCAUAUUAGACUUUCCUCACAUCAGAAGCUGUGGAUCUUCGGACAUCAGGUUUUUUCACAGUUCUGAAACACUCAGGAUUAAACUCUAUUAAAGUGUUGUAGUUAUCUUGUUGUCAGAAUUCCCAUAUUAUUAUCUUUUUCAUGUAAAAUUAUCUUGUUGUCUUCGCCCAUGAAUCUAAGCUAAAAUUUGAACCAAUUGUUUGCUAUUAUAAAUUUCGUUGUUAAAUGUUAAUUGUGAUGUUGGUGUUGAGUUUCUUUUAAAGUCAGAGAAGCCUGACGAUUGAGUUCCAUGGGAUUCUGAGAAGCAGUAAUAUUUUGAACAAGUGAAGGUUCUUCGUUUUUAAUUACGUUCUGCACUUUUACAGUAUGUGCAGAUGUCUAAGAGGCAGGAUUUUAAUUUCUGUAAUGCUAAAUUUCGCAAAACAAUAAAUAAAUAAAUGCAUGACAGUGACUUCAAGAAUUUAGAUUAUUGAAUUUGGUCAUUUUAAAAUUGUUGGAAUAUUGAACUUAAGUAAUUUUGAUAAACCAGAGCUCAGAAAUGUAGAAUAUAAAUAUUGGAGAUUUGGACUUCAAUCAUUAGAUUUGAAGCUAAAGAGGUAAGCCAUUAAUUACAUCAAAGGAUUUGGAAAAUGGAGGGAUUGGAAAAAGGAAACUUUUUCAUAAACUACAAGCAUUGGGCAGUUUCAUUUGUCCGAUUCAAGAGGAACGUCACAGAAAGGGGUAAAGAAAAGAGUAGCCUAAGAUAUUUAAGACAAUGUUGAGCCAAAGGAAACAUAAAUCCCAACCAUUGCAUGCGAACAUGAUCACAAUAAGGUCAAGAACCUACCAAACCAUUUUUUUGAGAAUUUUCAAUUGAAAGUGAAACCUUUGGACAUUUACCUAGUAAAGUUAGUUAAACGAGAGAAAUAAAGGGGAAAAGAAAAGUUGACUCAAGUCAAUACAGAAUAAUUAGUUCAAUCUGGAGUAACUAAAACAGAGCCACUAUAUUUUCAAAAAUAUCUGCAUUCAUCACCUUCUCCUACAGCUAGUGAGCUAAACACGAAUCAUUUCCUUUUAGCAUUUUUGCAGCAUCAACUUCUCUCCUCGUUUGUCAUCCAAAAUUAUUCACCAAUACCAUGGCUGAUGCAAUCGUUUCCCUUCUCUUGGAGCAGCUGAUUAUCUUUGCUGCUGAAGAGUCGAAACAACAGGGGAAGCUGGUGAGUGUUGGAUGAGUGGAUCACAGCAUGCGCCAAAUCGCAAAUUGAUCAAUGCUCUUGUUGCUCCUUAUCUGAAGAAGAAGGUGCAAAUUGAGAGCUGCAUUGCACUGUCAUAACAUUUAUUGUAAUUUCAUUUGGAGAUUUUAUGGAUAAUGAUUUGGUAGACUUUAUAUGCCGUCUUCUUUCUUUUUGCAGUGAUAUGUUUGUAUUCAAUGUGCUUGUGCUUAUUCUGUGGUUUUUAAAGUAGGUGUUUUUAUGAUAAACUAGGUCUUGUGUAUUGUAUGUACUAUCUAGAGAAGAAUAUUGACUGGUUGCAGUCGAAAUUGGAACCACUUUUGAAAGGUAAGAAGAGGCCAUUUUCCUUCAUUCUAAUGCCAAUAAUGCUGUCAUGAGACUCAUAAAAAAUGUUAAAACAUUAAUGUUUUUGGUAUUUUGCAGAUCAUUAUCUUCUGUUUGAUUUUCCUGGCCAAGUUGAAUUAUUUUUUCUUCAUUCCAAUGCCAAGAAUGUUAUCAUGAGACUCAUAAAGAAGUUAAAUCUCAGGGUAUUGUUACAUCUUGCAUCUAUGAAGGGACUCAAAGAGUUGACAUGAAUUCAUCUUUGUUAUUUUGAUGCCAGAAUUGUGCAAUUCUCAGUUGGUUCCUUUCACAUGCAGUUGACUGCAGUGCAUCUAGUUGAUGCGCAUCUUUGCAGUGACACUGGAAAGUAUGUUAGUGCUUUGCUUCUCUCGUUGUCUACGAUGCUACAUCUGGAACUUCCCCACGUCAAUGUCUUGUCUAAGAUCGACUUGAUUGAGAAUUAUGGAAAGCUAGGUGUGGUUUUAAGUGUCUCCCUCCUACUUGUUUGUUUAGUUUGAAAUAUCAGAUAUUAUCACGAGCUCCUAUCUGCUACGUUUCCUCACCAAUCAAUUACUUUGGGUAUGUUGCAGCUUUUAAUCUCGAGUACUAUACGGAUGUGCAAGAUUUGUCAUAUUUACAGCAUGCUCUGGGUCAGGACCCUCGUUCUGCUAAGUACAGGUUUGAAUUCUAGCUGAAUCAAUGAUGCAAAUUAUGUCCAUUGCUAUUUUUGACUGUCGUUUCUAUCAUUUUCAAUUGUUACCUCCCCUUGCCAUCUACUGCCACACUGCAAUGCCUACACAAAUGUUAUGAAAUUUGUCAAUGGCAAUGCCAUCCUGUUUGUCCAGAGACAGCUCUUAGAUGCAAGUGAACAAUUUUUGGCUUUGGCCGUUGUACAGCCUUAGAUUUCAACUUGCCAUAUCUUGUCUCGGAAGUCAAAAGAAAGCGUAUAUGUUAGCCAAAUUUUAUUUGAAUUUAUUGAGUAACAAUGAAUGGUUCGGAAAAACAGUUCCUCUUUUGUUUUGAUCAGACUCAAUGAAUAAGUGUUUAAAAUGUGCCUGUCCUAGAAAUAUAGAUGUGUGGUUUCGCAAAAUUUUCUUGAUCUUAAGAAAGAGUUAUCUUGAAAAGAAGAUAACAUGGAGAAUUCAGCAACUAUACAGUCAUAUUGCGUCUGUCAACUUGGGUCAGAUGGUGUCGUUUGGAUGGAGAUGUUAGGUCCCAGAUGGUAUGCUUGUUAUCAAAUUCCAGUCUAAUUCAUUCAUGCUUUGAUGACAUAUGCGGUGCAGCUUCUUAUCUAAGACCUGCAUAUGUUCAGUCAUCAUUCAGUUCUGUAUUUGGCUGUCAUUCUUUCAAUGAAUUCAAACCACUUUCUGAAUACUUGCAAAUUCAUCCAGUGUUGUCAUUGAGAUUCCAAUAUGUAAAGGAGCAAUAGUUGCCCUUGAUAGUAUGCUUAUUGAUUGCCUCUUGCCUCACUCAGCCUAAGGAGUCUGGUUGUAUGGUGUUCUUGUAAUUUCAUUUGGAGAUAAGUAAUAUCUGUUGUUCAAAUGUAUUUUAUAUACAAGCAGUUAAUAAUUCUGCUUGCAGAAAGCUUACAAAGGAGCUGUGUGAUGUAAUAGAAGACUACAGUCUGGUCAAUUUUUCAACCUUAGAUAUUCAGGUCAUCAGUUUCUCUUGAAUUCUUUCUUGAGUUUCUUUGAAUUAUUUGUGAAUAAGAUCUUAGUUGGCUGCUCCUCUUCAGGAUAAGGAAAGUUUGGCAAAACUCGUGAAGCUGAUAGAUAAAAGCAAUGGGUACAUCUUUGCUGGCAUGGAUGCCAGGGCAGUUGAAUUCAGCAAGAUUGCCGUUCGCGAUGUGGAUUGGGAUUAUUACAGGUAUCCUUCUUUUCACCUAUUUUCAAUCUUGUGAUUCUCAUAUUCAUAAAACUUUCAUGGUUCAUUGUAUGCAUCUGCAUCUUCUAAUUUGUACGUUUGAGAGACUAAUUUUGCUGUUAGGUAGGCGUCAAAUUUGAUUCAUGCGUUUUUCAUAAAUUUACCAAAAUCAUGGAAACUUCUUUUUCCCAGAUAUUGUAUCCACACUUUUCCCAUGUAAUUCAGUCAGACAAGUUCUGCUUAACAAAGAUAUCUACAGUAGCUGAAGUGCAGGAAAAGUACAUUAAGGAUGAUGACGAUGUUAACUAAAAUGGGACACGAAGAUAUGUGGUGUGCAAACCGUAAGCAUGCCUCUUACUUUUGUGCAUGUUUACUUGCUUGUGAUUCAUGUUUGUUAAUCUAUUAUGCUCUUUUGUUGGGUUUAUAAAGUUUUCAAUCAAUCAAACAUUUGACUGAUUCAGACAGGACAAGCGGGGAAGAGGUGGUUUUAAUCAAACCACUACUAAUUAUGAUGUAUCUCGGACCUUUGUACAAUAUCAAGCGAUUUUUUUAGUUGAAUCAGCUGGUGUACACAAAUGUCGUUUAUUGAUUUUUCUCUAGUAUAGUUCGUAAUUUUGGUAACACAUCUACUCUAGUAUCGUUUGUAAUUACAAGAAACAAAGUAAUGAAAUUUAUCACUGCAUUCAUAGUUAUGCUUAAGCUCAAAGAUCACUGUGAAUAUCAUUUUGGGGCCUCUAUUUGUUCUAUAACAUGAUGUUGACACGUGUCAAAUUUUGAAGCUUGUGAUUAAAAUACUAUUCACAUAUAUAUUUUAAGUACCACUAAUAAUUAAAUAUAUUAAUAAAUAUGGGCAAUGGGGAUAAAAUAAAAUGGUUUUAUUUUUUGAAUUACUCAACUGCUUCAAACUUCUAAGAAGUAGAUUUACGAUGAGUGGAAUCUUAAAUUGAGUACGAGUUAGGGAUAACUUAUAAAAUUGGGAUACAAGCUUCAAAGAAAGUGUAUUACUAUUCAUAUGUAGAUUUCGAAUUAAGAAGAUAUGCCAGCUAAUUGUAUAAGAAUGUAAAAAUUGAUCACAGGCAUAAUCGCAAAUGAUGAAAUGAGCUACCUUGAUCAAAAGGUCAAGAACCUACCUUACUUCUCUUAGGGAUAAGUUGCAUCAACCGUUGUGAUAUUGAUAUUUAUCUUGAGCCAGUAAAAGUGAAAGCUUCCCAAUUGAAGGAAAGUGAAGAGAAGAUUCUAUGCUCUAAUUAUUAUUAUUAUUAUUAUUUGUUAGAAUGAAGUGCGAAGUGAGCACAUCAUGCAAGCUCAGCAGAUGUGAUAAGGUGACUUGUAACUCAGCUGGCACAAGAGACAAAGUGUAGUGGAGAAAAGUUUCCCAAUUGAUGGAAAGUGAAGGGAAGAUUCUAUGCUCUAAUUAUUAUUAUUUGACAAUGAAUUGGCAAAUAAAAACAAAAUAGCAGGCCUGUAAAGUAAUGAAGUGGAGACAAUGACCAUGUGAUUGAUUGGUAAAUAAAAACAAAAGAGCAAGCCUGUAAAGUAAUAUAAAUUAUAGUGUAUAUUCAAGUUAAAGUAAUGGAAACAGUGUGCAUCCACAAAAAAUUCUUUUAUCUCUCGUUGUCUUAUUCUUUUCUUUAUUUACGUUUUCCAGAAGUAAAGCCAUACAUGUGAUGAAGCAUAGAUAAGAAAGCUAUCGCCCGAAAUUCAUUUUGCACAAACACUUCAAUAUCCUUUUGAUCACUUUUGCAAACAUCAAUUUGUCUCCUAUUGUAUUCACCAUGGCUGAUGCAAUCGUUUCCACUAUCUUGGAGCAGCUGAUUUCCUUCGCUGCUGAAGAGAUAAAACAACAGGUGAUCGAAGUUACACCCCUCCUAUUACAAAUACUUCCAAUGAUUUUAAUUGGUUUUGUUUUUAUCAAAAACAUUAUAUAUUUUUGCUUUAUUUUAUUUAUCUGAUAGUUUUAUAUUUUGAAAUUUGAAUUGAAAUCAUGAAAUUUGGAUAGGAUUCACUAGAAAUAUGUACAAGACUCUCCAUAAAGUUUCAUAAUUUUCAUUCGGUAUGGGGUGGUGCAGGUGAAACUUGUGGUUGGUGUUGAAGAAGAAGUGAAAAGCCUUACCAGCCACCUUGAAGCCAUUCAAGUUGUGCUCGAUGAUGCAGAGGAAAAGCAAGUGAAGGAAAAAGCUGUUAGUCUUUGGCUGGGUAGGCUCAAGUAUGCAUCCUACGACAUUGAAGAUGUGUUGGAUGAGUGGAUCACAGCAAGACGCAAAUUGCAAAUUGAGGAUGGCGUUGAUGAAAAUGCUCUUGUUGUUCCUCAUAAGAAAAAGAAGGUAUGUCUCUGCUUUCCCGGCUCUUGUUUUGGAUUCAAACAAGAAGAAUUUGGUUUCAAACAAGUCUUUUUCCGUCAUGACAUUGCCAACAAGAUCAAAGAAAUGAAUGAAGAGCUACAUGAUAUUGCCACUCAGAAAGACAUGUUUAAUCUUGUUAAGAGUGGCAAUAAAAGUAGUGAAAGACCAAGGCGUGUACAGAGUACCUCCUUGAUUGAUGAGGAAGAGAUUUGUGGUAGAGUUGGUGAGAAGAAUGAACUCUUAAGCAAGCUGUUGUGUGAGAGUAGCGAGCAACAAAAAGGCCUCCAUAUCAUCUCAAUUGUUGGUAUGGGAGGCAUAGGGAAAACUACUCUUGCACAACUAGCUUGUAAUCAUGACGAGGUGAAGAGAAAGUUUGACAAAAUUCUGUGGGUGUGUGUAUCAGAAACUUUUGAGGAGUUUAGGGUAGCCAAAGCGAUCGUUGAAGCUUUGGAUGGUCGUGAAUCUCAUUUAGGUGAAUUCCAAUCUCUUCUUAAACAUAUUUAUGAAUCAAUUGCAGGGAAGAGCUUUCUUCUUGUCUUAGAUGACGUGUGGGAUGGAAAUUACUUGAAAUGGGAACCAUUCUACCGUUGUCUAAAGAAUGGUCUCCAUGGAAGUAAAAUUUUAGUUACUACACGUAAAGGGUCAGCCGCAUCCAUGAUGGGAUCCACAGAUAUUAUCUCCGUUAAGGAGUUAGCUGAAGAAGAAUGUUGGUUGUUGUUUAACAAGAUAGCAUUUUUUGAUCGGUCCAUCGAGGAACGUGAAAAAUUAGAACAAAUUGGGCAAAGAAUUGCAGGCAAGUGCAAAGGUUUACCUCUUGCAGCAAAGACAAUCGGGAGUCUCAUGCGUUCUAAACAAACUGAAGAAGAGUGGAAAAGAAUUUUAAAUAGUGAUUUAUGGAAAGUAGAAGAGAUUGAGAAAGAUGUUUUGUCCUCUUUAUUGUUGAGUUAUAAUGAUUUGCCAUCUAGAGUAAAAAGAUGUUUUUCAUAUUGUGCUGUCUUUCCAAAAGACUACGAUAUAAAAAAAGACAAACUAAUCACAUUAUGGAUGGCUCAAGGUUAUCUUAGUGUAGAACAAGACGAAGAGAUAGAGACAAUAGGUGAAGAGUAUUUUGGCAUCUUAGCUUCUCGCUCGUUUUUUCAAGAGUUUAAGAAAAGUUAUGAUAAUCGGAUUAUAGCGUGUAAGAUGCAUGAUAUGGUACAUGAUUUUGCCCGAUUUGUAAGUCAAAAUGAAUGUUUUUCGAUGGAAAUUAACGGUAGUGAGGAACCAAACGCCACAAACUCUCUUGAUGAGAAGGUCCGUCAUUUAAUGUUAAUCUUUAGUAAAGGGGCUUCAUUACCUGCUUCCACUCGUAGAGUUAAAAGAAUGCGUACCCUCUUAAUUAACUAUAGUAGAUCUGAAUCAUCUGAUCAUUCAUUAUUAAAUGGUGAGAUCCUAGAAGAAUUAUUUAGGGAAUUGAAAAGUUUAAGGGCAUUAGAUUUUGGCGGAUCGUACGACACACAUUUUUCUUUGACUCUGGAGAUUCCAAGAAACAUAGAAAAGCUGGUACAUUUAAGAUACCUUAAUUUGUCUCUUCAGAAAAUAGUGGAGCUACCGGAGACAUUAUGCGAGUUGUAUAAUCUAGAAAAGUUAGAUAUUAGUUAUUGUUAUAAGCUAGAAGAAUUACCUGAAGGGAUUGGGAAGUUAAUAAACAUGAAGCAUUUACUAAAUAAAAAUACUAGUUCUUUAACGUA
rnacentral:lncRNA from 1 species